AACCAUCUCCCUUUUUAAUUAUUUGGAUUGCAAAAAAAAUUUGUGGAUCAUUUUGUCAAAUUAUACAAGUGACGUGAUAUACAACUAACGUUUCUCCUAAACAACACCAUUGUAACCAAAUUUAAUUUAAGAAAAACACCACUUCACAGUACUGAAAACAAAACCAAUUAAUUGUAAUAAAGCAAUUCAUAGUUGUGUGUAAUAAAAAGAGAAAACCAAAUCAAAACACCACCAGAGCUUGAUUCUUCAUCGCUAGAACUAGAGUCGUCAUCGCCGUAGCUCAAAUCAUCAUCACCGGAGCUUGAAUCAUCAUCACCGAAACUUCUUAUGUUUUAUGGGAGAAAAGUCACAAGAAUCGCUGUCUUUUCACUCUCUUUCUCAUUUUUUUAUGUAAAAUAAGAGAUGAAGAAAAAAAAUACAGAUUAUAUAAUCUUGCAUGAUCCGUUUCGGUCCAUUUCGCAAAAGAUCCAGUCCCAUCCUGCGGAGCCCGCAAAUUUACGGGCCUAGAAUACUUCGUCUCAAUACCGUUCUGCGACAGUUUUUUAUGGACCAGGUCUGCGGUCUAAAUCUAUGGUUACCAUAUCUAUUGGCACAGUUACCUUUGUUUCCUUUUUCGGUACCCACGUGUUACACAUGUAUACAUCUAACGGCACAUAUUUGAUCCGUCCGAAUACGUUUUCUUGAUUUCACAUAUUAUCUUGAUAAAAAUUGAAAAACAAAUUUUCAAAUUUUAUUUAAUAAAUCAGUACAGUUUUAUUUGAGGAAAAUCACUUCAGUCCGUUUCAUCCGAAAUGUUAUAAAGAUUAGGUACCGACAAAAAAAAAAUUAUAACUGUAUAAAAAAUUAUAAUUCCGCAAAUGCAAUUACAUUAUAGUGACUAGUGAGUUAUAAUUGAAUCACGUUACAAUUUACGAUAAUAAUGCAACGAUUUCUGAGAAUUCAGAAUUCCUUUUGUUUUAUCUUCUUUUGGUUUAUAUAAAACAUUUUGGCCACAAGAAAUGGUCUUUGCUACAGAAGAAUUCUUAUAAGAACAAGCUCCUCUUGGUAGCAUCUGAAGGUUUUAGGCAGUCAUCCCAAGGUAAAAUCAUAACUGUACUUGAAUAAAAUAAUAUUUGAUAUGUCAAGUGUCAAGACACUGCACGGCUAUUGGUCAGCUUAACUAAACUCAAGUCGACAUUUGCUUAAUUACUAAUUUACUAAUCACUCACUCUGUUGCUUAUUGCUACUUAAUUGUUUUGUUUGUAAGAUUAGAACAUAUCACAUUGUACGUACUUCUUAUGUGGCACAAUGUGUAUUUCUUCCGCUUCACUCUCUUUUAAGAGAAGUGUUUGCUCAUGAUUUCUUGUAUAUCGAUUGUUUGUACAACUUCGGUGAUAAAUGCUUAUAGCAACUAAGCAGCGUCGUUUGAUUACGAAUCUAGACACGUUAUGAUGUUAAUAUGUAAGUUAAGGGAACUGAUCUGGGAGUUAUGUAUGAAAAGCAACUAAGGAUGAUUACUUUAAUAUGCAGCACGAUGAAUAUACAGUGUCUAUAUCCCGUGCCGGUCUCAGGUAUAUUCUAUUAAACUGAAGUACAAAACAUUAUUUACCUAAUUUUAAAUAAUUUUUACAUAUUUAUUCAUCUUCAAAACUAAUUUUAACCGAUUCAUUUAUCUUUUUCAAAAUAAUUCGACAUCAUUUAUUACAGAGAUACAAAACAAAACUUACAUAUUUUAAGUGUUUUACUACAUUUUUUACAUUCUUUUUUCACUCUUCCAAACUACUUUAUUAAUUGUAUUUACCAUAAUAAUUUGAUAUUUAUUUUACGUGUUAACCAUAAUAAUUUCACAUGUUUGAAUAAAAUUGUUCUAUUAGUGACAAGAAUUCAAUCUAUUCUAUUAAAACUGAAGUGCAAAACAUUACUCACCUAAUUUUAAGUGAUUUUUUACAUUUUCUGCAUUCAUAUUUUAAAUUAAUUUUAACCAUUUCAUUUAUUUUAUUUUUCAAAUAAUUUGACAUCAUUUAUUACAGAGGUACAAAACAUAACUUACAUAUUUUAACUUUUUAUUAUGUUUUUACAUUUUUUUCACUCUUUCAAACUACUUCAUUAAUUAUAUUUACCAUAAUAAUUUGACAUCAUUUAUUUUAUGUGUUAACCAUAAUAAUUUUAUAUGUUUGAAAGAAAUUGUUCUAUUAGUGAAAAGAAUUCAAACCAGUUAACAAAUAAUUUUUUUUAUUUACAUAAUAAGUUAGACAUGGGCAUUCAGGUACACGUUCGGAUACAAAUUGAUUUUUUUGGUAUUGCGUUUUUUUGGAUUUUAAAAUUAAAGUCCGUUCAAGUAGCAUAAAUUUUUAGACAUGAUUCGAGUCAGACUCUUCCGGGUCCGAGUAGGUUCGUAAGAAUCUAAAAAUAUCUAAAUAACCUAAAAAUAUCAUUAACCAUUUAUAAAAGGUAAAAGCUAAUUAUGCGCUGGUGCGCAGAUCAAGCUCUAGUCGCUUUUAACCCCACCCCCCCCCCCAAAAAAAAAUAAUAAAUAAAUUGAAGAAAAUUAUAUAGAUAUAACUCUCAAAAAAAAUUUAGACCUCCAAAUUUAAAUUAAAAAAAAAUUAGCUAAAAUUUUGGUAAAUCGUCUAUAACCUCCUAAAUCUCAGAGUCGAAAAAAUCAUAUAAUAAGAAGAACGUUUCCUGGUAUUAACUAAACUUCAAUGUCAGCCAAAGUUUCUUCCCUAUCACAUAACUCAAAACAUCCUUUAUUUUUAUAUAUCAACAACCAUAUAUCACACCAUCUUUGGUUUGGUUAGAUGGUUUUGAUCAUAUCGUUUUGGCCAUUGUUCUUUAUUCCUUAUAUCUAAUGCAGUAAUUUAGACUUGCUUAUUAGAAACUACAUGGUUUCUAUCGUUCAGACCAUUUUGCAUAGAUUGUCAUGUGGUGAGAUGGUUGAAAAGAGAUGAUUUAUUAUGUUGCAUGGAUGCUUUAUUAUGCAUAUAAACCGAAUUCGUGAAUUGUUCAAAGAAAAUGUCAAACAAUUCAAGAAGAAAGUCAUGUCAGAAUAUUUGAAACCACUAUUUCGUGGACAGCAUUACAACUCUUGUCUCUCACUUCUUUUACUGAGCCUUGAGCUCUUUUACCCUCUCUUCCGUACCUUUUAAUGGUUUCCCAUAGAUAUCAAUCAACUGCGAAGAUGAUUUAAAAAUAAAAACAAUGUGGGAAAAGAAAAGAAAAACAAGAUAUAGCGCAGAUUAAUGUCUCAAGAAUUGUAUAUAACUUACAUCAUUGAUCUCUUCAGUUGAGAUUUGUUGUGUGUAAAGUGUAAACUAAUCCCAAGAAUCAAAUAUGUUCCUAUUAUCUGAAAACCAUCUCAAAAUGUUCAAUCAAAGACUUCAACAGAAAGGUAGUGAGUAUCUAACCAAAGAGAGAUUAUACCUCUCCAAUAAUAGGACUACUCUUGGCAAAAGCUUUAAGACCAUCUUGAAACCUUGGGGCAACUCUGGGGGCAUGUUCUGGUAUGUUCCUCUCCCUGUCAUAUGAAUAUGUGCGUAAAAAAGUGAAGACAAGCAUAGAGACACGAAAAACAUAAACAAGCAAUUUAAAUUGGCUCAUUUGCGUAAAGGAACAAAGCAACGAACGUACUUGCAUAUCUUUAAAUUCAUGAGCAAUUUAAACUGGCUCAUUUAAUUUAAACUGGCUCAUUUGCAUAUCUCAGCACAUGAAACAGGAUGACCAGAGUAGGUAAAUUCAUGUGAGAAAGCACCUUAAAUACCAAAAUCAUAAAUAGUUUCAUAAGAUCAGGACAUUGAAAUAUUACUACGUUAAGCAUAACUAAUACAUACCUAGCUUGUUGCUUUGAGAAAAUGACAUAUCCUACUUCUUGACUCAUAAGGAUGGCUCCAAUCAGCAGAUAUGCUGAAGACAGUGCCUGCAUUUAUUAAAAAUCAUUUACCAAUAGUUUGGAAAAGUUUUUCAACAGUGGUUAAAAAUGUACAAAUCAUCUGACAAACUCUCACCUUGGCUAAGGACACAAGAUCUGGCUUGAUGUUGUAUUUGUCACAGCAAACAUUGUCCCGAGCCUUCCAAAUGAACAAAUCACCUUAUAGACCAAACAUAAAGAAAACGGAUAAUGAUAUCUUAUAGUACACAUGGUUCAAUAAGAUAGCGCAUAUACCUCAUCAGCAAUGAACAAGAUGUCAUACUUCUUAACAACAGCUUGAAUCUGCAGUACAGAAAUGAGAAAAAAGAACACAUCACAUCCACAAUCUCCUAACAAUGAAACAUAUUAAUCAUUGCAAUUGGUAUUUACUGCCAACAAAAGUUCUGAAAAUGACCUUUUCAAAGUAUGUAGCAGGCGGAUGUAUCACACCACCAGCACCCAUUACUGAUUUAGCGAUAAAAGCACCAAUCUGGUAAAAAUACCAUUUGCGUUAGAUUGAGAUGCCAACAUCAUCGUUACUGCAUGAAGAUUGUAAUUUCCUUAGAUUACUCACAGUUUCUGGUACCUCUUUAAUGAUAAGAUCCUUUAAAUUCUUGGCUAAUCUGGUUGAGAGCUCCUCUUCCGUUUUGCCUGCACCAAGAAUUAUCCAUGGAAUACAAGAAUAUUUUCAUAAAAACAAUACUGAUGUGGAGCUACCACAUCUCCACAUAGCAGUCAAAAGUUUGUAUGACAAUGCUAUCUAUCUAUACGGUAUAAUAAAGUUACGCAGAAGAAAGCUGGAGAUACAUAAAACAUUGUUAGAUAACUUUGGAUGGAAAAUAAACAAAACUCAUGCUGAAAAUUGCUGAAACUUAUAAAAAAUUCAAUUCAUCUUUAUAAUAUUAUUUGGAAAGUCAGUUAUCUCCUUGUCGCGCUCACAACAAUAAUUUUUUACAGAGGCGUCCUUAAUGAAUUGAAAAUAUAAUAUCUAAUUACCAUUAUUUCAAAAGUUUUUAAAUUUAUGUCAAUUAGGGUUUUAAUUUUAAUUUCCUUUCUUAUAUUUUCAAAAUAACAUAUAUAGUAAAAAUGAAAUAUUUAUAAAAUAAAUAAAAGAAAAACAUAUUUACAAAAGGAAAAACAUAUUUUAUAAAUACAUGAGCAUGAAAAUAUUAUAUAUGUAAUAUGUUUACAUAAAAAGGAAAGCUUACAAAAAAAUAUUUAUAUUAAAAAGAAAUAAUCAUCGCUUUAAAAUAUAAAUUUAAAAAAAAAUAAAAAAUUAUUUGGAAAGUCAGUUUCCUACUUGUCGCGCUCACAUUAGUUCUUACAAUAAUUAUUUACAGAUGUGUCUUUAAUGAAUUAAAAAUAUAAUAUGUAAUUACCAUUAUUUUUAAAGGUUUUUAAUUUAUGUAAAUUAGGGUUUUAGUUUUAAUUUCCUAUCAUAUAUUUCAAAAUAACAUAUAUGAUAUAUAAUAAAAAGAAAUAUUUAUAAAAUAAAUAAAAGAAAAACAUACUUACAAAAGGAAAAACAUAUUUUAGGAAAACAUAUUUUAUAAAUAUAUGAGCAUGAAAAUAUUAUAUAUGUAAUAUGCUUCCAUAAAAAGGAAAGUUUACAAAAAAAUAUUGAUAUUAAAAAGAAAUAAUCAUCGCUUUAAAAUAUCAUUUUAAACAAAAUAAAAUAUAUUUUUAACAGUAAGAUAAUAUUUUCCUUAUAUCAAAUCUUUUUUGAAUACUCUUACAAAAAAUUUUAAAUAACAUAGACCAUGAUACUUUUGAUGAACUAAAAUAUUUAUAAUCACUAAUAUUCUAAUGUUUUAUUCAUUUUUUCCUAAAUUUGCUUUGUUAAAUUUUUAAUUUUUAUUUACAUUUUCUAUAUAAUUUUUAUCAAACUAAAUAAAUAAAAAUAUAAAAACUUUACAAAACUUAUUAUACCACUAAAAUUAAUUAAGGCUUAAUACUUUUUGGUUUAUAUUUUUCUUCUAUAUGUGUAUAACAAAAUAUACUUAUAAUAAUAAAUAUAAAACAGUACGAAUUUCUGUAUUUAAUACUACUUAUAAUUUUCAAUUUAUAAUUUACACAUAAAAAUUAUAAAUUACUUCAAAGUUACAAAAAAUAUUUUAAUUAUUUUGCAAAAUAUUGAUAUUUGUUCAUAAACUUUCAAAAUUUUAUGGGCUAUAUCCAUAUAUGAAACUUUUUACUUAUCAUCAUUUUAGUUUUUUUCUAAUAUUUUACAAAUCACCAAAUAUCAAAUUAUUCGAAAAAAUUACGAAAGUAUAGUUACAUUUUAAAGAUGGAGAACUGAACCUAGGCAAUGAAUAAAGGGAAAUUGCCACAAAUACCACAUUCAUAGUACCACUUUUCAUGUUUACAUUAACCACUUUUACCCUCACUUUUAAUGAAGGGUAAAAUACAUUAUACCCUUAGGGUUAACUAAUCUAGACUUAGGGUUUAGAGUUGAGGGGGUGGGGUAGGGUUUUUGGAAUGUGAAAUUUAUGAUUCUAAUAAAUAUAUAAAUACUUAAAAAAUAUAUAAAAAAUUUUAAAAAAUAGUUUCAAACAUAAUUUUCGUUUUUCAAUAAGAAAUUUGAAAAAAAAAUUAAAAAAAAAAUUUGGAAAAAAAAAUUCAAAAAAUAAAAUUUUAAUCAAAAAUUCGAAUUUGAAAAAGUAUAAUUCGAAAACAUAAAAAAAAAUUUACAUUUUUUUAUUUUUUUUUAUUUUUUUUUUUUUUUAUUUUUUUAUUUUUUGUGUUUUUUGUGUUUUUUAUUUAAAUAAUGAUUUAUUAUAUAUAUAAAUAACAAGGGCAUAAGAGUCUUUUGCACUUAAUGAAGAAGGUAUUUUUGAAAAUCUCUCAUUAGUGGUGGUAAAAAUGAAAAGUGGUACUAUGAAAGUGGUAAACAUGUAAAUUCCCCAUGAAUAAAACUAAUCAAAUUUAUUUGAACUAAAAUCAAAAAUAUUAUACUUCAAUUUGAUGAAAUAUAUGUAUCUCAAUAUAACCCAAAAUUGAGUAAUCUUCCAAAAUUUUAUACCCAAAAUCAAAAGGGUAAUUGUCACAAAUAUCACAUUUAUAGUACCACUUUUCAUGUCUACACUAAUCAUCACUUUUACCUUAACUUUUAAUGAAGAGUAGAAGAAUACACUUAUACCCUUGGGUUAACUUUUGACUGGGGUAGGGUUUUUGGAAUAUGAAAUUUAGGAUUCUAAUAAAUAUAUAAAUAAAUUCUUAAAAAAUAUAUAAAAAAUUUUAAAAAAUAGUUUCAAACAUAAUUUUUGAUUUUCAAAAGAAUUUUUUUUAAAAAAAAAAUCGAAACAAUUCAAAAAAUAAAAUUAGAAACAAGUUUGAAAUUGAAAAAGUAUAAUUCGAAAACAAUAAAAAAUUAUUAUUUUUUUAAUUUAUUUAAAUAAUGAUUUAUUACAUAUAUAGAGAACAAAGAUAUAAGAUUCUUUUACCACUUAAUGAAGAAUGUAUUUUUGAAAAUGUCCCUUUAAUAGUGGUAAAGAUGAAAAAUAGUAAACAUGAAAUUUCUCCAAAUCAAAAGUCUAAUUACUAUAAUAAUAUAUUAUUAUUUAUAGUAAUAGUUUAUUUAUUUUAAACAUAUAAAUUAUGGAAUGACUCCAAACAUAUAUAAAUGAAAAUGAAAUAUUAAAAAGUGUUACAAUUUAAUUUUAAAUUAUAUAUAUAUAUACAUAAUUUUUUUACAUAUCAUUUUUCCCUCCAUUAUGUAAUUUUUAAUCGAUCAAUAUUUUUUUUCUUUAAUUGUCAAAAAAUAUAUAUUAAAUUAUACAUAAUCUGACGACUAAACAAAUGUAUACAUAACCUUACUGAAAAAAUUAAACAAAUAUAAACCGAUUACCAAAGGAAAGCAAAUAACAAAAUUUAUUAAAACUUUAAUCUAUUGAAAAAAAAAUACUAUGCUCGAAUUCGGAGAAAUGAAUAAAAGGCAAUAUAUUCAAAUAAUAAACAAAUCGACUAGAUAGUAUAAAUCUAAUUAGCUAAUAUAAUAUUAUUUAAAAUUAUACAUAUAAAUUACAGAGUGAUUUAAAAUAAAAUUAAAAAUAUUAAUCAUUAGCUAAACAAUUUCCUUCUUCCAAAAUUAAAAUAUUAAAAAUUAAACAAUUUUCCUUCUUCCAAAAUGCUGAAAUCAUUAGCUCAAGCUAGCAAAAGCUGAUAUCGUGUAAAUAUGGACGGUGGCCAAAAAAGAAACAAACCAACAUCAAACCUUAAAAAGGUUCCACAUUCUCACUUUGUCAGCAAAUACUAAUGCGAGGAAAAGGUACGAAGCAAACAUGUAAUCAAGGCAACAUUAUCAAACGCGACCUCGUUAAGAAAAAAGAAAAAAAAGAAUGAACUAAGUAAUCAUCUAUGUUUAUCACUGCCCUAGUUAUAGAUAAACCCAGCCCAAUAAGAGCCCACUAGCGGGUUAUGUGGUAAAUUAGUAAAGAAGAGCCAGAGCCAUAUCCACCACCACCGAGCCAAGAGGAAAAUGGCAAUGGUGGUGGCCGUGGGUGUGCUCCACAACCACCUCCUCUCUGCGUCUUCUCGAAUAGUUUGUUUAUCUUCUUGUUCUCGCCCUCCCCUCUCAGUCUCGUCAGGUGUUGCGAAGGUGGUUCUUAAAAAGGGAAAGACACAGCUCUUCAAAGACGGAAGUCCAAUGGUGUACAGUGGAGCCGUGGACAGGAUCAUCGGAAAACCGCCUCCACAGACCGGAGAUGUUGUCAUUGUCGCCGAUGGCACCGAGAAUCCCAUUGGCUGGGGGUUGUAUAACUCCGUAUCUAUGUUCUGUGUUCGCCUUAUGCAGCUCCAACACGAAUCCACCAGGUUUCUUUCUUUCUUUCUUUCUUUCUUUGGAGUCAACUUGUUUUGCUUCAUAUUGAUUCCUUUUCUUCUUAUUGGCAGAGAUCCUUCGUGUGCACUCAACAUUGAGAAGCUUCUCCAAACUAGAAUCACUCAAGCAGUUCAGUUGCGGAAUAGUUUGGGACUCCCCUCGGAUAAUAAUACUAAUGCUUAUCGUCUUGUCAACAGUGAGGGAGAUAGGUGUUCUCACUCACUCACUCACUCACUAGCUAAAUCUCAAUCAAAAUUUUUUUUUUUCAAUCUUCUUCUAACAUAUCAUUAUCUUUAGAUUGUCUGGAUUGAUAGUGGAUGUGUUUGGAGAUAUAGCUGUGGUUGCAUCCUCCGCCGCUUGGCUUGAAAAAUACAGGAGUCAUGUGGAGGCUUGCUUGAGAUCAAUCAAUGGUAUUAAUCACAUUAACUGGAGACCCUCUCUUGAUGUUCUCAAAGAAGAUGGCUUUGAUAUCUCCUCUUUGAAACAAACAUCAUCUGCUCCUCCUCUCCCCGAGAGAUCAAUGGUCUUUGCUUCCCCUUGGCUAUCUUUAUGGAAACAAUCAUCAGGGAAUGAUCUUUCUUUCUUAUCCUCCUCCCCCUUAGGUGGUGGAAAAUGGUAUCUCUUACGCAAUCUCUCUAGAGGGACAGAAGACAGGGUUCUACACUGAUCAACGCGAAAACCGCCGCUUCAUAUCGACCAUCUCCGCUGGCAAAAGGGUUCUUGAUCUUUGCUGUUAUAGUGGUGGAUUCGCACUAAAUGCUGCGAGCGGAGGUGCCACCAGUGUCCUCGGUGUUGAUUCAUCUUUGCCUGCUUUGGAGCUCGCCAGAGAGAAUGUAAUCCUCAACCGUAUGGAUCCAGAGAAGGUUGCUUUCUUCAAACAAGAUUCUACAGAGUUCAUGAAGGGCGCUCUGUCAAGGGAAGAGACAUGGGACAUCGUCAUCCUAGACCCUCCUAAGCUAGCUCCAAGGAAAAAGGUUGGCCCCUUGGGACUUGUUUUCUUUUUCUUUUUCUUCUAUUGAUUUACAGGAAUAGUUAUUGAGAGGUUUUGAAUAUGCUCUGCUAGGUUUUACAUAACGCGGCAGGAAUGUACAGGAAUCUCAACUCGUUGGCGAUGAGAUUGACAAGUAGUGGAGGUUUGUUGAUGACAUGCUCAUGUUCAGGUGCCAUGACACAGAGCGGGAAGUUCUUGGGCAUUCUUCAGAGCGCUGCAGCUAUGGCGGGAAGGAAGAUCACUGUGGUUAGGGAGGCAGGAGCUGCUUCUGAUCACCCUCUCGACCCAUCCUACCCUCAAGGCCAGUACCUCUCCAAUAUUCUGCUUCGGGUGCUCUGAGUUUUCGUUUCAACAAAUGCUCAAUAUUAUUUUUUAGGUUUGUUGGGGACAAAAGUAAUUUAGUUUGAACUUGUUUGUUAUAGAUAUUUGGAGUAUCAGCUCUCACCGAAUGAACCAUUUUUGCAAGCAAGGAUUUCAUUGAGUAACGUUUCUUAAUUUCACUUAUUUUCUUUAUAAAAGUGAAAAGACAAUUUCAAAAAUUAGAACAGUUUUAUUUGAGGAAAACCACUUCAAUACAUUUUAUCCGAAAUUUUAGAAAAGAAUAGGUACGAAGAACAACAACAACAAAAAAGAACAGUUAAAAGUGAAAAAAUUUAUAAUUUCCGCAAAUGAAAUUAUAGUAUAGUUGAGCAUAUGAUUGAACCACGUCACUGUACGAUAAUAAUUCAAUGAUUCAUGAGAAUUCAUUUUGUUCUAUCUUCCUUUGGUUAUAUAAAACAUAAUUGGCCACAGAAGAAUUAUCAAAAGAAACAGCUCCUCUUGAUAGCAUUUGAAGGUAAAAUCAUAAUUGUAUUUGAAUCAAAAUGUUUGAUAUUUGUCAAUUGUCAAGACACUGCACCGCUAUUGGUCAGCUUCACUAAACUCUGAAGUCGACAUUUGCUUAAUUAAUAAUUCACUAAUCACUCAAUUUGUUGCUUAAUUAAUUAUUGCUACUUAAUUAUUUUCUCUGUAAGAUUACAACAUAUCACAGUCGUUUCGACUGUUUGUACAUCUUCACUGAUAAAAGCUUGUAUUCCCUCCGUUUCACUUUAUUUGUCCAUCUAGGUUUUUUGACACAUAUUAAAAAAUGAUUAAAUUUAUUAUUUUGUUCUUAUUUAAUACAUGAGAGUGAAUUUGAAAAAACUAGCAAAUCGAAAACAUAAAACAACACUUAAAAUGAAAAAAAUAAUACGAAAAAGAGGGAGCAUCAACAAAGCACACCAUCGUUUGCUUAAUCUGAAAAGUUGAGGUGGCUGAUCUGGGACUUGUGUAUGAAACAAGUUACUAAGGAGGAUCACUUGAACAAGCAGCGCGAUGAAUUGUAGUGUUGAUGUCAUUAGAAACAAUCACAUAAUAAGAUGAAUGUUUCCUGGUAUUAACUAUAAAAGCCGGAAAACCGGAUCAAAAGAAACGAUAUAAUAUAAACGACGUUAAGGAAAAUAUACAGACGAUUCAAAACCGUAACGGAAAUGAAACCAUGGAGUCGAGACGAAUCUCUUUCCUUAACUCUUAAUAUUCGCUCCGUUAGUGCGACGGAUCUGUACGAAUAGGAGUCCCAGGAUAAAACCAUGAUAGGUUAUCACGCAGCACUCGUGAAGAACCUCUAACGAACUAAUAUUUCUACGAAACACUCUCUAGACUUACGCUAUAGGAUUUGCUGGUUUUUGUUGUGAAAAAACGUCAAAAGAAAUGAAGGAGGAGACGAGUUUAUAAAGAAGAGAAGACGAGCCACUUUCCGUAACUGAUGCCGCACGUGCGCACGUUGGCGGAAAUCUCGCGAGGAUCUCGGAGGUGAGGCGUUACGAAACUUCCUCCGCAAGAUCAUCUUUUCUCGUUUAUACUUAUCGUCAAGAAGAGAGACAGCGUGUUGUUUUUAAACGAACUACGUGUUGUUUAAAAUAAAAUGCACGUCGUUUUUUCGGGAAUUAAAUGGCAAAGCGUUGAGCUUAACUUGGUCCAAAAAAAAUAGUUCUUAUCGGGCCAAAGGCUCUCCACCCAAGGCCAAGCCCAAGCCCAAGGCCAAGCCCACGCCGAGCCGGCCGGACGGCGGCGGCGCGCGCGUGGGGAAUUCUCUCUUCCUCUGAGCCGUUUAACACAUGGUAUGUGUGAGUGCAUAUAUAUACAGCUCGACUCUUCUCUUCCUCCCCGAUGUGGGACUUUGUAAGUUUCAUUUCAUUAACCACACAUAAGUGGGCUAUUAGGCACACAAGCCCAAUCAUUUGUUAUUCACAUAUUUUAAUUAAACCCAAUUGGUUUAAUUGAUCCAACAAUCCCCCACAUGAAUAGAAAUGACUCUUCUAAACAUAUGCAGACUAAAUGCAGACUCGAUAGACUCUAAAAAAAACUAUACUUAUUCUAAUCUGGACUAGACUAGACAGACUUAUCGAGAGUAUUUGCGAAAAUUCAAUUGUGUUUGAGUUGGUGGCAUUUUUAAGCCUUGAACCACUCAUAGUUAAUAUCUGUCGGGUUUACUUUACCAGAAGGUGAACAUGAUGUCUUGAACCAACCGGUGUUUUAUGUAAACCGAGACAACAGGCAUAACGCAGCUUCAUUUUCUCGUAGAACUUAGUUCUCUAUUGUGUUCAUUGUGGUCCUGAACUAUUCCUGGUUUUCAUGAGUGAACUUAGAGAAUAUAGCCUUGCAUUCAUUCUCCUAGAAACGGCCUCAUUUCACACUCAUUAGGUGAUUGACCAUGAAAAGUAUUGAGUAAUACUCCGCUUAAGAAGCUAUGGAAUCAUUAAAAGCUUAUGCUUAUCCUUCUCACAUUUGUUAGCACUUUUAUCAUCUUAGGAGCUGGGAAGAGACUACUUGUCUCAAGUGCUUUGGUUAGAUUCUGUUUGAUUUUGUUUUCCCUUUGAACCUACGUCUUGGGAUCUCCAGUCAUGAUAGGUAGGGUUGCAAUCAAGCAUCCUCAUUCGUUAUAGGCUUUAAACCCAUUCAUUUUGAUGAUUUAGCAACAACAUCUCGUGACAAACCUUUAGUAAAUGGAUCCGCUAGGUUGUCAGCCGAUUUGAUGUACUCUAUUGUAAUUACACCAGUUGAGAUAAGUUGUCUAAUGGUUUUAUGUCGUCUUCUGAUGUGACGAGAUUUACCAUUGUAGAGAUUAUUCUCAGCCCGAGCUAUAGCUGAUUGACUAUCACAAUGUAUGCGUAUAGCUGGCACAGGCUUCUCCCACAUAGGAAUAUCUUCCAAAAAAUUUCUAAGCCAUUCAGCUUCUUCCAUCGUCGAUCUGGCUAACACUGUUUGUUUGGUAGAUUUCCAUGAUAUUGCUGCUCCCCCUAGUGUAAAUACAUAUCCACUUGUGGAUUUUGAGUUUUUAGAAUCUGAUAUCCAGUUAGCAUCACUGUAUCCUUCUAAAACUGCUGGUUCUUUACCAUAGUGGAACCCAAAAUCUUUGGUGUAACGUAAGUAAUUGAGUACCCUCGUUAUAGCUUUCCAGUGUGUAUGACCUGGAUUACUUGUAUAUCGACUAAGUACGUUUACUGCAUGCGCUAGAUCUGGUCUAGUACAAUUUGUCAAGUACAUGAGACUUCUGAUCACACGUGCAUACUCGUUUUGUGAAACCGCUUCACCUGAAUUCUUUGUCAAGUGCAUUUGGGGAUCUAACGGAGUUUUUGCCGUAUUAUUAGAGUAAUUUUUAAAUCUCUCUAAUAUUGUUUGAGCAUAAUGAGAUUGGGUUAAGAUAAUUCCGUUUGAAUUUCUUGUGACUUUAACCCCGAGAAUUACAUCUACUAAUCCCAAGUCUUUCAUCUCAAAUGUCCCUUUGAGCAUGUUCUUUGUUUGAUUGAUAAUGUCUUUAUUGCUUCCAAUAAUGAGCAUAUCAUCUACAUAUAGACAUAGCAAAACAUACGCAUUUUUGGUAGUUUUGUAGUAUAUGCAUUUGUCACAUUCAUUUAUUUUGAACCAUUUGACAUCAUUGUAUUGUCAAAUUUUUCGUGCCAUUGUUUAGGAGCUUGUUUAAGCCCAUAAAGUGACUUUACAAGUCGACAUACUUUGUCUUCUUGUCCGGGAAUGACAAAACCUUCAGGUUAUUUCAUGUAAAUUUCCUCUUCUAAAUCACCAUUUAGAAAAGCAGUUUUUACAUCCAUUUGAUGGAUUUCUAGGUCUCUCAAGGCUGCGAUUGCUAUCAUCAGUCUUAUUGAUGUUAUUCUCGUCAUUGGAGAGUAUGUAUCAAAAUAGUCAAGGCCUUCCUUUUGUCGGAAUCCUUGAACUACAAGCCUAGACUUGUAUUUUCCACCAGGUUUGCGUGUCAUUAUCCAUUUAUUUCCUAAUGCUUUGCAGCCAGGUGGUAAAUCCGUUAUGUAAUACGUAUAAUUUUGCAUAAUCGAAUCUAAUUCACUCCUGACAGCUUCGUUCCAAAAAGGAGCUUUUGGUGAAGCCAUGGCUUCUGCCAAAGUUUUUGGAGCAUUUUCUACUAAAAAUGCCAUUAGGAAAUCUUCUCCAAAAGAUUUUUCCUUUCGAGCUCUUUUGCUUCUUCGAGGUUCAUCUUUUCCUUCAUUUUCUGAAAUAUCAUUUAUAGAAAUCUCGACGUUUGUCUCAGUUUCUGAGUUCUUGUCGUUGUCUCUUUCUUCUCGAGUUCGUUUUGAAUCUUGUUUUUCCUUAUAUGGAAAAAUAUUUUCGAAGAAAGAUGCAUUUCUUGAUUCCAUGACUGUAUUUUCAUGAAUGUCUGAUAUUUCAGAUUUAUGUACCAGAAAACGAUAAGCAUUACUGUUAUGUGCAUAUCCGAUGAAGAUGCAAUCCACUGUUUUAGGUCCAAUAGUGACCUUCUUUGGUGGCGGUACCGCAACUUUUGCCAGGCACCUCCACACUUUGAGGUAUUUAUACGAAGGUAACUUUCCUUUCCAUAAUUCAUAUGGAGUUUUGCCAGUUACUUUGUGUGGAAUCUUGUUGAGGAUAUAAUUAAUGGUAAGCAACGCUUCCCCCCACAUGUUCUGGGGUAACCCAGAUUCCUGCAACAUAGCAUUCAUCAUCUCUUUUAGAGUUCGAUUUUUGCGUUCAGCAACUCCAUUAGAUUCUGGUGAGUAAGGAGCUGUAGUUUGAUGGAUUAUUCCAUGUUCUUUACAGAAUGCAUUGAACGGACCAUCAUACUCGCCUCUUCUGUCGCUUCUAACUACUUUAAUAGUUGUUUUAAGCUGAUUCUCGACCUCGAGUUUAAAUUCUUUAAAUUUUUCCAAGGUUUCAUCUUUGCUAUGUAAUAAAUAAACAUAACAAUAUUUUGUGCAGUCAUCUAUGAAGGUCACAAAGUACUUUUUACCACCUCUAGUUUGUAAGUAUUUUAAAUCACAUAAAUCAGUGUGAAUUAAAUCUAGAGGUUUAUUAGUUCUUUCAACACGAGGUGAUGGCGUUUUUGUGAGCUUUGCCUGUACGCAUACUUCACAUUUUUGUUUACUUGUUUUGCAUUUAGGAAUUAGAUUUAAAUUCAUUAAUAUUUGUAUAGACUUGUAGUUUACAUGGCCUAAUCUUUCAUGCCAUAUAUUAAAAGACUCAACCAAAUAAGCAACUGGCUCAUUCUUAUUCAUUGAAACUUUUGGAGCUACAACUUUUGGAGUGACUGUCAUUACAUUCAACUUGACAAGUCCACCCUUAACAUAUCCCCUUCCCAAAUACAUCCCAUUCUUCCUAAUCACGAGCUUAUCCGCCUCAAAACUUGUGGCGAAACCAUUCUUGCUGAGCAAGGUUCCCGAGACUAGGUUCUUCCUCAUGUCAGGCACAUGCUUCACAUUUGUCAGAGUGACCUCACGUCCAAAUGUCAUCUUCAAGAUCACAUUGCCGCGUCCUUCAAUCUUGGAGACUGUAGUGUUUCCCAUCUUGAGCUUCUCCUUAGUCUUGCUUUUCUGAUAGGUGCUGAACAUCGCCCUAUCGGUGCAAAUGUGGGUGGUUGCACCAGUGUCAUACCACCAUUCCUUGAGGUUGUUGCUUUCAACCAUAUUUGCUUCAGUCACCACAGCAACGAGAUCCUCCUCAGUGAGAUUUGCCUGAGCCUUCUCAUCUUUGAUCUUUUUGCGACACUCAACAGUUUUGUGCCCCACUUUGUGGCAGUAGUGACAUUUCCCCUUGAACUUCUCCACAUUCGCAUUGAUCUCAAUACCUUUGUUCUUGAAGUUUUUUUCAGAAGCCUUCAAGGCUGCAGCAGUUUUGGAAGGCUUGGCAGGAGAAUAGGCGUGGGCCUUUCCUUUGCCUUUGUGCUCAGCCAUGUUGACACUGUGCUCCUUUGUACCGACCUUUGCAGCAGUUCGGUUUCUGGAUUCCAUCUGAAGCCUCGUGAUGAGCUCCUCGAGCCCCAUCUUCUUCUUCUUGUGCUUCAAGUAGUUCUUGAAAUCCCCAUAGCUUGGAGGAAGCUUUUCAAUGAAGCUGAGAGUUGUGAAUGUCUCGCAGAUGGACAUUCCUUCAGCAGCGAUUUCAUGGCAAAUGAGCUGAAGCGCUUCCACCUGAUCCAUGAUGGGUUUUGAAUCCACCAUUUUGAAGUCGUGGAAUUUUGAGACUACAUACUUCUGGCAGCCAGCGUCCUCACCUCUGUACUUCUUGUCUAGUGAUCUCCAUAACUCUUUCGCCGUGGGGAUCUCACAAUAGACACGGUACAAUGGGUCAAUGAGGCGACCCAAAAUGUAGCCUUUGCAGAUGAAGUCGGAAUGCACCCAUAUGUCAACAGUUGCGAGGCUGUGAACAUCAUCAAUCCCGUAAGGCAUAAGGGGCUUGUCCUCCUGGAGGAACUUCUCCAGCUUCAUCGUUGCCAGGAAGAACAACAUCUUCUUCUGCCACGUUUUGAAGCCUUUGCCAUCAAAUUGGUUUGGCAUCAGUCCUUGAGUGAACACACUAGGGACAGCCGGAGGAGUUUGAACUGCCACCGGACCACUUACAGUUGCUAAAAUUGAACCCGUCUGAUAAAGACCAGCACCGAAUAGGAUACGGCGAGUGGUUUCAUCAGCAGCAUUCCCUGCAGAGAGGAAAGUGCUCGUUGUUGCUGCAGUGGUUGACGCUGUGAUGUUUCCAGCGGUUGUCACGCCAGUUGCUGCAGCGUUGAGUGGAGUCUGAAUGACAUCCAAGGUGUCCAUGGGAGUGGGGGUGUCGUUCUCGUUUGUCAUUUUCCUGUAGAGAAAACAUGAAAACGGAUUAGUACUCCAUUCAACAAUUACAUAUUAUUUUAAUGAAAAUAAUAGUCUAAAAUCGAUGUUCUUUUUUGGUGUUUGAACCAAAUCAUAUCGAUAUAAGUUUUGAAAAAACGUUUUGCAAACUCGCUUAAAAGCGUUCGCAGAAACCAUUUUUAUAGACUUAGAAUGUUUCACAAACUCGCUUAAGAAAGCGAUCUUGAAACAAUUCAUUUAUAGAACGUUUCGCUAUACUGCUAGAAAACAAUCCGCAAAGCGUUAUUAAUAAAUAAGAAACGUUUCGCGGAAGGGCUAUAAAGCAAAUCGCAAACUCGUUUUCACCAAAAUAAGAAACGUUUCGCGGAUAAGCAUAUAGCAAAUCGCAAACAACGUUUGAUUGAACCCCGAAAGGUUUUUACGAAUCGUAUAUCAAAAAACGUUUUCCGGUAGUGCUACAGAGCAAAACGCAAACCGUUUAUGAGAUAAAUAACAAAACGUUUCGCGGAAGUGCUAGAAAGCAAAUCGCAAACAGCGUUCCAAAACCCGUAUUUAUAAAUCGUUUUUCAACCCGAUUCGAGCUUUAAACGUAAAGCGAUUAAGAGUUAAGAUUGUAAAAGCCGGAAAACCGGAUCAAAAGAAACGAUAUAAUAUAAACGACGUUAAGGAAAAUAUACAGACGAUUCAAAACCGUAACGGAAAUGAAACCAUGGAGUCAAGACGAAUCUCUUUCCUUAACUCUUAAUAUUCGCUCCGUUAGUGCGACGGAUCUGUACGAAUAGGAGUCCCAGGAUAAAACCAUGAUAGGUUAUCACGCAGCCCUCGUGAAGAACCUCUAACGAACUAAUAUUUCUAUGAAACACUCUCUAGACUUACGCUAUAGGAUUUGCUGGUUUUUGUUGUGAAAAAACGUCAAAAGAAAUGAAGGAGGAGACGAGUUUAUAAAGAAGAGAAGACGAGCCACUUUCCGUAACUGAUGCCGCACGUGCGCACGUUGGCGGAAAUCUCGCGAGGAUCUCGGAGGUGAGGCGUUACGAAACUUCCUCCGCAAGAUCAUCUUUUCUCGUUUAUACUUAUCGUCAAGAAGAGAGACAACGUGUUGUUUUUAAACGAACUACGUAUUGUUUAAAAUAAAAUGCAUGUCGUUUUUUCGGGAAUUAAAUGACAAAGCGUUGAGCUUAACUUGGUCCAAAAAGAAUAGUUCUUAUCAGGCCUUUGGUCCGACACCCACGCCCACGCCGAGCCGGCCAGACGGCGGCGCGCGCGUGGAGAGCUCUCUCUUCCUCUGAGCCGUUUAACACAUGGUAUGUGUGAGUGCAUAUAUAUACAGCUCGACUCUUCUCUUCCUCCCCGAUAUAGGACUUUGUAAGUUUCAUUUCAUUAACCACACAUAAGUGGGCUAUUAGGCACACAAGCCCAAUCAUUUGUUAUUCACAUAUUUUAAUUAAACCCAAUUGGUUUAAUUGAUCCAACAUUAACUACACUUCAAAGGCAGCCAAAGUUUCUUCCCUCACAGAACAGCCUUCAUAAGUGGGCUAUUAGGCACACAAGCCCAAUCAUUUGUUAUUCACAUAUUUUAAUUAAACCCAAUUGGUUUAAUUGAUCCAACAUUAACUACACUUCAAAGGCAGCCAAAGUUUCUUCCCUCACAGAACAGCCUUCUUAAUAUUUCUAUAUAAACACUAAAUAAACUAACCAUCACUGCCCUGCCCUGAGAAGCUAUCUUUUAAAAAUCAUUGGGUGAAAAGAAACAUUUCACAACUAUUGUAGGAACUGGAACCAAACAUGGCCAAGUCUCACCAUGACACCAUCUUUGGUUUUUUAUCACAUCGUUGUUUAUUCCUUAUCUAAUGCACUUAUAUAUUUAGACGCGUAUUAGAAUCUACGUCCAUGGUUAUCUCCUCGACUGUUCAGACCAUUUUGCAUGGAUUGUCAUGUGGUGAAAAGAGUGAAGACUUAAAUUGGAUGAUUUAUUAUGCUUGCAUGGAUGCUUUAUUAUGCAUAUAUAAACUGGAUUUGUGAACUGUGCAAAGCAAAAUGGCAAAUAAUUCAAGCAGAGAGACAUGGGGAGAAUCUAAACCACACUUUCAUGACAGUAUCAGAAACCUUUGCUUCUCACUUCUUUUGCUGAGCCUUGAGUUCUUUUACCCUCUCUUCCGUUGCUUUCAAUGCUUUCCCGUAGAUAUCAAUUAACUGCAAAAAUGAAUAAGAGCCACCAAAUUAGGGGAAAAGGGGAAAAAAAAAGAUUUAACAGAUUAAUGAUGUCUCAAGAAUUGUAACCUAUAUAUACCUCAUCGAUCUCUUCAGGUGAGAUAAUGAGCGGUGGAGACAUCAUUAUGCCAUCACCUGCAACACGGACUAACAUACCGCGUUUCUGGCACUCGGCUCCAAAAUAUGCACCAACACCUGUAAACAUCAAUUGAAAACGGUGCAGGGAUGUGUGUAAGGUAAUGAGUUUAGGAGAGAGACACUUUUGUUGUUUGGUUGGUUAUUAGAGAUACUUUACCCCAUUCUGGGGGAAAUGGUUCGUUCGGAGAUUUGUUGUCUGUAAACUCAGUCCCCAGAAUCAAACCCGUUCCUCUUAUCUGAAAACCAUCACAAAAAUGUUCAAUCAAAGACUUCAACAGAUAGGCUGGUGAGUAACAUUAUACCUCUCCAAUAAUAGGACUACUCUUGGCAAAAGCUUUAAGACCAUCUUGAAACCUUGGGGAAACUUUGGCGACAUGUUCUGGUAUGUUCCUCUCCCUGUCAUAUGAAUAUUGAGCGUCAAGAAAGUGCAGAUAAGAAUAGAGAAAUGAGAACCAUAAUCACCAACUCACUUGUAUAUCUUUAACGCUUCAAUUGCUACAGCACAUGAAACUGGAUGACCAGAGUAAGUAAAUCCAUGCGAGAAAGCACCUGAAAUACCAAAACAAAAAAUGGGUUUUAAGAUCUCAGGAUACUGGAAUAUUACAAAGUUGAGCAUAACUAGCCCAUACCUAGCUUGUUGCUUUGAGAAUAUAUGACAUCUGCUACUUCUUGACUCAUAAGAAUGGCACCAAUAGGCAUAUAUGCUGAAGAGAGUGCCUGCAUCAUAUAUUAAAAACAUUUACCAAUUGUCUGGAGAAGUUUCGCAACAGUGAUAGGAAAUCUACAAAUCAUCUGACAAAAUCUCACCUUGGCUAAGGACACAAGAUCUGGCUUGAUGUUGUAUUUGUCACAGCCAAACAUUGUCCCCAGUCGCCCAAAUGCACAAAUCACCUUAUAGACCAAACAUAAUUAUAACGGGUAAUGAUAUCUUUUUUUUUCUUCAUCGUGAUAGUAAACAUGGUUCAAUAAGAUAAUGCAUAUACCUCAUCAGCAAUGAACAGGAUGUCAUACUUCUUAACAACAGCUUGAAUCUGCAGUACAGAAAUGAGAUAAGAAAAAAAAACACAUCACAUCCACAAUGACCUUACCACGAAAAAGAUUAAUCAUUGCAGUUUGGUAUUUAUGCCAACAAAGGUUUCGAAAUUGACCUUUUCAAAGUAUGUAGCAGGCGGAGGUAUCACACCGCCAGCACCCAUUACUGGUUCAGCAAUAAAAGCACCAAUCUGGUAAGAAGACAUUUGCGUUAGAUUGGAGCUGCCAACAUCAACGUUACUAAAUGAAGAUCGUAAUUUCCUUAGAUUGCUCACAGUUUCUGGUCCCUCUUUAAUGAUAAGAUCCUCUAAAUUCUUGGCUAAUCUGGUUGAGAACUCCUCUUCCGUUUCCCCUGCACAAAAAAUUAUCCAAGGUUAAAAUAAAAAGAUCACACUCAAGCUUUUAGCAAAGCUUCCCUUUAACCAAUAAUGGAAUUUAGAAUCCUUCAUACCCGGAAGAUGAAAACGCCAGUAAUGAGGGCAAUCUGUGUGCAACACAAAUGGUGCAGGUAAAUCAAAGUUUUGAUGCAACGCUGGGAGACUGUAAAAUUAGAGAAUCAAUAUUUUGAUGCAUUUGUUAGGCAAAUAUAAAGUCUCUUUGGCAUUUCUAAAGAGAAUAUCUGAGGAACUAUAUAUUCAUCAUACCCGGACAAACUUGCUGAUAUUAAAGUGGAGCCAUGGUACCUGAAAUUCAUAACACCACCCUUAUAAGUAAGUACUUCGAGAGCUUAUAGAAACAGAUAACACACAAAAUGACAAGCAAAUAUCCUUUUCUUUCUCACGAUUUCUUUCUCGCGAUAAACUUUUUCUUCUCAGGCCUCCCAAGUGCGUUAUUGUAAUACCAAACCAGCUUGACCUGCAUAAUACAUGAGAUUUAUAAGCUUCUAAACAAGGAGAUCAAGGUAGAUCAUAUAGUUUGGGGAACCUCAAACCUGUGUAUCAUUGGCCUCUGAUCCACUGUUUGUAAAAAAUGCUUUGGCCAUUUUCUUGGCCGUGAACAUCUCUAAAAGAUCCUUAGCAAGAUCCUGUUUUCGCAGGAAAAAUAUAACACAAUGAUCAAAUUCUCUUUAAUCACCCUAAUUACACAGCAGAAUGUACAAAAAACAUUAUUAAUAAAAGGACAGCAGAAGUAAAAAGUCUCACCAGAGAAGGCUUAGUAGUACGGUUCCAAAAGGAGUGAUAAAAGGGCAAGGUGUUCAAUUGCCCUACAGCAGCAGAAACAAGCCGUGGCUCAUUUCCUCCUGCAAGAUGUUGUGGUAUCAAUGCUAACACUUUCACAAAUAUCCUAGGAAUAGCGAAAUAUACAAAAAGGAAAAAAGAGAAACAUCAAGUCAAAUAGUGUGGUAACAGAAGGAACAAUAUACCUAAGGCAGUACACCAUAGACCAGCGAGAGAGUCAAGAUACUUCUUCCCAUGGUCAUCAUACACAUAACUCCCCUGUAAGAAGAAUGAAAGGAAAAGAAAUGUCACACACUUUUUUGUAGGAACAUUGACGAAUGAAUCAAAAAAGAAGGGGGGUGACCUCGGAUUUGGCUAUGAUCAAAGGAUCUAAAUCAGCACUCUGCCACCCAGCUGUAAAAGGUGCUAGCAUAUCAUGCCCCUUUGACCUGCCCAUCAGAAAACGCAACCACUUAUUCAUCGCCACGUUGACAAAAGCAUGAAACUUUUGCAGAAAAUAAUCACGAGUGUGAAACUUACCCAAGCUUCUCUGGUGAUGCUUCUGUAGUGAGGAUUCUUGAGCCAGGCAUGUAUUGGGAAGAAACAGCAUACCUGCUCUGCAAAGUAACCUGCCAUAUGAGAGAGGAGCGAGUUUUUUGAGCUAUGAAUCAAAAUCACUAUUUGAGUUAAUAUAUAUAAAAUGGAUUCCUUGAAAUUCUUCAAGAUCACUGUUUGGGUAGUUUAUUAUUAUAAAAUUAAAAAAAGGGUUCCUUGAUUACUGGAGAAUCCCACAAAAGUUACACUCUCACAAAGUCACGUUUGAUGGGAAUAUUAUUUGAAAGUACGACUUACAAAAAAAAAGAAAAAGAAGAAAGAAAGAUUCAAUUUUUAAGCAUUUGAACAUGAAUCUGGACAGAAUCCUGAUCUACUACGGGUGAGGAGUGACGAUGAAGCAGCUAAAAAGCAAUCGAAAGGAGCGAGUGAGAAAACCUGGGUAGUGCGCGCCAAUCGUCGGAGGCUGUUGACCACUGCCAUUUCGAAGAUUGAAUCUGUAGAAAUGAUCCUUUGAUUCUUUUGAGAUUUGUUCGCUUUUAAAAACAGAGGAGGAUCAUCAUCGUUGAUACCUUCCUUAUAUGAAUACUCUACAAAAUUAAAUAUCUUUUUUCUUAUUAUCUCUUCGACUCCCAUUUGAUUUUUGAUCAGUGACGUGUCAUUGACUCAUUUUAUUACAUAUAUAUUUUUGAUCAUCGUCCUUGAUACCUUCCUUAGUUUCCAUUCAUUUUUUUCCCACAAAUUGAAUUUAUUCAUACGGAAAAUACCAGUAUUUAUACCGGCCAAACAAAAUAGUCUCAGAACCAAAAGUCCAUAAAAAAUGACAACUAAAUAUCACAUUGAGGCGACUUAAACCCACACCAGAGUGACUUAAAAAAGAACAUAAAACAUAACAACUACAAUGAUAUAAUAGUGCACCUAGCAAUCUUUAGAAAUGAUAAAAUGCCAAUGAUCGAGAAUUACCGCUGCUGCCUAUAGUCCACCACCCGGUACAUUCUACUUCUACACCUAAACCACACUUAUCGAUGCUGCCUUGUCCGCCACACGAUAAGACCAAGACCCGGAGACUUCACAAACUCGACAAGGAGAACACGCUGCUCGGUCCACACUUUUUGGAUAUAUAAACACUCUACGAUCUAAGAAAAAAGCUCCUCCAAACACCAAGAAGAUGAAGCCUUGCCAACCGAAUUUUUUGAACACUUACUGGAGAGAAGAACCAAACGGCAAGCAAUCAAUAGACACAUUACGUCUAAAAGAAAGACUGCUAAGUCACAAGUAACACGACCAAACCCGGCGAAGCUCACUGAGCCACACCACAACUCCCUCCUCAAAAUAAAUCGAUCAAAGCAGCAAAAAGGAAAUGUGGAUGGACCACAAUAACCCACCGCAAUGAAGAAACUUCUAUACUUCAUCUAAUCAAAGAGCUGUUUCUCUGAACAAACAAAAGAUACCCCCGCAAGAAUAUGGACAAACUGACUCCACAUACAACAAACACACAGACCAACGCUUCGAGAAAAAGGUAGAACGAUAAACCUCAUGCCAUGAAGAACAGCGAAGGAAGGGACAAGCAAAAGCUCACCAGACCCACACCAAGUCGCUCUCCCCCAAACCUGAGUCAGAUUUGGAAAGGCACUGAAUCGAAACUACCCUCCUGUGAAGCCAGUGGUGGAGGCAAUUCAUUGUCACGGUAGUCAAAUGACCCACGUGAAAUUAUGAAAACAUUAUGGCUUUUAUUAAGAAUUUUAAAAUGACCCUGGUCCAAAAUAUUUAUUGAUCCCGUUAAAAUUUUUCUGACCCUUAUCCAAAUUACUUUGACCCUAGUCCAAAUUUUGUAUGGACCAUAAUCUAAUAACUACAUUAAUUAAUUUGCAGCCUAUUAGAUUUUAGAUAAAGAAUUACAACAAAAUAAGCCCACCAGAUAAAAUAAACCCAACCAUUAAUAUUAUUUCAAUGACUUAAGUCUAAUUAUUAUAUUAAUUUAGUCAUUUGGACGUUUUGUUUUCUUCUUCUCCUUUCUGGUCUUUCUGAAACUCGUCCAUUACAACAACAGUAGCCAGUAGCGAAGGUAAUAAAUAUUGUAUUUUGUUAAAUAAUUUAUUUAAGCUUUCUUCUUCUACCAAAUAUGAAUAAAGUAUUAUAUUUUUAUAAAAAUCAAAAGAUCUUAAAACUAGUUUUUAUUUAUGGCUUGUUCCUUCGAUUUUUAGAUUAUUUUAUCCUAAUAAUUGUUAUGUUUCAUAGUUUCAAAUGAUAAAAUACCAAAUGUCUACAUAAAGGAUACCAUUUGCACAAAAAACAGAAGGAUUGCUCAACAUACAAAUUUCGUAACUAUUAGACAUAGAGAAUUGAACAUUGUCUGUUAUAUUAUAUACUUGGUUUGAUAUUAUAUUUUGUUUUUAUUUAUGCAGGUACCAUCAGACAAAAUGGAACGAUAUUUGAAUUUGAACAAAAGAAAAGCUCCACCAUCUGAUAUCAACUUGGAUGAUUUGCCGUGGGAUCCAGCUAAGCGGAAAAACAUUCUAGACUACCCUUAUAAUCAAAGAGAUGAAGUAAGGCGCAAGUAUUUGACUAGAGGACCUUGUCAACCUAUUGGUCAUACUUUUCAACAAAAAUCAAUAGGAGGUGUAUUACGACGCUUUAAUCCACGUUGGUUUGAGCAGUACCCUGAUUGGUUAGAGUAUAGUCUGGAUCAAGAGAAGGCUUUUUGUUUGUUUUGUUACUUGUUCAGAGUUCAAGCUGGAAAACAAGGCGGAAGUGAUACUUUUGUAUCAACGGGGUUUUCUAGUUGGAAUAAGGCUGAUAGUUUCAGUAAGCAUGUGGGAGAUCAUACUAGUUUUCACAACGAUGCUAGAAAUAAAUGUGAAGACUUGAUGAGACAAAGUCAGUCUAUCAAGCAUGCUUUACAUAAACAAACCAAUGUUGUGAAGAAUGAUUAUCAGAUCCGUUUGAGUGCUUCGAUUGAUGUUUCUAGACACUUGUUACACCAAGGACUGUCUUUUCGUGGUCAUGAUGAGAAAGAAGAGUCAACAAACAAAGGUAAUUUCUUAGAGCUUCUGAAGUAUACGGCUAGUCAGAAUGAGGCUGUUAGAAAAGUUGUGAUGAACAAUGUUCCUAAAAAUAAUCAGAUGACUUCUCAUCCUAUCCAGAAAGACAUUGCUCAUUGCUUUGCGGAAGAAGUAACUAAGUCUGUCAUACAAAAAAUCAACAAUGAUGUAUUUGGCUUGCUGGUAGAUGAAUCGGCUGAUAUUUCAGAUAAAGAGCAAAUGGCUGUGGUUUUUCGUUUCGUUGAUAAAUUUGGGCUCGUAAAAGAAAGAUUUGUUGGUCUUAGUCAUGUGAAAGAGACAUCUUCUUCAACUCUGAAGGAUGCUAUUGAUGAUUUGUUUUCGAAACAUGGAUUGAGUUUGAAAAAGGUGAGAGGACAAGGUUAUGAUGGGGCCAACAAUAUGAAAGGAGAAUUCAAUGGUUUAAGAUCUUUGAUUUUGAGAGAAAGUAGAUCUGCAUAUUAUGUUCACUAUUUUGCUCAUCAACUUCAGUUGGUUGUUGUGGCUGUUGCAAAGAAGCAUUUUGAAGUUGGAGAAUUUUUCGAUAUGGUUCAUGUUCUGUUGAAUGUGGUUGGGGUUCUUGUAAAAGAAAAGUUAUGCUCACUGAAAGUAAUCGCAAGAGAAUGGAAGAAGAGAUUAGUAAGGGUAAAAUGAAGACUGGAACUGGGCUGAAUCAAGACCUUUCUCUUAAAAGACCUGGAUAUACUCGUUGGGGUUCACAUUACAAGACUUUAUUACGUCUUGUUGUGAUGUUUCCAUGUAUUAUUGAAGUUCUUGAACAUAUUCAGAUAGAAGGCAAAGAUGGCACCAAAAGACAACAAGCAUAUGGUCUCCUCAAAUAUUUUCAGACAUUUGGUUUUGUCUUUCAUCUACACUUGAUGCUUGUUGUUUUGGGACUCACUAAUAAUUUGUCAAAGGCUCUACAGAAAAGAGAUCAAGAGAUCUUGAAUGCAGUUUCAUUGGUUGAAUCUACUAAGCAACAAUUAUAGAAGCUUAGAGAUGAAGGAUGGGAUGAUUUUGUGGCUGAAGUUUAUUAUUUUAGUGAGAAGAAUAAUAUUGAAGUGCCUAGUAUGGAAGAAAACUUUGUUGACUCAAGAAAACCAAGGAGUAAAACUGGCAUCACAAACUUGCAUCAUUAUAAGGUGGAGUGUUUUUACACUGUUCUAGAUUUGCAGCUUCAAGAGUUCAAUGAUCGAUUUGAUGAGGUGAAUUCUGAACUACUAAUCUGUAUGGCAUCCUUAAGUCCGACAGAUUCUUUUGUUCAGUUUGACAAGUCAUUGUUGGUGAGACUAGCUGAGCUUUAUCCAGAUGAUUUUAGUUGUGUGGAGCGAAGAUCUCUUGAGCAACAGUUUGAAAUCUACCUUGAUAAUGUGAAAAAGAUGAAAGAUUUUCUAAUCUAGAGAGUAUUGGUGAUCUUGCUCGUGUAUUGGUUGAGACAAGGAAACAUCUUUCUCAUCCUUUGGUUUAUCGUAUUUUGAAGCUAUGUUUGAUUCUUCUUGUUGCAACUGCAAGUGUUGAAAGGUGCUUCUCUGCCAUGAACAUUGUGAAGACGGCCUCGCGUAACAGUAUUGGUGAUGAAUUUUUAAGUGAUUAUCUAAUUUGUUUCAUUGAAAAGCAAAUUCUUGAUACAGUGGCAAACGAAACAAUCAUAAAAAGCUUUCAAAAUAUGAGUGAGCGUAGAGUACAUCUUUGAAAUUCGAUGUACGGUGAUAUUUUUAUUAUUCAAUAGUUUAUGUACUUUAAGCAAAGUUAUACUAUGACCCCCGUCAACAUUUUCUCUGCCUCUGCCACUGUGUGAAGUCCUGCCCCGACGAAUCCUUGCAGCAUCUCGUUGCUAUUCCAGUGACGUGACAGACUCUGCCUCGCCGAUUUAGAUCCUCCAGAAACUCCAAGAAAAUCAAGAAUAGCGCGCAUUUCGAUACAGUGCAAAAAAAAAGACGAAAUCGGUAAGGAACAUGAGAAAGGACAAAAAAAACUACAAAAAGAGGAGGAGGAGAGGGCUCUCACGGUGACUAACCACCGGAUACGCCCCUCUUCUGAUAUGAUUCUGUUGACAGUGCUUUUAGGAUUUUCGCAAGUGUAUUCUCUUUCACGACUAGUUUCUAUUCAUUUUGGCAGCCAUAUUUUGCAAAUUCCUUACCAUAUUAAAUCACACCAACUACGCCAGCUUGUUUCUUUUUUCUUUUAAUUCAAAAGUUGAUUAAUAUUAAAUUGAAGUUCGUAGGAACAAAAUAAUUAUGUUGUGUGAAUAUUUUUUUAGCAUAAAAUAACAUAAAAAUAACAAACAUAUUGCGGUAAGAGAUCGAUGAUAGAAUCAUUUUCAGUACUGCUAAACUGUUUCCAUUUUAGUGAGUGGUUAGCGUAUACUUGUUUUUUUUUUUUUGAAAAAAAGCGUAUACUUGACUUGUUUUACCUAUUGCAGCUAAAGGUUACGGCCGAUUAUUAUUGUCAAGAUAGUCAUCUUCGCUGAUAUGUUCAUUUUGUUUUUCUAUUUAAUAACUUGAAUCACAGUGGUAACAUAUAUAGCGUUAACAAUCAGUACAAAUUUAGAUAUCAUUCAUUAGGUUAGUAUAUGUUUAUCGAUGCAUGAAACAAUAGAGAAAACGAUCCGUGUUACAAAAAUUACAAAUCAGUCUCAUCCAUGUCAUAGAUGACAAUGACAAGACAGUCACAUAAGAUAAGAAACUUUUUUUGUCUUCUCAUUCAAAUAUUAUUUACUAUACAGAAAAAAAAUUAAGAACUAGCAGAAACUAAACUGUGUGGCGUUUUACAGCUUAAUAAACGCUGAGAAGUUCAGGUUACAAGGCGCAAUUUAGCACCCCGACGGCGUGCAAUCUAUCCAUCAUUCAUUCAUUCGUAUCUGAGUAGAGGGAAACGAAACGAUAAAUCAAUUUCUAGCAAGUCAAUUCCUAUCUGUCAAUCUUCUUCGCAUUUUAGAGCGAGAAAAUGAGACUUUUUAGAGAGAGAGAGAGAAAAAGUAGGCAAGAAAGACGGUCACUGACUGAAUAAAAGAUCACUCACUCUCACACCCUUUCAAGAGAUCUCAUCGCCCGAUCUUUCCUUCCUUCCCCGCCGGUAAAGUUUCUAGCUUUGCUUCUUCUCUCGUGUCUCUUCGUUUCUCAAUUUGAGAGUUUACUGCAAAGUUUCCUUAUUUAUUCCAAUACAGAGUUGCUGAUUAAAAGUAUUCAUCAAUAAAGUUUUGGUUUUAAUUUUGAGAUCCUAACAUUGUCCGAAGAAUCUAGCUACUCAUUUCAGUUUCCUUACUUGUGUAUCUAUUGCUGCUUCAGCCCAAAAAGGAAAGUUUGUUUCUUUCUCUAUAAUUCAGCUGCUAUUCAAUUCUGCAGGUAGUUCUUAACUUGCUUUGAUAGAAAAUGGGUGCUUCAGGGAGAUGGAUUAAAGCACUUGUUGGUUUCACCAAGUCUGAUAAGUCAAAGUCUAAAAAGAAGGAUGAUAAUGUAAGCACACACUAUGUUAUUUCUUUACAAGAGAAUCUCUUUAUCUAAAUGCCAAAUGUUGUAUACUUUCUUCACCUUUUUUUUUGUAUUUUCAUUAUAUGUUUGUUCAAUUGGCGAAGGUGAAGACUGCAACCAAGAGCCGGUUUGGGAGAAACCAUUCUGUUGAUUUUGAUGCUGAAAAGUUUCAACUUGGAUUUGAAGAUUCCAAUACGCAUAGCAGCAUGUUAGAUAAUGGGGUCUCCACUUCAACUUCUUAUGGUGCUGCUAAUGAAGAACAAAGGAAGGAGCACAUGGCUGCAACUCGGAUUCAAACAGCUUUUCGAGGGUUUCUGGUAUCAUCAUCACUUUCUUCGCCCUGUCAACUUUUUUUUUAAUAUUUGUCUCAAGCGUUACUGAGAGAAAGAUGAUACCUUUUUUCUCAGGCUAGAAGGGCUUUACGAGCAUUGAAGGGAUUGGUUAGACUUCAGGCCCUUGUUAGAGGACACGCGGUGAGAAAGCAAGCUGCUGUAACGCUUCGAUGCAUGCAAGCGUUAGUAAGAGUCCAGGCUCGUGUACGCGCAAGACGUGUUCGUCUCGCCUUGGAAAGUGAAACGGGUCCGCAGAUGCUUCAGCAGCAGCUUGCAGAUGAAGCCAGGGUUCGAGAAAUAGAGGUGUGAUGAUCACUUGUCUCAGUUAUUUAACUUUUGCAAAGAGAAUUAUAGUUAUGUUGACUAUUUGUUCUCAUUUCUCAGGAAGGUUGGUGCGAUAGCAUUGGUUCUGUUGAACAAAUCCAAGCCAAGAUACUAAAGAGGCAGGAAGCUGCAGCUAAGCGUGAGAGGGCUAUGGCAUAUGCUUUGACUCACCAGGUUACUCACAACAACCUCUAUGCUUGUUAAGAAGUAACUGUUUGAAUUUUCGCACUUUGUACUAAUCAAAACAUUCCUUAUAACUCUUAUCUGAUUGUCAUGGGUUCUCUUCUAUAGGAUCAAUCUUUAACCAAACACUAUGAUAGCAAAACUGAAGCUGUAUACUCUUAAAUCUUACAUAUAAAAUUUGGUAUGUUGUAGUGGCAAGCAGGAACUCGGCAGUUAUCUGCGCACAGUGGUUUUCAGCCUGACAAAAACAACUGGGGAUGGAACUGGCUAGAAAGAUGGAUGGCUGUUCGUCCAUGGGAGAAUCGGUUUCUUGACAGUAACCUCAGGGACGAUGCCAUAUUAGGUGAAAACAAUAUGGAGCAAACUGAGAGUGUUGUGCAUAAAACUCAGAUGAAAAUUGCAAGCAAGAUUCCAAACACUUCAAAUCUUGCGUCCGGUGUUUCGAGUCAGAAGGUAACCGGGCCAUCUCUGUCGGAUGGUAAUUCCACUUCACCUGGAAUAUCUUCAAGCAUGCCAGUGCCAGUGGUGUCCAAGGAUAGGUCAAAGCUCGCUAAAGACGAUCUUGCUGUAGAAGUUGUUAACUCAAGACCUGGUGCUGGUCCAAGAUCACACAGCAAUCCAAAAGAAAGAUCAAGAGCGCCAGAUAGAGCUUCUAAGGAACGAUUAUCUCUGCCAAACAGUGGUCAGAUCUCUUUCUGUAUCCCCUAAGUUUCCUCUUUUUUUUUUUCCCUUUUUGAUGGUUGAGUGAAUAGUCUUAUCAACAUGGGGAUAGUGAUAAGAAAAUCAGCUUUGCAUUACUCAUAAGAAUACAGACCACAACUUAUAUGUGUAUACCUAAGAAGCAAUACAUUUGAUCUUUGAAACAUUUAGGCUGUCUUUUGACCUUUUUUUUUCCUUUUUAAGGCUAAAAUUGUGAACAUUGGUUCUUGAGCAGGAAAAUCCUUAGGAUCUCAGUCAGCUAAAGCCAAAUCUUCCCAAAACCAGAAAAGACGCAACUCUGAUCCAAUAAAACAGAGGCUUGCAUAGCCCUGGCUAGAGUCUCUGAGAAUCGUCAGUCCAUCUAUCACUCCCAUCGUUCCUGUACAUAAACACAGCUUCUGAAAAUGGAAACAAAAAGAGAAAAAGAGGAUAUCAUGUGAGAACACAAUGGGUUACAUUCAGAGACUUGCGUGGUGGUUAGAGAUGUCAAAUGGGCUGUCCAUGUCCACUGGACAUGUCCAAAUGGACAAAUCAGUUUAUUGGACAUUAUUUUUUUUAAGUCCAAAUUAUACCAAGUUCAAAUUGUCCAGACCAAAUUGGACCAUUCCAAAUGGGCAUUCCGCGGAGUCCAAUUAAAAAAUCAGUGUUAACAUACAAAAAUUCAUAUUUAAUAUAUUAUUAUGUGUUGUAGAAUUCAAAAGCAUAGAUACGAUUUUGGCGAGAAAUCUCGAUUUACGGUUUUGGAGGAAAAUCUCGAUUUUACGGUUUUGGCGGGAAAUCUCGAUUUUAUAGUUUUGGCGAGAAAUCUUGAUUUUACGGUUUUGGCGGAAAAUCUCGAUUUUACGGUUUUGACAGAAAAGUAUAUCUACAGUUUUGGCGGAAAAUCUCGAUUUUACAGUUUUGGCGAAAAAAUCUCGAUUUAUGGAUUUGGCGGGAAAACUCGAUUUAUGGUUUUGGCGAAAAAACUUGAAAAUUCAAUUUUACGGUUUUGGCGGAAAAACUAGAUUUACAGUUUUGGCGGGAAAUUUCGAUUUUACGGUUUUGGCGGAAAACGAGAUUUUACGGGUUUAACGUAAAAAUGUGAUUUUACGGUUUUGGCAAGAAAACGUUAUUCCACGGUUUUAACGGGAAAAUAUGAUUUACGGUUUUGACGGAAAACAUGAUUUUUACUCAAAUACAUUAACCCUAAAUAUUUUAAAAUUUUGGGCCGUCCAUGUCCAUCUGGAUUUGUCCAUUUGGAUAUGGGUGUAUUUGGGCCUCGUCCAUUUGCACAAAACAAAAUUAUGGUCAAAUAUGGGUAUGUCCAUAUUGGUUUGGACAUGGGCUACCCAUGGACAGCAUGCCCAUUUGACAUCCCUAGUGGUGGUACAUUGAUCAGAACUCAGAAGAGAACACCAUCGUCUUGGCGUCUUUCUGCCUUCAUUGUUGUUUGUUAUUUGUGUGUCAGACAUCCUUUUUCUUUUGUCCAUGAUUCUUAUAUGGAUUAUUAGUACGUAGUGUUAUUAUUCAAGUAAAGUUGUUUGGGGUAUAUGAGUGAGACAGUUUUUUUUUGUUGGGAGAACGAACCAUGCUGCUCCUGGCCUUCCCAAUGUGAUAUAUAUACAGUAGUGUGUUGUAUUUGGUAUAAGUUCCAAUUAUUCAGAGUGAUAAUAUAUAUUAUCAUCAUGAUAAGGUAUCACUUGGCUUGUCAUCUUUUCGAAACAGGAAAGUGAAUCAUUAAUUAAAGUGCAGGGAAGGAAAUGUCAACAAGCGAAGAGAUCACGAAAGCAAAAAAGCCCUAAACAUUCCCUGUGAAAGUUUUCUAAGGAAGCAAAUUCAAAAAAUGCAACAUAAAAGGAUUUAAUUGAAUCGACAUUUAUAUUAAAGAACAUACAUGUAUACAAAACACAUGACAUAUACAACCAUAAGGAUUUGAUGCAGCUUUUCUGAAUCUUGGAACCAUACUACUACUACUACUUUACCUCGAAGUUGCACAAUGUGCAAUAUAGAAGAGCCUCUUCGUUGUUUCCCUGUUGUUCAGACCUCUCUUCCUUCUUUCCCUGUCGUCUUCGAGAACAAACAUGCAAUAGAAGAUAGCUAGAGGCUUGUAGCAAGAUUUGUAGGAACCUGAAACUCGUUAAAUUUGCAAACAUCCAUGCAUGUGUGCAAUUUGGUAUUCGGUUAUAUGGUUUUAUCCUAAGAUUCAAGUUGCUAAACCUCGUCUCUAUCUCUUAUUAGAUUUGGAAGUAGAUACAGCUUGAAAAAGCAUUUAUAAACAUGACACCGGAGAGUAAAGGCGGAUCAAAAUGUAUUUCCCAAAUGCUUCCUCCGACAAAAGUUGCACAGAAAGCAUAGUCAGCGACCACCACCACCAACAUGCAAAACACUGUAUUAUUACUUUAGGACUAAUUCUGAUAAACAAAUUAGCUAUAUGUUUUAGUUUUAGCCUAGUUUCGAUUUGUUUUUCAUAAAACUUAAUUUAGUUCUCCGAAAUAGCAGAUUUUGAAAAUUACACAUACAAUACACACAUUUACAAACCUGUUAGAAAUUUUCCACCACUAUAAAUUUUACACAUUCACAGGCUUUUGUUAGUCUUGAACCUGAAAAAGAAUUGAAAACCUUUUGCUAGUGUCAUAUACAAGCUAAAUACCACUAUACUAGGUUAUGAUAUCUAAAGUAUACAAACUAAAUAAUAGAUAUUAUUGUAAAUAAAAAACAUAAGCUAAAAUAUUGAAACAAGUAGAAUCUUUAAUCGUUCGUGGACCAACCAUAUAAAAGCCUAACUCUAGAACUAGAAGACGCCUACUUUAUAGACCAUAGUAUAUAUUCAUUCAUAAUGCCAUUAGUCACGCUUCAUCUAAAUUACCAAGUCAGUCUUGGCACGCGCAACGCGUGCGCAGUGGAGAAGAUAUGGAACACUCACACACACACACGGAUUUUUUUAACGGAGAGAGACAGAGAGAAACCCUAGACACCAAAGAAAAAAAGAAAAAAAAAAGGAAUCGUGCCUCCUCCUCCUCCUCCUCCUCCUCCGCCCACUCGCCCCCUCAGAUCGCGUGAACAUCACAAACCAUUUUCUCUCCUCCUUCCCUCUCUCUCUCUCUCUCUCUCUAUCAUCCAUCCUCCCUUCCGCAGAUCGAAACGCCAACUCGCACCGAUUAGCGCGUGCCUCCUCAUCGCGACGAGAUUACAGCUUAUUGCUCUCGAUUUUCCUCUUCGUUCCAGGUGAUUCCAUCUCAUCUUCGUUACAGUGAAAAAACCACCACGGAUUCUAUAUAUAUAUAUAUAUAUAGUGUUCGAUUUCAUUGAGAAUUUUCUGAUUAAUCUAGUAGUUGCAGGAAGUGAUGGACAUAGAUCUUCGACUACAUUCAGGCGACCUCUGCAAAGAAGGCGACGACGAAGAACACAGAGGACUUGACAACGAAGACAUAGACAUUAGCAAAAUCGAGGAUGACGUCACCGUUGAGCCACACACCGAUAACAACGGCAUCACUCUUCCAGAGCACAACACACAACAACAACAACAACAAGGCGUGAAUCUUGAACCGCUUAACGGCAUGGAGUUCAACUCGCACGGCGAGGCGUACACCUUCUACCAAGAGUACUCUCGAACCAUCGGCUUCAACACUGCUAUACAGAACAGUCGCAGGUCGAAAACCACUAGAGAGUUUAUCGACGCCAAGUUCGCUUGCUCUAGGUACGGUACUAAACGGGAGUACGACAAGUCUUUCAACAGGCCGAGAGCUAGACAGAGCAAGCAGGAUCAUCCUGAGAACAACAUGUCUGGUCGGAGGACGUGCGCGAAGACUGACUGUAAAGCGAGUAUGCAUGUUAAGAGGAAGCCUGAUGGGAAGUGGGUGAUUCACAGCUUUGUGAGGGAUCAUAACCACGAGCUUUUGCCUGCUCAAGCUGUGAGCGAGCAGACGAGGAAGAUCUACGCUGCCAUGGCUAAGCAGUUCGCUGAGUACAAGACUGUCAUCAGCUUGAAGAGUGAGUCCAAAACUUCUUUUGAGAAAGGUCGGAGUUUGUCUGUGGAGACUGGGGAUUUCAAGCUUCUCCUUGAGUUCUUGUCGCGGAUGCAGAUUCUGAACUCCAACUUCUUCUACGCGGUGGAUCUUGGUGAUGAUCAGCGUGUGAAGAAUGUGUUUUGGGUGGAUGCCAAGAGCAGGGUUAACUAUGGCAGUUUUUGUGAUGUUGUUUCUCUUGAUACUACCUACGUGAGAAACAAGUACAAGAUGCCACUUGCUAUUUUUGUUGGUGUGAACCAGCACUACCAGUAUAUGGUCCUUGGGUGUGCUUUACUAUCUGACGAGAGCGCAGCUACAUUCUCUUGGCUAAUGGAGACUUGGCUGAGAGCGAUGGGUGGACAAGCUCCAAAGGUUUUGAUCACUGAGCAAGAUCCUGUGUUGAACUCCAUUGUCCCUGAGGUCUUCCCUAAUACACAGCAUUGCCUUUUUCUUUGGCAUGUGUUGAUUAAGGUCUCUGAGAAUCUUGGUCAAGUCGCUAAGCAACAUGAGAAUUUUACAGCGAAGUUUGAGAAGUGCAUCUAUAAAUCAUGGAAGGAGGAAGACUUUGCGAGGAGAUGGUGGAAGAUUCUUGCUAGAUUCGGUCUCAAAGACGAUCAAUGGAUGCAGUCUUUAUAUGAAGACCGAAGGAAAUGGGCACCGACCUACAUGACCGAUGUUCUUUUGGCAGGGAUGUCUACGUCUCUGAGAGCUGACAGUGUUAAUGCUUUCUUCGACAAGUACUUGCACAAGAAGACGAGCGUACAGGAGUUUGUGAAACUGUAUGAUACGAUUUUGCAAGAUAGAUUUGAAGAAGAAGCCAAAGCUGAUUCGGAAACAUGGAACAAGCCACCAACAAUGAAGUCCCCAUCGCCAUUUGAGAAGAGUGUUUCCGACGUCUAUACUCCUGCUGUAUUCAAAAAGUUCCAGAUCGAAGUUUUGGGUGCAAUCGCGUGUAGUCCCAGGGAGGAGAACCGAGAUGCAACGUGCUCUACUUUUAGAGUUCAGGAUUUUGAAAACAAUCAGGACUUCGUGGUUACAUGGAGCCAAGCAAAGGCUGAAGUCUCUUGCAUGUGUCGGUUAUUUGAGUAUAAAGGCUAUCUCUGCAGACACACGCUUAACGUUCUCCAGUGUUGUCAUCUUUCUUCCAUCCCCUCUCAGUACAUAUUGAAACGGUGGACCAAAGAUGCAAGAAGCCAGCAUUUUCCAGGAGAACCUCAGCAGUUGCAGACGAGGCUCCAGAGGUAUAAUGAUUUGUGCCAGAGAGCUUUAAAGCUGAGUGAAGAGGCAUCCAUCUCUCAAGAGAGUUACAAUAUUGCCUUCCUUGCUAUUGAAGAAGCUUUGGGAAACUGUGCUGGUGUUAAUACUUCCGGCAGAAGUCUUCCAGAUGUGGUCGCUUCGCCAACACAAGGUCUGAUAUCCGUCGAGGAGGAUAAUCAGAGCAGAAGUGCAGUCAAGACGACGAGCAAGAAAAAGAAUCCAACUAAGAAAAGAAAAGUAAACUUCUUGUUCAUGAUCUCUCUGUACAUGCACAACUUAAGGUUUUUCUUAGCUUUGCGCUUUUAUGAAUUGCAAGUCUUAUGAUCCUCCUGACUAUGGAUUGCAGGUGAACUCAGAGCAGGAGGUAAUUCCAGUUACAGCGCCAGAAAGCUUGCAACAGAUGGUCUGUCUUUGUUAACAUGUAGUAGCAAGACUCUGUUAAACUAGAGAGAGUCCCCUAAGUAUAUGAUAUCUGAAUUUUGUAAUUUGCAGGAUAAGUUAAGUCCAAGGACAGUUGGCUUAGAAAGUUAUUAUGGAACACAGCAAAGCGUGCAAAAUCUGGUAACUAAGCACAAAUUACUUGUUAUUAUUCUCUUAUAGACUGAGAUUUUUGUUUGUAAUGUGGUCUGAUUAUAUGUGUGUUUACAGGUCCAGCUGAACUUAAUGGCGCCAAAUCGCGAUAACUUUUAUGGGAAUCAACAAACAAUCCAAGGAUUGGUAUGAAAACAAAAUCGCGAUAACUAAGCUUCUGUUGUUUUUUUCUAUCAUUAACUUUGGAUAAAAACAAAAAAAUCCCCGGCUGGUUUUUUGUAGCGACAGUUGAACUCAAUAGCACCAAGCUACGACAGUUACUACACUGCUCAGCAAGGCAUCCAUGGACAGGUACCUUACCUUAUUCUCAGAGCUUUUACUCGACUGCAAAACCUAUUAAAAAAAUGAUCACUCUUUACUUUUGUUCUUUCUAGGGAGUAGAUUUCUUCCGUCCUCCCAACUUUACUUACGAUAUCCGGGUAAAUUUUCAGUUCUAGUAACAUAUUUGCAUCUCUAGUGGUGAAUUUUUGUUCAUGAAAACAAAUGUUUAUUACUGUACAGGAUGAUCCUAAUGUGAGGACGACACAGUUGCAUGAGGACGCGUCUAGACACACUUAAACCAGGCUAAAACCUAACCAUGGUUCAAAUCUUAAAGAGAGUCCGUCCCUCUGUAGACAAAAAGCCAACAAGCACUUGGAAGAUGAAGCUCAUAUCUCGAUCUGGUUUUGGAAACAGAACAAGGAGCACUUCUUGUUUUAUCGGCUCAAGUGUUUAAAUAGGAUAUGUUGUAUUGUUUCGGUUAUAAAGAUACCGCUUCUGUUAAUAUUUGGUCAGUGUGUGUAUUAUUAGUUCUUGAUGAUCCCCAAAAAAGCUUUUGAUCAUUGAUUGUUCGAAUUUAGAGGAGGGGGAAACAUUUGUUUAGAGGAUAUUUAUCUAUUUAUAAACUCUUGUUAAUUCUUUUCAUCAAGUUUCUUAUAUUUGCAUCAGAUUAUUCCCUGAUCUUAAGCCACAGUAUGGUCUGUUGUUUUGCUCUUUCAUCCUCGUACAAUAUCUAAGACAAUCCUCAGCCUAUUUCUAUUCUUUUUAUAUUUUUCUUCUAGAAUAAAACAAAACUAGGUGUUUUGUCCGCGAUGCGAACUUAGACAUUUUCAUAAUUUUUGAAAAGUUCUUUGUACAAUAUAUUCAUUAUACUAAAAUAAAUCUUAAAAUAAUUUAAUAUUAUAUUUUUAAUUAUAUAAUUUAAAAAAUAUAUUUGAUUAAUAUUUAAUUAUAUCAUUUAUGUUUUAACUUUUUACUAAAAUACUUUUUCAGAUAACAAUACAAUAUAUAUAUAUAUAUAUAUAUUAUUUUUUUUUUAAUUAUAUUUUUGGAUUUUGGAUAAUUCAAUAUUCUAUUUUAAUUAUAUAAUCAAGAAUUUUAUUUGAUUAGUAUUUAGUUAUAUAAUUCAUGUUUUUAACUUUUUAUAUAUAAUUCAUGUUUUUAACUUUUUACUAAAAGACUUUUUCAGAUAAUAAUACAAUAUAUACAGAAAUUAUCUCUUUUUAAAAUUAUAUUUUCAGAUUUUGGAUAAUUCUUACUAUUAUUAAUUUUAAUCAAUUAUCUAAUCAAAUAAAUUAAAAUUUCAUUUUUAUUUUUUCAUUUAGUUAUACAUUUUAUUCAUUAAGGGUAUAAACGAUUAAUCAAUAUUUAGUUAUAUAAUUCAUGUUUUUAACUUUUUAUAUAUAAUUCAUGUUUUUAACUUUUUUACUGAAAGACUUUUUCAGAUAACAAUACAAUAUAUACAUAAAUUAUCUUUGUUUAAAUUAUAUUUUCAGAUUUUGUAUAAUUUUUACUAUUAUUAAUUUUAAUCAAUUAUCUAAUCAAAUAAAUUAAAUUUUUGUUUUUAUUUUUUUAAUAGAUUUACACAUUUUAUUCAUUAAGGGUAUAAACGAUAUUAACCAUUCUAACUUUUAACGUGAGAGCUUGAUUCUAACUUCGCAAAUAAUAGUAUAAAUUAUUAUAGAGGUAGAUUUACUCUAAUGUAUGCUUCUAAAAUAGAAUUUUUAUUUAUAUUUUUCAAAACAAAAUAUAAAAAAAUAUUAUUUUCAUCUAUAUAAAACUACUAUUGUUUUGUAUUUUACUCUAUAAAUAGAGAAAUUCUAUUAUAACGUUAUACAUUCAAAGGAUCAUCACCUUAGAAGAGAUGAUGAGAAAAUGGUUUAAGCUCGAGCAUCACAUUCUUUUAUUCAUUUUCGUAGAGUUGACAUACAUAGCAUCUGUAAAUGGUUUCAAGUUUGAUCAAUAAAUUUGAUAUUCAAUUAAAAAAAAAAUUAUACAUUCGAAUAAAGUCAUCUUUAUAAUAGAGUUUUUUAUUUUAUGAGAAAAUAUAAAAAUAUAUACCGGUGUUGCUCUUAUAACGUGCUCAUAUGAGCAGUGUGAUGAGUGUUUUGCCCAGAAAGUCUAACAGAUAAUAUUUGAUUUUGGUAAGUUGUCAGAUUACUGGUUGACACAAAAAAUAUUUAAAAACUAAAAACCUCGUUGUAACAUAGUGUUUAAAACUAUCAAUUUAGUUAAAAAUAGAAAAACAUACAUUCCAAAAACGAAAAAAAUGAAAAUAUAAAUUUAAUUCACAUAUUAGAUUUAGUAAUCAUUACACAUAGUAAAUUCUGUGGUUUUCUAAACUUAUUUAAUGAACAACACUCCUAAACAAAUAAUGAUUCAUAUUAGUCCCCAUAAAGUAUAUAUUAAAUGUGUGAAUUGAUGCAAAGUUCUAACAAAAGAGAACGAUGAUUUAGUUCCCCAUAUUACAUAUCACACGUCAGGAUUUGGUUUUGUUUGAAAAUUCUGACUAGUUUCAUGUCUGAUCUUUGGUCGUAACUUGUUUUACAUUCAUUCUAAGUCACCUUACCCCGUCAAUUAAUUUAUGCCCACUCAUUCCUUAAUCAACUGCGUAAAUUAAAUAAUAUGUACACCUAUGGUCCUAUCAAUUAUCAAAAGACUAGUGUCUUAAGUAUCACUAGAUUUUCACCCGUGCAACCGCACGGAUGUUUGUUUUCACUUUUCUAUACAUAAAUUAUUGUUUUAGAACAUAAGUGGUAUAUAUUUUUAAUGUUAAUCAUAUACUUAAAUAUUUAUAUAACUAUUUCAAAUACGAUAAUUUUAUAAUUUACAUGUUAUAAUUAAUUAAUUGUUUAAACCUUAUGUAUUUGUCACUUCUUAUUAUAUAUUUAUCUUAUUGUAUUUGCAUUUAGUUAUUAAGCAAAUUAAUAUAUUCAUGAGAAAAUAUAUUUAAAAAAUAUUUUGUAUUUAAUUUAUGCUAAAUUCUGAUCCGUAUUUCAAAACUGGAUUUCUUUUUACCAAUAUUUUUAUGCUUAUUCAUUUUAGAUAAUUUAUUAUUGUAUAUAUAAAAGUGUAAAAUAUGUUAAUUUUUAGACAAGUAUUAUAUAGUUUUUUAAUUUUAAGUCGUUCUAUCAUUAUAUUAUAUUUUAAAUAAAUAGUUUAUAUUUAUGAAAACAAAAUUUAUAAAUUUAUCAAUUGAAUAUAAUUUUAUCAUAUUUAGUUUAGUAUAAUACUUAUAUUUUAACAUGAUCAUGACUAUAAAAGUAGAUAAAAUAGGAUAUAAUUUAUUUAUUUUCAUUUCUAAACAAUAACUUAAAAUACAUUAAGUUAUUGUUUAAAUAUUACACAGAUUUAUUAGAAUUUUUAAAAUAUAAUAUAUAAAUAUAUAUUAUAUUUAAAAUGAAAAUAUAUUAUGAUUAAAGUAGUUACAAAGAUUUUUUAUUAUUAACUUUAAAGAAAUACAUGUUAAUUUUUAUACAUGUAUUAUAUAGUUUGAUAAUAUUAAUCCAUCUUACCAACAUAUUAGAUUUUAUUUUUGAACAUAAAUAUUUUAUAAUUACGAAAAUAAAAUAUAUAAAUAUAUAAAUUUAAUACAAUUUUAUUAUAUUUAGCUCAAUAUAAUAAUUUUAAUUUAAUAUGAUUGAUUAUGAUUAUAUAAUAACUAAAAUAUUAUAGAUUUUUUUAUUUUUCAUUUUAUAUAACUGAAUAUAUUAAUGUAUAAUAAUAUUUUAAACUAAUUUUGAAAUUAGUGAAAAUAUUUAAAUAUAAUUUCAAAAAUGAAGAUCUUGUAAAAAUCUUUUUAAACAGAUUUGUUAUAAUUUUAAAAUAAAUAUAUUUAUAUUUAAAAUGAAAAGAUAUCAAAAGAUACUGUGAUUAAAAUAUUUCAAAAAUUAUAUUUAUUAUUAGUCUGAAUUAAAAUAUAGUAUGAAUUUGGGGUUUUUGCCAAAAUUAACCUACAACUUGAUUUUAAACCCAAACCUAUACCCAAACUUGAAUCAAAUGCAAAACUAACCUAAAAACCUAGUGAAAUUACAACUCAGCCCCUUGUGACCAAACAAAAAAACAGAAGCCAUUUUUACGAAUAUAGCCCCAGUAAAUCGUCUGAGUCGUCUGAAUUGUUGGAAGUCGUCUGGACGACUGAAGUUUAAGUCGUCUGGUACCAGUUUAUUUUAAAAAUAAUUUUUAAAUCUUGUAAAAAAAUAUUUUGAUGCGUGAAAAAUAAAAAUCAGAUGAUUAUAAACAGUUUUAAGUGAUAUAAAUUAAGAUAUGAUAAAAUUGAUUUGUUUUGAAGAUAGAUGAGUGGAAGUAGUGAAUCAUGAUAUUCUUUGGUUUAUGAGUUUGGCAAACAUAUGUUGUAGUAUUGUAUGUAUUGUUAGGGUUAGAUCUUGGAAAACUAAAAUGUUUUUUUCAAAAAUUAGUUUUCAUCUAUAUGUGUUUCUUUAUGUGUAUAGUAAACACUUUUCAACUUUGAUUUGAUUUUAUGAAGUGUUUAAUUAGGGGUUAUGUUUAGGGUGUGGACGACUUAUAUUUCAGUCGUCUGUUGAAUAAUUUACACGGACGACGUAUAUUUCAGUCGUCCACAUCGUACCGAACCUUUAAUUUUACCAAUGUACGUUUUAACCUAACCGGAUCAUUUACCGGACAUAUAAAAGCUAUUUUUUCACUAUUUCACAACUUUUCGAAACCCUAGCGCAGUUUCUCUCCAACGGCGAUUUCGAAGGCGAUAAGACGAAAACCCUACCGUGGUCGUGUUCCGCCGUUAUCUUCGCCGGUAAUCUCUCCGAUUACGACGAAUCUCGUUUCUCCUUCAUGCCGUAGAGUAUUUUCGUAGUUUAAACUGACCGUCCGCUUCCUUUUUUUCAGAUCUGAAAUCUCGUUUGCCAAACUCCGCCGCCGGUAUGUUAUUUCUCAUGUAUUAAGGCGUUUAGCCGCCGGAAAACCCUAAAUAUUUUAGUAUUGAUUCUUCUUUUCCCUUCGAUUUGCAGAUCUGUAACGGCUUGGGACCACAUCUUCUCCGACCAUAUCUUCUCGGACAAUAUAUUCUCCAACUGUAAGUCAUUCGUCUUUUGUUUAAAAGAUUUUGAGAUUGUUGUAGUCUUUUGCUGAAAGAUUACUCAGACGACUUCCAGGAAGUGAGAAGACUACUUGGACGACUUCCAUGAAGUCUUCUACGAUGUCUUACUCUCUGGACGACUUACAUGUAAGUCGUCUAGAGAGUAAGACAUCGUAGAAGACUUCAUGGAAGUCGUCCAAGUAGUCUUCUCACUUCCUGGAAGUCGUCUGAGUAGUCUUCUCACUUCAUGGAAGCCGUCUGCAAGUCUUCUAUAGCAUUUAGCAUAGUGCGCAACCUAUGUGUUUGAGAUGGUUGUUUGUGAUUAUUUGCAGGCCUUAAAAUGGAUUUACGAGAACUCCCGCCGAGGAUGUUUACAUUAGGAGAAGAGCCCGAUGCAAUCAAGAGCAUUUCGUAUCAAUCUGAUGACACAAAGUUGUUUAAAGCUCUAUGUGAUUGUCUCACACCUGACGAAUUUGAGGAUCUGAAGGCGUCGAAGUUAGGAGUGUUCAUCAAAUUCAAGGAGCUUGACUUUGGUUGGACUUCAAGGCUGGUACAUUUUUUGCUCUGUUUCCAGCUAGACAUCAAGAAGAAGUUUGAGCUCUGGAGUCUUGUCGUUUCACAACCUGUGAGGUUUUCACUGAUAGAGUUUGAACACCUCACUGGGCUGAACUGCGAUUACAUCAAGGACCUGGAAAAUCCAAGAUGUGAGGUUACAACGGAGAUGGCUGCUUUCUGGGAGAAGAUGCAUGUUGAUAUCGAUACUGGGCCAAGUAUUGAACAGAUAACAGAAGCAUUUUACAACUGCGACGAGUGGUCUCGGGAUGAUCGCAUGCGGCUGGGAUACCUUGCCAUCUACGCAGGAUAUAUCGAAGGGAAAAAGUUCUCAUCCGCUACAUCAGCUAGUCUUGCAAGGCUAGUGAUGGAUUUAGAAAAAAUUGAGAAUUAUCCAUGGGGGAGAGUGGCGUUUAAGGUGCUGAUGGAUUCUCUGAAGGCAAACGACUUGACGCAAACUGGUUACACUGUUGAUGGGUUCAUACAAGUGCUCCAAGUGUUGGCGUACUAUGCUAUGCCAGAAUUGGGUGCUAAUUAUGGGUCUCCCAUACCAAACAGACCGUCUCCACUGUUGCUGGCUUACAAGGGUGGCAAAAGACAACGCAAAUGUUUUAAGGCUGCUAUCAAUAAACAGGUACUUAACUUCACUCCUAAGACUUCUCAGACGACUUAAAGUUAAGUCGUGUGGAAGUCUUCCAACAAAAGACCACGCAGACGACUUACUUUUAAGUCGUCUGAGUGGUCUUUUUGUUGGAAGACUUUCAGACGACUUAACUUUAAGUCGUCUGUGAACAAAAUACUUCUCAGACGACUUAACUUUAAGUAGUCUGUGAACAAAAUACUUCUCAGACGACUUAACUUUAAGUAGUCUGAGAACAAAAUACUUCUCAGACGACUUAACUAAGUUUAUAUCUUUUAUUUAUUGCAGACUAUCGUGAAGAACUUCGUUCAGAAGGAUUUUGAUGAAAUGUUUCCAAAAUGGGACGGAGACAUAGAUGACCCUGCCGCGGAUAACAUAAUUAAAGUCAUGUUUAAUGAUCCUGGAUGGGAGUGGACCAUGGAAUGCUGGCCAGUCACCGGUACUCGCAAGGUUGUGAAGAUGGAAGUGAUUCCAGUGAAGAAUGAAGUGAGUCCCGUGAAGUCAGAGAGUGUUGUGAAGGAAGAAAGUAGCAGACCUCGGAAGAAAGCUCGUAAAGGGUCUUCUGUUUCUGCUGAGACACCUGCGGCGGGUAGUGAAGGGAUGACGCAUCAGCAGAUUGAAAAGUCCUUGAAGGACAUAUCUGAUACCAUUAAUCUUGGCUUUGGGACGUGCCUUAAGGAGCUCAAGUUACUGGCGGAUAGGAUGGUAGCUGUGGAGAAGAAGGUGGGAAUCACCAACAGAGGGGGUUUAUCUGAUGAUCGUCAACUUACAACCACUUCAAAUCCACCAAAACUUGUUGACGAACCCGGGGUUAGUACCAAAACCUCUCCCAAAAUUGCAGAGAAGAGAGUCACUAGGCAAAGUGUUAGGAAGAGUCAGGACUGAUGUGAUUUGUUUCUUGUGUGCUUUGAUGAACAUGUGUGCUUUGUUUCUAGUGUGCUUUGAUGAACCACUGUAUGCCUUGAUUCUGAACAUGUGUGCUUUGUUUCUAGUGUGAAUUUGAUCUUUGCUGUAAGGGCUUUUGUUAAUAGUUUUUAAACACACUGUGAACUCGAAAUUGCAGAGUGAAAGCGUGAAUGGGGCGAAAGCAGGACAGAAGGAAGCCAAAGAACCGAGUUCCUCGAGAGAGCUCUGUCUUGUGAGUCCUGCAGACGACUUACCGAGUGAUGAUCCUAGCCUUCUUAUAUUGGACAAACAAGUUUCGACCGCUUCAGAUUUACUCGUUGAAGAAGCUAGAAGGCAGACAAAGAAGGAGACUGCUUUGGUGAAUCUCCGUAAAAAAAGUGUGCGAGAAAGGAAGCUUGCUCCCACACAGCAAACUCCUUUUAAGGGAAACAGCACUGCCAAACAGAUCAUUCCAAACAAACAGGUUGGCGGAGGCUAUGAUCCUUUUGCACCCAUUGACAAGAUGAAGUCGAAGGAGCUCACUGCAUGGGUGCAAAAAGAUCCGUAAGUUGCUGUUAAAAAUAUGCUUACUUAUAUUUGAUUAAAAAAAGCUUCUAUUUGAUUAUUUACAUUUUGUGUUUGCAGUUCUUAUAAACUGCCUCUGAAAAAAAAACCACGUAGAUGUCGAAGUCGAUUCUAUCAGGUCCUCCGAACCCCCUUAGAAUGGCUAACCGACCAUGUAAGUCUUCUGCUAUUUUCUAACUCUUAUAUAAGUCGUCUGGUAGUUAUCUGGUACUUUUCUGAUUUGUAUAAGUCGUAUGUGAGUCGUCUGUGAGUCGUCUAUAAGUCGUCUGGUAGUUAUCUUAUGUAAGUCGUCUGUAAGUCGUCUGUAAGUCGUCUCUAAGUCGUCUCUAAGUCGUCUGUAAGUCGUCUGGUAGUUAUCUUACGUAAGUCGUCUGUAAGUCGUCUCUAAGUCUUCUCUAAGUCGUCUCUAAGUCGUCUGUAAGUCGUCUGGUAGUUAUCUUACGUAAGUCGUUUGUAAGUCGUCUGUAAGUCUUCUCUAAGUCGUCUCUAAGUCGUCUCUAAGUCGUCUGUAAGUCGUCUGGUAGUUAUCUUACGUAAGUCGUCUGUAAGUCGUCUCUAAGUCUUCUCUAAGUCGUCUCUAAGUCGUCUGUAAGUCGUCUGUAAGUCGUCUGUAAGUUUUUUUGACUUGUAUUGUUUUAUAUGCAGCAAAUGGAUGCUUUUAUUAAUAUACUGAGGCAACGGUACCAAAACCAUCCAGAACAUUUCAGGAGCGACAGAAUGUGCUUUCUUGAUCAUGUCUUUUCUCGGCAGUGGAGGGCCUCCUACCCUGAUUUUAAGAGCGACGCUCCUGAUGCCAACGGUUUAGGAAGAAGACUCCCUGGUGGGGCGUGGAAUUAUCAUGCAGGCGUGAUACCUUCUUUUUGCCAAUCUAAGAAGGUUUGGGGGGGUGGAUGUGGAUGAUAUCUAUGCACCUGUGAACUUCAAGAACCAGCAUUGGAUUGCUAUAUGGAUAUCGAUCCCUAAGAGGCACAUCGUCGUCUGGGACAGCAUUGUCUCUCAUAUUAGCCCUGAAGAACUCGAUGAGGUAAUGGAGCCUUUUCUCACAAUGGUCCCUUAUCUGCUUGUUGAGUGCGCGCUCUCUGACGAACAAAAGGUUCAAUACACAUUGGAGCCAUACACAUAUGCGAGACAAACCGUUGGAGUACCUCAGUGCCGAGCUGGUGAUUGUGGCCCUUUCACUCUGAAGUACAUCGAAUGUCAUGCUCUUGGGAUAGAAUUUCCCACCGCGUUUGACAAAAAACACGGGAAGACCAUCAGGGAGAAGAUGGCGCUGGAUAUAUUUCGAGAGCUUUCUAUGUGCCAUGAAUGGGAAAACCAAGACAAUGAUGAGAACCUGGCAACGUAUGAUUAGAUAUUGGAUGUGUUAUUGUGUGCUGUUGCGAUUGUAUUUGAACUUGAUGCUUUUGUGUACUGUUGUUAGGUAGAUUAGGGGAUGUUAACAGGGUCAGGAUAGGAUGAUGUUUUUUUGUAACCUAUCCUCACACCAAACUAGAAUUCCGUAGGAAAUUAGUUUGGUAGUGCAGUAACCUUUCGGAAUAUGUAAUGUUUAACUUGUCUUUUUUAAAUUGCACUGUUGGAAUUAGUUUCGGAAUAUGUACUGCUUAACAUAGAAGGUCUACAAAGAAAAGUUCAUAAAACAUAUAAAUUCAUAACAUAGAGUCUACAGAGAAGUUCAUAAAACAUAGAAAAUCAUUGUGGACGACUACAGAGAAGUUCAUAAAACAUAGAAAAUCAUUGGACGACUUACUUAAAGGUCUUCUGGACGACUACAGAGAAGUUCAUAAAACAUAGAAAAUCAUUGGACGACUUACUUAAAGGUCUUCUGGACGACUAACCAGAAGAAAAUUCUAAUUAAGACGUUGGACGACUAACUUAAAGGUCUUCUGAACGACUAACCAGAAGAAAAUUCUAAUUAAGACGUUGGACGACUAACCAGAAGGUCUUCUGGACGACUUACCAGAAGAAAAUUCUAGUUAAGUGAUAUUACGUGUAUACGCACACCAAAUAACCUAAUGUGCACACUACCACAAUCGAAUGGUAUGUCGAUGUAGCACUUUAGGAUCGAAUCCACAGAGACCAACUAUUACACUUUAUCUUUAUGGGAUCAAUAUCAAGCUAAAACAAUAUGGGGGUUUUAAAGUUGAUUUCGUAACAAGCAAGUAAAAAGAUUAAUUAAAGAUUUCAGAUGAUUAAAAUGCUAGCCUAGGGUGGUUUGGUCGGGUGUUAAACAAGUGUGAGCCAAACAAUUAUUCAAGUUUAAUUAAGAGCAAGUCUAGAACUCGGAUCACUCAAGUAGAACAGCCCACUGUCGUGGAACUGCCCCCUAUGCUGAUCGAUCUUGAUACCUAAACUCUCGUUUGGAUCAAGAUGCGACAGCAAGCAAUAGAGAUCAAGUCCGAUAGGUUCACCAAACACCCUAAUAUCUACUUUCGCUGAUUAGGGAUGCUAGGCUCAUUCAUAACAGAUCUAGCAACCUAUUACACGGUUAAUGAACAGGUUAAACCUAGGAUCUAACAUUAAGCGGCCAGAUUAAUGCAAGCAUUAAGAACAGUUAUGAAUGAAGACAAUCAAUGGUUUCACUUAUCUAUGUUUAACUCACGGAUCUAACACCCGAACACCCUAGACUAAGCAAGUUGACUACUCAGCCAUGAACAGAGAAAACACAGAGAUCAAUUCUGAAUAAGACUUCAUGUAAAUAAAAGAGAUAGAAAGAGGGUUCAGGAUAAUCUUCUCUAUGGUGAGAGAGAUGGAGCCUUCUCCCUUUACAAUCCAAAAGCACAAAAGUCUCCAAUGGUUUUCUUCUGUCUAGAAUAGCGUAGAAUGAUAAAGAGAAACAGAAAAUAUGAUAUAUCAAAGCCACAGGCGGCUGGGAGAGAAAAUAUGGAUAAUUAGGGCAAAUCCCGUAAUGAUUGUAGUUUCCUAAAAAAUCUCUGCCGCUGGAACACUCACUCGGAACAGUCAUCAAGACUGUUCUGCGUGAAAACCACCAAAUUGCAUUGUUUUCUGCCUCUUUUGUUCCAGCUGAUCCAUCUCCCAUCCAAUGCAACUCCAGACCUGUAAUGACUCCAAAAGGACUAGGAAGACUCGAUAAAGACUUGAAAACCAAUUUAAAAGCAUAUAUACAAGAUGUAUAAAACACCAUAUAUCAAUUCCCCCAGACUUAGAUCCUUGUUUGUCCUCAAACAAUGUCAAGUAUCAAGAACAGGGAGAAAGGUUUGAAAGUGUGGGAACUCUCCUAUUCUCAGCAACCAUACUUUAACCACGAAUCUCUGAACCAUACAAGCAGUAAAACUAGGACAACACACCCUUACCGGAACCCCACUGACUGCUGUUCAAAAAUCGGCUCCAUACUCUUCAUCUCAAACCUGAAAAAGCAACACUAUCGAGACAGAACUCCCUACAUUCAUUUAAGAGUAGCGUGAGCUUCUCAUCACAGGCAUCAUUCAGGGUAGACGGUCUAGGUGUGGAACAGGCUAUUUAAUGGUGGAGUUAAGAGUGUUUAGGGGCUACCAUUUCAUUGAAGAGGAUGCAGGAUAUCACACAAAAUGGCAAGAGAGGAUAGAUCCAUUGAUGUCCACAGCCUCUACUCGUUUUUGCUCUAUCUGGUGCGACUGUUCUGAUGACGGAACAGGCAACUGAUUGUUCUGCUUUCCACUUUCCUCUACACACUCUUCAAUACUUGGUACCAACUUCUUGCUCGACCUUUCCAGUGGCUCCAUGUUUCUUUUCUUUCUUCCCCUUCUCCAUCACAUUAAUCUCGUUUUUUUUUUUUUUUUUUUUUUUUUGAAGACUGAUAUGGUGAUGUGACGAAGAAGGAGGUAACACAUGAUCGUUCUGAGUGCCACUGGUGGUUCUGAUUUCGCGACCAUUCUGGUUCUCCACCCCUGCUCUUGCGCAGUUCAUUGGUUAUGGAGCGGUUGCUCCCUUAAUCUGCUUGUUCUCCUUUCUGACAUAAUUUCUGCAGCAGUAACGAGUAGGAGGCUGCGUUGAUCCUUUCCUCUCCGACCUUUUUGCACAUAUCUGCACAUAUGACACUGAAAAACAAAUGCAUGAAGGUGGAAUAAAGGCUAAGGUGCAGGGUGGGAACUAGCUAAAGAUGAGCUAGCCACUCAGGAUCAGCAAGAUGGAUAAAAAGGAUAAGAAGUCCUGAGUGUGUUCUCGUUUCCCUGAUCUAAUGCCCAUAACAAGAAGAAUUUCAGUCAAGAUUAGGUUCAAGUAAGGUGGAGUUAAGUCUACCCAGUGUAACCUGAUCGGCUGAGAACUUCUGGAGAAUCAAGUGAGAUAUGUCAGGGUGUUCCAGGUCCACAUGUGUGUCUUUCGCCACUGCUAAGGUCACUGAAUAAGAUAACUAAAGCACGAGGUGGUUAGUGAUCAACACGGAAUAAGGUCCUAAUUCCCACAAAAUUUUGACUGACUCAAUAAAAACUGACUCGAAUUGACCCAAAAGAAAAACAAAAGAAAGAAACGAGUUAGUAAACGACGAAAACCCUCCCCCAGACUUACUUCACAACGUCCCUGGUGUGAAAAUAAAUCAGAGAGAAGGUGAAAUCAAGAAUAAACAUUUUUUUUUUUGUUCGAGAUACUUACCUGGCGCGGAGCAGCCUGACAGAGCAAGACGCGGUUGCUCCGGUAAAGGAUGCUAUGGAAUGAGAACAGCCAGCUGCUUGCUCCAGUCAAGGGUCUCGGAUUUUCUGAUUUGUGACCUGAGACUCAACAAACUAAAAACAAAAAUAAGUAAAAAGAAAAUCCUAAUGUUAAUGACACUCACCAGUGGGUUGCCUCCCACCAAGCGCUUGGUUUAAGUCUCUAGCUUGACUUGGUGACUGGGAUCAGUCGGGUUGAGCAGGAGGGCUUGUUCCAAAACAAGCUCCACAAUCAGACAUGUUCAGCUUCAAAACUCUGCUCAACAACCCUUUCACAGCAGCUUUCCCUUUCUCCUUCAGCUCAUGUGUGAGAAUAGCUCUGACUUUAGAGAAAGGUUUAGAGGUACCCUUGCACUUUACCUCAUACUCAAUGGAGUUCUCAUCACACUUGAGAGGUAUCAAAGUCAUUGUAGGAUCUCCCUUGAUCCUUUUCUUCUGGACUUUCUGUUUCACCCUUGAAUUCCCUCUGAAUUUAGUAGGAUCAGUGCUAGGAUCUUCAUCAGAGAACAGCCUGCUCUCACCCUUAUCACCAUGCUCCUUCUCUGGAACAACCUUCAGCUUUUCUACAUCAAACACUGAGAUGCGAGAGGCGUGUGAUGAGGAAGAUCUGGUGGGUACAGCCUUGUAGAAAACUUUCUUGUUGAUGUUGGAGAAGCAGACUCUCUUGUUGGGCAUAUCGAUGGUUGCUCCAACAGUAGCCAUGAAUGUCCUUCCAAAUAUCAAAGGCAUCUCAUGAUCCUUGUUCAUCUCAACAACUUGAAACUCAGCAGGAACAAUGCAUUCCCCUACUUGAACAUGAAGGCUGCGGAUGGUUCCAUAUGGGACUGCUCUGGAAGAGUUUGCAAAGGUCAGGGUCAGCUGAGAACGCUCAACAUCAGCAAUACCCAAAUCGUCUACAAUAGCCUUUGAGACGAGAUUCACACAAGAACCAGAGUCACACAGAGCAUCCUUGAAGGUUGUUCCUGCGAUGGAGCAUGGGAAAACAAACUUUCCAGGAUCAUCAACCUUAGGCAAUACCUUCAAUGCUGGUGUAGACAGUGCUUUGAUAUAGAGGACCUUGAUCUCCUCUUGAGUCUCUCUACAGUGUUUAAAGAACUGGAGCAAUGGACGAAUCUGCAGAGCAUCUUCGAAUGCAAGUUCUUUAGGAAGCCUUCUCACCAUCUUGUUAAAACCUAUCAGCUGCUCUUCACUAAUGGGAUCCAUCAGAUGUCUAGGUGGAAUUGGAUAGGGAACCUUGGGAACAUAGACUCGAGAUGGUGGAGUCUCAGCAGGUUCGCUAGGAGCAGUCACUCCAGAGCUAGCAGACUGCUCUGCUCUCUCUUCUGCGCCUGAAGCAGUCUCAGCAAACGGCUGCUCUAUUGCAUUACAGUGCUCAGUCCUAGGAUUUUUAUCAGUUCUUCCAGGAAGCGUCUCUUGUUGCCUCUUGACACUCUCAACUGUUUGAGCAAGCUGAACAUCGAUCUUUCUUAUAUGGAUCGCAAGAUUGUCAUACUUGUUAUUCAGCUCAGUGAACAUGUUGCCCAUCCUGGUGUCUAUUUCCGUGGUUACCUGAUUCAACGCCUUGGCCUGAACCUGCUGACCCUGCAACAGCUGUUGCAUCAUCAUACCCAGACCCUUCAGCUCAUCUGGUUGACUGUUCCCGGUAGCUGGAACAGCAUGCGGAUUGCUCUGCGGUUGUCGCUGGUUCUGGUUCUGAAUAUGCCCGGCCGUAGGUUGUUCCAUGCUGAAAACGUGCCCUUGGUUGUUUUUCAGUAGCUGAUCAACCUUGGCAGUCAGCUCAUCUAUUUUCUGGGCGUCAGAACUGUUUCCUUUCUUGGAGCAAUCACUCUCCUCUUUCUUAUUAGCUGAGCUAGCAGCCAUGUUCUCAAUCAGCUUAAACGCUCCAGCUGUGGUUUGAGUCAUGAAAUCUCCAUUGCUCGCAGAGUUUAGAGCACCUUGGUAUUUCCAGUCCACUCCAUCAUAGAAAAUGUCCAGGAUAUAAUCAUCAUCAAAUCCAUGGUGAGGACAUUCUCUGCGAUAGUCAUUGAAGCGCUCCCAUGCGUCGCAGAAAGCUCAUCAGUGAGCUGUCUGAAGGAGGUGAUCUUGUUCCUCAAUGCAGCUGUUCUCGCCUUAGAGUAGAAAUGGCUGAGGAACGCUGAUCGGACCUGUUCCCAUGAAGUGAGAGAGCCGGUAGGGAGAGAGUUCAACCACCGUGCAGCUUUUCCAUCAAGAGAGAAUGGGAAUAACAUGCACGUGAUGUAGUCUGGUGGAACACCAUUCACGCGAGUGAAACUGCAGACUUUUUCGAAGCUCUCAAUAUGCUCCAUUGGAAUUUCUGUAGAGAGACCAGAGAACACCUUUCUCUGUACUAGACCAAUCAAAGCAGGCUUGAUCUCGAAGUCCUGCCUGGUGCAAGGUGGAGGAACAAUGGCAGAGCGCGUAGUAGGGAUGUUACGCGGAAGGUUUCUCUGCCCGAUUGGAACAGUCUGCGCCUGUUGUUCCUGCUGCGCGAGAGCAGCCUGUUCAGCAGCAUCCUGCUGAGCUUGGAUGGUCUGCUGCAUUUGUUGCAUCUGCUGCUGCAUGUGCAACUGAGCAGCGAGAUCUCCUGAUUGGCGUGAUCACCCAUAGUGGUGUCAGUUUGCCUUGGCUGUUGACGAUUUGUUCUUUCUAACCUUGCUAGCUCCUGGUUGGUAAAUGUAACUAACUCUCCUUGUGCGUUUCUCCGAGUAUGUCUACUGGUCAUGCACCUGGAACAUUAGCUGCAACAAAAAGGAUAAGGCAAGUUAGAGGUCUUAGACUAAAUAAAUAACCGAAAAAUAAAGGUAAAAAGAUGGUCCCCGGCAACGGCGCCAAUUUGAUAUUACGUGUAUACGCACACCAAAUAACCUAAUGUGCACACUACCACAAUCGAAUGGUAUGUCGAUGUAGCACUUUAGGAUCGAAUCCACAGAGACCAACUAUUACACUUUAUCUUUAUGGGAUCAAUAUCAAGCUAAAACAAUAUGGGGGUUUUAAAGUUGAUUUCGUAACAAGCAAGUAAAAAGAUUAAUUAAAGAUUUCAGAUGAUUAAAAUGCUAGCCUAGGGUGGUUUGGUCGGGUGUUAAACAAGUGUGAGCCAAACAAUUAUUCAAGUUUAAUUAAGAGCAAGUCUAGAACUCGGAUCACUCAAGUAGAACAGCCCACUGUCGUGGUACUGCUCCCUAUGCUGAUCGAUCUUGAUACCUAAACUCUCGUUUGGAUCAAGAUGCGACAGCAAGCAAUAGAGAUCAAGUCCGAUAGGUUCACCAAACACCCUAAUAUCUACUUUCGCUGAUUAGGGAUGCUAGGCUCAUUCAUAACAGAUCUAGCAACCUAUUACACGGUUAAUGAACAGGUUAAACCUAGGAUCUAACAUUAAGCGGCCAGAUUAAUGCAAGCAUUAAGAACAGUUAUGAAUGAAGACAAUCAAUGGUUUCACUUAUCUAUGUUUAACUCACGGAUCUAACACCCGAACACCCUAGACUAAACAAGUUGACUACUCAGCCAUGAACAGAGAAAACACAGAGAUCAAUUCUGAAUAAGACUUCAUGUAAAUAAAAGAGAUAGAAAGAGGGUUCAGGAUAAUCUUCUCUAUGGUGAGAGAGAUGGAGCUUUCUCCCUUUACAAUCCAAAAGCACAAAAGUCUCCAAUGGUUUUCUUCUGUCUAGAAUAGCGUAGUAUGAUAAAGAGAAACAGAAAAUAUGAUAUAUCAAAGCCACAGGCGGCUGGGAGAGAAAAUAUGGAUAACUAGGGCAAAUCCCGUAAUGAUUGUAGUUUCCUAAAAAAUCUCUGCCGCUGGAACACUCACUCGGAACAGUCAUCAAGACUGUUCUGCGUGAAAACCACCAAAUUGCAUUGUUUUCUGCCUCUUUUGUUCCAGCUGAUCCAUCUCCCAUCAAAUGCAACUCCAGACCUGUAAUGACUCCAAAAGGACUAGGAAGACUCGAUAAAGACUUGAAAACUAAUUUAAAAGCAUAUAUACAAGAUGUAUAAAACACCAUAUAUCAUUAAGACGUUGGACGACUUACUUAAAGGUCUUCUGGACGACUUACUUAAAGGUCUUCCACGUCAGUUCUUACAUUGUGGACGCUUAUGGCCAGUUUCUUUGCAGACUGAGCACCUAUAAACCAUGUGUUGCUUCCGGGGUUUGCGUCCUCUCAUCCUGGAUAGCUCCAACCAAGAUUGCCAUCUUGAUUUCUUCUGUCUCCCCGGACCACGCUUUACUUCCGGAGGAAAGGAUGUGCUUGCCUCAACAAGUUGUCCAACACAAGGAUAUAUAUUCUCUGAGUAUCCUGCAAACAAAGUAUCCUUUGAGUAGACCGGCCACACAAGUGUGGAGAUAUGCACACCAGCUGCUGUUCCAGCUGCUAUAGCAUGAGAGCAAGGUAUUUUCUCGACUUGAUAGACACCACAAUCGCACUUUUGAAGUUCCAGAUCAACAUUACAGUCCCUAUUGCCACCUUUCACAAAGAACUUCCAUCCAUCAAUUUGUUGGACUCUCAGAGUAUACGCGUUCUCCUCUCGGACAGCAAGCAAGUGUUCAACACCCCGACUAUGUUGAGUUGUAAGACUCAAAGCAUCUCCUCUCCUUUUCCAGUACCACCUUCCUAGCUUCUCCCUUAUGAACUCCAGCAGGAACUGAAUAGGAAAUCCUCUUGCUCGCUUCAGUGCGGAGUUAAUUGAUUCAGCGAUAUUGCUCGUUUUUAAGUUGUACCUGUCUCCCUAACAAUGAACCCUAGACCAUAGGGUCACAUCGGCUUCCUCCAGAUACUCAGCAAGAUCCGGAUUUGCACUUCGUAUCUCAUCCAUGUACCGAUCAAAAUCGUAAAGUGUAUGAGCAUAAGCAGCACCUUUCACUAAGUACAAGAGAUGCUUCCCUUUAUACUUUUUGACAAUAUUCUCUUGAAGGUGAUAAUAACAUAUUCCUCGGGUUGCCCAAGGAAACACCUUUUCACACGCAUUUAUAAUGGAGGCGUGCCUGUCGGAGACUAUCACCAGAGGAUACUCAUCAGAUACACAGCUCGCCAAUUUUGUGAAAAACCAUUCCCAAGAUUCAUCAUUCUCACCAUCUACGAUCCCAAAAGCCAAUGGAUAUAUCUGAAAAUUACCGUCUUGUGCGGCUGCAACCAACAUAGUACCCCCAUACUUCCCACUUAGGUGAGUCCCAUCUACCACAAUGACCCUUCUCUGAUACUUAAAUCUUCUGAUUGAAGCUCCAAAAGCAAGAAAUAGAUACUUAAAUCUAUUCAGAGAAUCAAGUUCUAUAGCUGUGAUAGAACCCGGAUUUGCUGCCUCGAUUUGCUCCAAAUAUGAAGGCAAUCGCUCAUACCCGUCUUCCGCUGAUCCUCUCACCAUUUCUUGCGCAUAUAACAAUGCUCUGUAUGAAGUGGUGUAAUCAAGUGUCAUGCCAAACAUGUUCUUCAUUGCAUCUUUGAUAUGCUGCGGAUUCAACCCAUCAAUGAUUCUAACUCGAUCUAUGAAAAGUCGACCAAUGUACUUCGGAGUACAACGUUUCCGCUGAGCGAUUCUGUCUGGGAUGGAACAUGUAUGAGUUGCCAAAUACUUGGUUACCCAAAACGUUUUAGUCCCAUGUUUCACACUUGCUCGGACCUUCCAUUGACAACCACUAACACGACAUGUUGCCACAAACAGAGUUUUCGUUGACUUGAAUAUUCUGAAGGAGAACCUACGCCUCACCGCUGUCGACCGCAACUCUGAAAGCAGUGCAUCCUUACUAGCAAAACUCUGGUUGACAUAGAUUCUGUCUGCAGAUGAUCCUUCUCCUUCACAACCAUAUGCCCCUUUGUAAUCAUCAAAACAGAUUUCAUCAUCUUCUUCCUCAUCCUCAUCUUUAACAUUUCCAUACUCACUAUAAUCCUCAGCAUCAGCGACAACAGGGAUGUCAGCAUCCUCCUCCCCAUCAUGAUCCUCAGCUUCAUCCCCCUCUUCAGCUUCAUGCCCCUCCUCAGCUUCUUCCCCCUCCUCAGCUUCAUCCCCCUCUUCAUCUUCAUCGCUUACAUCAGCUUCAUCCCUCUCCUCAGCUUCAUCCCCCUCCUCAGCUUCAUCCUCCACAUGAUCUUCAUCCCUUUCCUCUGAAACCGUUCUCAUCUUGCUAAAGCUUGAUACACAAAGACGUACUUCAUGCGUUUUAGUUAUCUCGAGCAAGUUCCGAACUUGUCUAUCACUUGUAACAUGAAUAGGAGGAAGGUCUGGAGCCAUCUGUUGUAAUGAGUAGAUUAGCUCCACAGACUCUGUGUUCAUGUCCAGGUUAUAAUCUUCUUGAGUCAUUGCAACAAGAUCAGCAUGUGUCGAACCUUCAUUCAAAAAUAACAUUCUCGCUCCUUUGAAAUGAUCAACCACAAAAUUCCAACAUCCAUCUUUCAACAACCAUUGUCCAUACACUGCAUGUAACUGACGCAUCAUCUGAAAAAGUCAAAAUAAAACACAUUAGCAAACUUAGAACAAAGAAAACAAAAGUUUAUUAAAGAUCGAAGCGGACGACUUCAAUCUAAGUUGUCUAGACUACUAAACUAUACGUCGUCUGGUCAACGCAGAGGUUAUUUUUGCAAUUGAAUUUGAAAUCUGGCUGUCGACGACUUACCUGGAAGUCGUCUGGCUGUAGACGACUUAACUUUCAGUCGUCUCAGGUUACAGAUUUCAAAGUCAAUUGCAAAAAUAACCUCUGCGUUGACCAGACGACUUCUAGGUAAGUCGUCUACAGCCAGACGACUUCCAGGUAAGUCGUCGACAGCCAGACGACUUCCCAAGUAAGUCGUCUGACGAACAGAUCUGGAAAAAAACUCGAUUUCAUACCUUAAAUUGGUGAGAUAAGUUCCUUAGCAUACAUAAGGCUUCUCCAAGCACACAGAAUCACAAACGAAAGUGACCCACCCUGAAUCGUUAGCUUCUAUGACUCUAUGAACCAUAAAAAUUUUAGAAUCAAAAUCUUGGGUUUUCUUAGCUCAUUGUGGAGAGAAAGUGAAAGAUAUGUUGUGUUUAGUUCACAAGAAUGAAAAAAGAAGAAGGGUAAAUCGAUUUUGGGAGCAUUAAGAGCUUCAAAUUGGUUGUUCAUGGUGGUUGUGGUAUUGAUGACAAUGGCAAUCUUGUAAUUACUUGAAGAUGAUGAGGGUGAGAGAGUAAAAAUGUCAUUUUCGAAAAGAAAAAAAAAAUUGAUGGCAUUUUCGUAAAUUAUAUGAACUUGUGGAGUGAAUACGGCAAAACUAAUUUCAAAAAAAAAGGGAGGUUAGUUUUGUGUUUGACUUUAAGUUGUAGGUCAAUUUUGCAAAAACCCCUAUGAAUUUCUAUGAAUAGGUCUAUUAGGUUCAUUUUUAAAAAAAUCACAAAUGAAUCAAGGUUGUGACUUCUGUUUUAAUAUAUAAGAUAUAGGAAAGUUGUUUCUUUAUUUAGUCGCUCUUUUUUUAUUGGAUAAUCGACUAAUCGUUUUCGCUAAUUAAAACAGCCUAUAGGCUUCUCAUUACGCUAUAUAUUUGAACAACAUUGUCGGCAUAUUAUAAUUCUAUUACGUCUAACCUAUUUUAAAAAAUGAUAUAGUACUAUACUAUAUAACAAAAUCUCAUCGUUAUUAUCAUUAUCGUACAUCCGUCGUUAUUCAUUCGUGCUAUAUAAUACGGCUAUCGCACCAAGCAGGCAACGUGAUAUGAAAUAUAUUAACAUUUUGGUUAGGAAUAACGUAACAGAAAAAUAUGUCGUCAGCUAUGUGACGAUUAAGUAAAGUGAGGCACUUAUUUACUAAUUUAAUGAAAGAAUAUACACAGUAGAUUAGGCCAAUUUCGUCAACUUGUUGGGAAAGUAGCCAACAAACCCAAUACAAAACUAAAUUCUACUAGUUAGUUUCUUGGUAAAACUCAACUAAUCGUAACUUUACGCUGUUUUAUUAUUUUUUCCUAAAUCAUGAUAAUAUCGAAUAUGAUUAAAUCAUUUAGUUAUUAAAAAUAUUAAAUCAUGUUAAUAAAGUAAGUAUAUUAGUAUACUAUAUAUAUAUUUUUUAUUUUAGUUAGGAAAGAAAUGCUAAGCCACAGAAUCUAAUAUGUUUCCUAAAUCAACGGUCAUGAUUGAUUAAGAAUAGUCUUCCUUUUGACCAAGUCUAAUCACUAAACCUAAAUAAAUAAACAACAAACGAAGGCAAAUGCUGUUUUGUUACUUAUUACAAUCUCACACAGCCUUGAGACACAACACAAAAUGGCUAACUCAAACGAUUGGUCUCACCUCUACAGCAACAACCAAGCCUUCUACACAACUUCCACCAUCACUUCAACCGCCGUCACAACCACCACAGCAGCUUCUCCCUCCGGUGAAGCCACCUCCAUGGACUCUCGUCUUAGUCCAGAAACAGGCCGUGUAACCAAACCGGCACGUAGAAGAUCAAGAGCCUCACGUAGAACACCAACAACACUUCUCAACACGGACACAUCAAACUUCCGCGCCAUGGUUCAGCAGUUCACGGGCGGUCCAUCCGCUAUGUCUUUCGGGUCAGGUAAUACCACUUCCGGUUUUAGCCUCACCUCUUCGUCGGAUCCAUCCGCCGGAUCUUCCCAACAAGUUCCUUGGCAAUAUAGUUACCAGCCUCACGCGCCGCCUCCACCGCAACAGCCUUAUAUGUUCUCGUUAAACAACAUGAAUCCCGUCGUUGGGUAUAGUAACAUGAACAACCCUAAUACGAUGGUUCCUGGUGGUUUUGGAACCGCGGGCGGUGGAGGAGGAGGUUCUGCUCCGUCGUAUAAGGAAGCCACGAAUAGUAAUACGUCGUCUUCGAGACUGCAAUGAGAAAACGAUUGGAUUCUUUUGAAAUAUUUUUUUCUCCUUUUUCGCAUAAAGGCAGAAAUGUUAGGUACUGACUUUCUUUUGUCAUAGAAUGACAACUUUGACUGUUGUAUAUUUAAGUUUUUCGUUUUCAUAUUCAAGCUUUUUAUCUUUGUUUUAGGCGUUGAGCAUUUGUUUACAGCGUUAUCACUUAUCAUGGUCCUAAAUAAGCAAAUAUUCAAUGACUGAAGUUGCACACUUGCUUGCAUUCAAAAGAAAAACUCCAGUUUGGCAGUAAGCAAAAUAAAAUAACGUCUCCAAAUAAAUCUAUAUGUUUUUACGAGAAUACAUUAUCUGUUAUACUCCCUCUGUUUCAAAAUACAUGAAGUUUUAAGAUUAUACACAACUAUUAAAAAACUUGUUUUUUAUUUUAAAAAUAUCAUUAAAAUAUAAAUUAAAAAUUAUUUAACCAAUCACAAAACAGACUACAAAAUAUCAUUAGCUACACAGUUUUUGAUAAAGUGAAAAAAUACAUUGAUAUAUGAAAACAUCAUCUAUUUUGAAACAUCAAAAACUACCUAAAACAUCAUCUAUUUUGAAACGGAUGGAGAAUAAAUUAUUAUGGCAUCCAUAUUUUCUACUAGACUUAGGUAAACUAAAGCAAUGUUCUCGAACACUAAUAUAUCACGUAUAUAUAUUAUAUAUAUUAACGCUCUAUAUAUGUUAAAAACAUACUUUCACGUAAAGUUCUGAACUACAUGUGAAAAAUUGAAAUUUCUUCAAUAUUAUUCAAAUUAAUAGUAGUAUAUAUGUAUAACGUGCAUGUAAUGGAGGAAAUGUGAGAGAAAUAGCUUACAUCCAAUUUCUGUAUUCAUUUAUUGUAGGCAUUCAAACAUGAAAAUUAGUUAGUGUGAAUGUAGUUUUAUCUGCUUUGCCAAAUUAGCUCGAUAAAAUGCAAAAUAUGAAUAUAACUUUAUAUAACUUAUUUUAUAAAAUGUGCAUGGAAUGGAGGAUGCCUACAAUAAAUGAAUACAGAAAUUGGAUGGAGAAUGCCUACAAUAUAUGAUCCACUUAAGCUACAUUCAUUUACUUACACCCCAACGAUUGUAUUCUUAUUCGAUAAAACUGUAACUGUAAGUGAAUGUUCUUUUACCAAAUUGUAGCGAUAAUAUAGAAUAUGAAUAUAAGUUAAAACUUUAUAGUUUGCUUCUUUUUAUGGCACAAUAUAUUUUCUAUUGUCAUAUAACUUGUAGACGGAAAACGAUGACUAUCCUUUUCCAGUUCACAAUUUGAUUACUUUUUUCUUUGUCUUCAAUCACUAACUUUAUAAGAUUGUUGAAAUAUAUUUGAAGGAGAAUUUUCGCCAAGACCAGAAUAAUCUUUUAACAUUAAAAUAUGGUGAUGAUUAAUUGGAUCAUAUAGAAAUUAAACUUGCUUUUCGUUGGAAACAGAGGAAGCUUUUGGGUGAAGGUAGGCUACCAACAUUAACACACCUAGAUUCUUACGUUAUCGUUUAUUUUUCCUCUUUUAAUUUCUUCCCGCUCAUAUUAAUUAUGAUUUAGACUGAAAGUGAGAUGGAUCUUUUGAUUUAGAUCGAUGUUUUUGUUAAUAUAGAGUUUGGCCAAUAUACCAAAGCCAAACUCUAUACUUAUAGAAUGUCUUUAGUUUUUUUUCUUAGUCUUUUGCAUUUUUAAUAGAUUUUAGAUUCUUAAGAUAAAUCCAUAAAUUAAUAAGAGAAUAUUUCUAUCAUGUUGUAGACGUGUUUAUAUUUGACAAAUAAAAUAAUAUAAAAGGAAUUAACAAUGAAGAAUCUUAUUAAAAAAAAAGUAACAUCGACGAAGUGACAAAAAAAUUGAGUGAUAAAGGGGUUGUGAAGAGGGGAUGUAUCUAAUACGCAUUGUGGGUCCCUUAACCUCAAGUGAAAUUUCCUUUUCUUAACUGAAUUUGAAUUCAUUCAUCAAUUAUUAUACUAUACAACUAGGCAAUAAUCCGCACCUUGCGCGAAAUAUGAUUAUUAGUUUCGUUAUUUUUUAAUAAAGAGACAUUAAUCUAUUUAAUUUGAAUAUCGGUUCGGUUUUAGGUUGAUUUUUGGUUUUUAAUCUCCUAAAAUAUAACUAUCAUUUUAAAUCAAUAUUUAUUUUGUUUGUUCGGUUAAAAUGUUUGAUGUUUUUGGUUUUUUUUUCAUGUGAUAAUUAAAAAUUACUAUUAUUUGUUUGUUUUCAUGUUAUGAAACUUAGAUAGUCGUGAUGUCGAAUCAAUGGUUUCAUAUUAUAGUUUCUAAAUAGAUAAUAGUUCAAAAAGAAAAGAAAAUUGUUAAGACAAAUCAUUUUACUACAAUUUGGUCGAUAGGGAAAGAAGCCUUAAGAAAAAGAAUAUUUUAACUUCAAAAAAAAUUUAGAUAUUUCAGUUGUGGUAAAUAUUUAGUUAUAAAGUGCUCACGUCAAUGUGUCCAUGUAUGUGUAUGUAAAGGUAUAUAAAGAUGGUUGUUAAAUAUAUAAAGAUAAUGUUAAUUAAUAUUAAAUGAUAUUUUUUCAAAAUAAUACAUGAAAAAUAAAAUUCUUAAAAUGAAUUUAUUUAAAAAUAAAAAUACUGUAAAAUUUAUAUAAACUAUAAUAUAUAACUUAUAUAUAAUUCUUUAAAUAUAUGUAUAUAUAUAUAUAUGCAUAUAACAGAUCAAAUUAGAUAUUCGUUCCUAUAAAUACUGAUAUUUGUGGUUUGCUCUUUUUUUUACUGAUAUUGCAUUUUAGUAUUUAAUUUGCUUCGUACAGUAACGAAUAUCCAGAUUUUUCGGUUCAAAUCAAAAUUUUAUGAAUAAUUGUCUAGCUGUAUUCGUAAACAGUAAAAAUAACGUAAAGAAGAACCAUGCAUGUGAGUUUUAUAUUAAAAAAAUGUAAAGUACAUAGUGUGAACAUAUUUAUGUAGUGUUUGGCUGAGAAACUCUGUACAUGUAAUAUGUGUCCAUUUUAGUGUGAACACAUUUAUUACAAUGCUUCUACACGUGACAUGUGUCCAGUUUAGUGUAAAUGCAUUUAUUACAAUGCUUCUCUUUUAAUAUAUAACGGAUUAUACAAAACAUCUUAUUACGAUCCUCAAUCUUAUACUUUGGUAGAUUUUGAUGUUAUUUAUGAUUAAAUUAGCCAUCUUCUUUCAUACAUACUUAAAUAAAUGCGAUAAUCAAUUCUUUUGAACAAGUAGAUAUAAAGGGUGAUUUUAAAACACAAGAGGAAGCAUUUUUUUUUUGUCAUCAAACAAACAAACUCAUAUUAACUAUGUGAACCAAACUGGUAGCUCUGCAUCCAUGUGAACGACGAAAGACGAUUGUUUUCUUGCACUCUGUACUAGAUUAUCCGUCUUUUGAUUCUCCGUUCGGGGUACAUGAAUGAUCUCUGAGCUGAAGAAACAUGUCUUCAGCAUCUUUAUAUCUUCUAGAUAAUUUUCAAACGCCAGCUAUUCUUUUGGUUCCGAAACCAUCUUCACCAAUUGAGAACAAUCCAUAGCAAAUGUGACAUAAUAUUGAUGUAAAUUUCUCAUACACUCCAUCACCCAUAUUAACGCUUCCAUCUCCGAAUGGAGAGGUGAAAGACUUGCCCGAAUAUUCCUUGCACCCAACAAACCAUCAAAUCCCUCAAGAAUAUUAUACCAACCCUCGUCUGAAUAAUACUCUUUAUCUUUCCAAAAACCAUCUAUAAAGCACCAAGGACCUGUCCUCCUCGGACAGUGCCUAACCUCAACUUGUUGUGAUGGCUGCUGAAUAUUCUUCACCUGAGCCUCAGCCCAAAGUUUGGAUUCGGUCUCCGCAAGAUUAAGUGUAUCUCGUGGGUCCAUAUCCAAAUUACUAAAAACUUUGUUAUUCCUACCUUUUCAAAUGUACCAUAAUAUCCAUACAAAAUGAUGAUCUUCCCUCUCCGGGAUAACCCUCCAGAAAAAAUGAUCCAAAUUUAUGAAGAUAGAACUAGUAGGGAAAAGAUCUAGGUUUGACAGUAUCUUUGACAACGCCCAAACUUGACGCAUAGGAGGACAUUAAAAAAAUACAUUAUUUAUUGAUUCCUCAUCAGCUCCACAUCGAGCACAACAUAUAUCUCCUUGAAUUCUUCUCGCUUGCAAAUUCUUUUUUCACAGCCAUACAUCCUGAUACCAUCUAUCAUAGAAAAUGAUUUAUUUUCGGAGGGUAUCUCAAUCUCACCUUCCAACAAAACGCUUUUAAAAUAUCCACUGUAGGACCAUAGACCUACGGUGGUUUUGCCUUAUCCGGAUAGACCCGUUCUAGCUGGUAUCUUGAUUUAACCGAGUAUUUCCUAUUAGUUGUGAAAUGUCAUCCAUCACUAUCCAUCAUCUGGUUUCUACUCAGGAGUAUAAUUUUAAUAAUUUUAGCAUUUUAGGAGUCCACCAGAGCCCAAAUUUUUUGCGUAUUCCAAGUUAGUAAAACUGGAUCAAUGAAAAAGUCUACAAUAGGUAGCAUUGAAUUGGAAUAAACUAUCUACUAUUCUUUCACCUAACAGUUUUUUGUAGUAAUAUAGUUUAGAAAUGUAUUUAAUUGUAUAUAAAUAUAAAUAUAAUUAUAAAUAUAUAUAUAUAUAUCUUAUGAGUUUAUUGAGUGGUAGAUUAGUGGUUGAGUUGUAGUUUUUCUAGAUGGUCAUGUAAAUUUCAAACUCCAUCCAUAUGGUAAUGUAAUGAUAUUACAAAGUAAAAACCAAAAUAAAAACUCUCACUCAGAAGUUCCAGAGCAGUUUGAUUUUUGAAGUCGCACAUUGUCGGAGGAAGCUUGAAUAGUGAUAGAUAAGACAACUCAACUAGAAACUUCGCGAGAUCCAUUUGAAUCACCUCAUUCGUACAUAAAUAAACACUCAUUUUAUUCAAAAAUUCAGAUAUAAGGUUUAAGUUUAACCAGUGUUUAAUUGUUUAUAAUCACCUUCUGGUAACUAUCUUAUUAAAAGGAAAAUUUCAUAAUUACCCAACUAAAUUUCGUUAAAUUUUUUUAUAUCCAAACUUUUAUACUACAUAGUUUAAUACUUCAACUAAUUAUUUUGCUCAGUUUAAUACGCUUGCUUUUAAAACUAUGUUCAUUUUAAUACACAAACUAUGCUAAUUUUAAUAAUAAGUUUUAAACAAAACUUUAAAAAUCUUUAAAUUUCAAAAACAAAAUUUAUUACCUAUUUUCUUUUUUAAAUAACAUAUGUUUGGAUAAUCUUAAUUUUUAUAAUAUUAGUUUUAGUGCUAAUUUCAAUUUUUUUUAUUUUCUGAAGUUUAAAAUAAUUUAUUUAUUUUAUUCAUGAUUAUGGUUUUCUAAAUUUUAAAAUACUAUCUCGUUAGUUUUAUUCCUAAAAAAUUAAAAUAAAGAUUUUUAAAAUUUUAUUUAAAACUUAUUAAUAUCUUUGAUUAAAAUUAAUAUAGUUUGGGUAUUAAAAUAACACAUUUUUAAAAGUAAAUGUAUUAAAAUGUGCAAAAUAAUUACUUGAAGUAUUAAACGGGUAUCAAACUGUGUUGGGUAUUUAACUAAGAUGAGUAAACUUUACAACAUUUUUUAUUUUAUUUUUGUCAUGAAAGUAUCAUUCAUUGAUUAGGUUGUACCAUUGUCAAUAUUUUCUUGUCAACGUACCAAUGUCAAUUUGUAAAGUUGAUCACAAACAGACUAGAAACCAUCUACAAGAAAUAAGGAUUCAACUUUUGUGAAGUAUUAUUGUCAAUUUGUGAAGUUGAUCACAAACAAAUUAUGAAUCAUCUGCAAUAAGAAAUAAGGAUUCAACUUCGGAAAUUGUGUCAAUUUAUGAAGUUGAAUCUUUAUUUCUUCUUUCAGAUGGUUCAUAGUCCAUUUGGGAUUAAUAAGUCAGUUUGUGCUUUGUAUAAACAACUCAAAUCUAGAGUAUUUCGUUCAGUUUUUGUAUCUACAACAGCGGGUGAUGACGAUGACAAUGGCGAUGGCGAUGAAAAUCCAGAUGGGGAUGGGAUUCUUCCUAUUGAUGGGAGGAAGAAUAGAGGAAGACAAUUUACUGAUGAUGUCAAGACAAACAGUUGAUCAAAGCCAAAGUUGUUAGCUGUGAGGUCUGGAGACAAAUGGAAGGUUGAUUGAUAUUGUAACCCGUAUGUUAUCAUCUCUCGGGGGAUCAGUUGCUCAUGUUUAUCAGUAUGAUCAUAUCGUUCCCUGGUGAUAGUUGAUUACAACUUUUAAAGACACACUAAAUUUAUGAUGAAACAAACAAAAUUAACUAAUUAAAUCAUUUAUAAAUGUUUAAAAAAAUAUUUAUAGAAGCUUAUAAACUAACUCCACCUCUUAAAUACUAAAACCUAAACAAUAAUCAUAAAUCUUGAAUCCAAAUAUUAGAGUAUUUUUGAUUGAUCAUAUUUUUUUUCUUUUUUUGAGCAAAGAUUGAGCAUAUAUAUUUUUAAAAUAGUAGCCAACUUAGAAUAUUUCAAGAAAUUUCGCUUAAAAGUAUCAUAUUGGUGUAAAUAUAAAGACUAUCUAAUUAUAUAUGUAAUUAUACUGCUGAUUUUAUUUUAUAUAUUUAAAUUAGGAACUAAAUGGAGUGAAAUGGAGGGUUGGUAUGUUAUCAUCUCUCACGAGGAUCAGAUGCUCAUGUUUAUUAGUAUGAUCAUUUCAUUCUCUGGUCAAAAUCACAUGACUCAAGCCUGGAGAAUUGUCAGGUACUCCAAUCAAUGGUGAAUACUUGGAAUGACGCUUUAUUACAGCUAUAAAUUUGGUUUGUUAAGCUUUUAAACUCAUAUUCUCUGUUUUGGAAGAUAAAUUGUCUAUUUGAAUUUUAGGGUCUGCUGUAGCGAUGAUUCACAAACUCUCAACAAUGGGAUCAUCACAAGAUAAUCAAGAACAGAUAAAGUCGUCUAAAGUAGAUAAUCUUCUUCUUGCAUAGCUUACAUAAUUCAUCAAAGUUAGCUUUUUUUUUGUUUGUUUGUCAAACGAAUUGUCUUGUAACCUCUUGUUAUUUGUGUCUUUGUCUAGUAGAUAUGUUUCUUACUUUGUGAUUACAAAUUAAACUCGAGAGUUUAGAUUUUUUGGUCUCUCGUUUGCCUUUAUUUUGAAGAAGUGUGAAACUUAUGAUGGUCCACAAAACUAGUCAAAUAACACAAGCUACUGAUUGGGGUUUCAUGUGGGACAAACCCAAGUUGAAACCCUCCAAAACUUUUGUACUAUUUUAACAUCUCUGUUUUUUUUUUUUACUUAUUUUUUGGUUAAAAUUGAGACUUUAGGCAUAUAAUAAGAAAACUUUCAGUAGAGUAUCUCAACUUAAAAUAAAUAAAAAUAUAUUAUUGUUCGAUUAUGAAUAUUUCAAAACGAGAAAAACUCAAUCGAAAAUAUCACAAAACGGUGAAAAGUUCAGUCCAAAAUAUCUCAAAUAAUAUAUUUUGACUAAUUUCUCAUCACUCUAAGAUAUCUAAUGAUAUUAGAUCAUUAUUUUAUUUACUUUUUAGAACUACUAAUUUAUUAUAAAAUUUUUGCUCUAGAUCCAUUUCCAUUUUAGUUUUUAUCAUGAUAACUCAAACAUUAAAAUAACUAAAAUAAGAACUUGCUAGAUACUCACAAGAUACUAUGAAAAAUAAUUUGCAUAACAUUAUUGGUCAAAUUUUUUUAAAAAAAUAUUGAAAUUCAAUAGUUUUAUAUAAGUAAACUUAAAAUAACUGAAAUAAAAACUUGCUACAUAAUCACAAAAUACUACGAAAAUAUUUGGCAUUAUAUUAUUAGUCAUUUUCUUAGAAGUAUCUUGAAAUUUAAUAGUCUUAUAGUAAAAACUAUAUAAAGUAAUGAUAUUGGAAUUACGAAAUUUUAUUAUUUUUAGAGUUAUUAAUUUACAAAAAAUAUUUUUAUAUUUUAAAAUAUAUUUUUAAUAAAAUAAGAUAAAUUGUUUAUUUUGUCGUGUAUAUGUUAAUUAAAUUAUUAAAAUUAGACUUUUAUUAUUUUUGUUAUACUAUUUGGUGUAUACAAAAUAUGUUUCAUAGAAUUUAAAUGUAGUUUUUAGAUAUAAUUUGACCUAAUAUUUUCAAAAUAUAUUGAUGUGUUAAGAAAAAUAAAGUUCAAUUUCAUUGUGAAUGUAAAAUAAAUAAUACAAUGAUUUUUUUGUACAUAUAUAAACAUUGUAUGUAUGAAUUAUUAAUUUAUGAUUUUAAUGGAUUAUAUAGAUACAUUGAAUUUUCUAAAAAAAUAUAUUAUCUUAUUUUUUCGAUUUGUGUCAUAUUUUGAACCGGGCAAAUUCGAGACCGAAGAAAUUUAUUAAUUUACUAUGUUUGUAACUGAUCGAGUAUUAAUUUAUAGUAUUUGUACCGUAUAACUGAACUUAAAUAAAAUUAAAAAACACCGAAAGAAUAUCUUAAAGUGAAAACAAUCAUAAAACUAUAAUGUUUACAAGAGAUGAUGCGUAGUGAAGAUGAGAGAAAGGAAACUACAAUGGUUUUGUUUUAUUUAUUUAUAUACAUCAUUACAAGAGAUGAUCAGCUUGCAGUGGUACUUGUAUACAAAGAACAAAGUGUACAAGGCGAGGUAAAUAAUGGAUCUACAAUCUCACUUAAAUCGUCUUCCAAUGGCUUAGAACCUCCAUCUCCUGUCUGGCUGAAUAAUGUUUCUCUUCCAAUGAUGAACAACGAGUGUUUAUGACCAUAGAGAAUUGCUGCAAUGUUACCAACAAAUGAGAGUUUUGGGCGCUUACCCACCUUGAAUCAUCUCACUUCUUAACACAUCUUCUCUCCUUAUUCUGUGAGAGCUAAAAGAGUUACUAGCAUUCUACAUCACUCCUCUAAUUCCAAACUUGGGGUAACCAUAGGGAAUGUUGUCAGAUACGAAUCACCUCUCAUAUCUUUAGCCAAACCCUCAAUGACAUCAUAUAUCUCAUCACUCUGAGGAUGCUCUUGAUCUCUAGACACAAAACAAUUUACAUUACCUGCAACUUCAAUCCCACUACGACCAACUUCUUUCCUUAAACCCUUUUCUCUCAUUCCUCUCCUCAACCUAUCAACACUCGUCCAUUUCUGUUCCUCAGCAUACAUAUUCGAGAGCAAAACCUGAUAUCCUGAAAAGUUCUUCCCUUUAUCCACUUUAGCUAACUUCUCUGAAACAGUUUCAGCAAGCUCAAUCUCACCGUGUACUCUACAAGCUCCCAGGACCGAACCCCAUAGCUCAGCAAUGUUUCCUUCUUCACCAAGCCCUUUAACAAACUCGUAGGCUUCAUCAACGCGGCCUACUCUCCCUAACAUGUCUGUAACGCAGCAAUAGUGCUCAUUGGAAGGCUGGAUGUUAUAAACUUCACUCAUUUCCUCGAAUAUUUUGAGACCUUCAUCCACUAAACCGGAAUAGCUGCAAGCUGAUAAUACUGCAACAAAGGUGACAGCAUCUGGUUUGACUCCAGACUCUUCCAUUGAACGAAACAGCGAGAUAGCUCUCUCACCCAUUCCGUGUUGACCAUACCCCAAUAUCAUCGUGGUGUACGUCACAGAGUUUCUCUCUUUCGUUUGGUAAAACAUGUUUUCUGCGUACUGUAUCGCUCCUGACUUUGAGUACAUAUCAACUAACGCAGAAGCAACAAAUACGUUCUGAUCCAAGUACUGCCUUAUAGAGAAACCAUGUAGCUGUUUACCUAAGUCGAAACUACCUAUCUGGCUACACGCAGGGAGAAUCGACGCCACAGUUAUGGCAUUGGGUUUGAUAUUCUGUUCUAACAUCUUCCUGAACACAGCAAACGUUUCCUCUGUGUGUCCGUUCUGCGUGUACCCGGACAUCAUAGAGUUCCAAGUAGCUUGAUCUCUUUCAGCAUAGCCACUUCUCUCGAAAAGCUUCUCUGAGAUCCUUAUUAGACCUGACUUAGCAUACAUGUCAAUAAGGUAACUGUUCAUCCCCUCGAACUGAAUCCCUUGCCUUAAAAGGAAACCAUGAGUCUGCUUCCCAAUCUCCUUGUUUCUAAGAUUCGACGCAGCCGAAAGCAAAGCAGUCACUGUUAUGUAAUCGAUCUUAAACCCCUGCUUCUGCAUCUCAUACACCAACAUCAAUCCUUCAUCAUCUAAGCCGUUUUGGACAAACGCAGAGAUCAUUGUGUUCCACGUCACAACAUCUCUCUCUCGCAUCGAAACAAAGACCGCAAAGGACUCGUGCACAGAGCCGCACCUCGAGUACAUCACCAUCAACGAGUUGAAUAUCACAACGGGAAGCUCCUGAAAGUUCUUGCUGACAAAACCAUGAAACUGUCUACCUAACUCCACUUGCUGCAGCGCUGAAACUGCACUCGCUGCCAAGAGGAACGUUACUUCGUCAGACACAAUCUCUUUCGAUCCUAUUGCAUCAAGAAAAAGAUCGAUACUCUCAACCAGGUACUCGUUCUGAACAUAGACUCCUAUCAUUGUAUUCCACACCUCAAUAUUCCUCUCUACACAAGAAUCAAACACUCUCCGUGACGCUUCAAUAUCGCCAAGCUCCGCAUACAUAGAAAUAGCCGAGCUCACAACAAACAAGUCCUUCACAUACUCAUCUCCCAACUUAAGCAUCAAACCAUAAAAUACUUUAGCUCUCUUAACACUUCUCGAACUCGCCACCGCGGGGAAGACAUUCACAAAGCUAACCGGACUCGGUUUAAUCUCCAUCCUCAUCAUAAUCCCAAACUGCCUACACGCCUCAGCGUGUCUCUCCGUCUUCACAUACCAAGAAACCAACGUAUUCCACGCCACAACGUUCUUCCUACGCAUACUAUCAAAAACCUUACGCACCACGUCGUACUCGCUUCCAGGAGGAGGGUGGUUCAAGCAAGAAACGUACAUAUUCAACAGAGAGUUAUGAACAACCCUGCUCGAGUUCUGCAAGCACCGGAUCAAAUGGCAAUGCACGGCUUUACCAGCCUUCAGGUUCCUGGUCUCGGCGCAGGCCUUGAGCGUGGAGGAGUAAGUGUAAGGGUCGCAUUUGGUGAAAGGAGCGGUCUUUUUCAUCCGGGAGUAGAAAAGGAGAGCCUCGUGCGGGAGGUUGUUGCAGAUGAGGCCGAUGAUAAUGGUGUUCCAUAGGACGGUUGUUGGUUUGGGAAUUGCGUCGAACAGCUGGCGUGCGAGCUGUGGGUUUCCUUUUUGGCAGAUUCUGCUGAGGCGUGAGCGGAUUGAAGGUGUUUGGGGAGUUGGGUUUGUUGGUGGGGCGAAGGUGGAAGAGCGGCGGGUUUGGUUUGGCGGGGGAGAGUGGAACGAAAGUGGCGGUGGUGGUGGGAGAGGUAGAGCUGAUCCGGCCAUUGUGGAAGAGAUGAUGAAGAACGAAAUGAAGAUACGUUAUUGACUCUCUCUUCCGCUUAUGUUAUCAUCAUCUUUCUUCAGUGAUAAGAGUUUGUUUAUUAUCUAUUUUUUAUAAGAUAGAUUACCAUUUUUCAAAGUACACUAAAUUUGUGAUAAAAAAAAAUAAAAAAUAGACCAACUAAACUAUUUAUUAAUGUUUAAAAAAAUAUUGGGUAAAUAAUCCAUAUUUUCCCACCAAAAAUAUUGGGUAAGAAACUAUCAAUCUCGUCUUAAUUAUAUGUAUCUAUAUUAUUAAAAGAGAAGUACCCAUUUGAAAAUGUUUUUACUUCAUUAAUUAAACUUCCCUUUUUUUUGCUUGUCUUUUUCAGUUGCAUUUAUGAAAUAUCCUAAAACAAAUAAAACUGCCUAAUUGAUUACUUGUCUUUUCAGUUACAUUAAUGAAAUAUGCUUAAAUGAAUUUAAACUUCCUAUUUUAUUGUUUGUCUUUUUCAGUUACCUUAACGAAAUAUCCUUAAAUAAAUUUGGACAUAAUGUCAUUUAAUCAACCAAAAAAACUCAUGAGUUAUCCUUACGUGCAUAAUUUUAAUAAUGGAGAUUUUUAAAAAGAGAAAAUGACACAAAGAACACUAAAUGAAGUUUUCCUCCCCAAACUAGCACUCAGGAUCAGAAUUCACAAAAAUAGGUUUCAUUAAAUGGGCAAUUUACCCUUAUGCCCCCUUCUUUAACUAAUUUAAAAAACAAAUUUGAAAUCAAUUUGUCGCCGUCCUCGUUUCAUCGCUUCUUCUUCUCGUCUCUCCGUCGUCGUCGUCGUCGUCUCUCCGUCGUCGUCUCCCCGUCCUUGUCGUCGUCGUCGUCGUCGUCUCUCCGUCGUCGUCUUCGCCUCUCCGUUGAUCCGUCGUCGUCGUCUCUCCGUUUAUUUAUCGUCGUCGUCGUUUCUCAAUUGAUCUGUCGUUUCUACGUCUAUUCAUCUCAUUCUCUCUCUCGUGUGUCUGAUUUGAUUAAGGUUUGAAUCAUUUCAUUUUGUUAUACAUUAUCUAGGUUUUGUUAUAUAUUAUUCAUUUGUUGAUGAUUUGAAGUUGAUUUUGUAGAACAAUGGAAGUUUUGUGCAUCUGUGGACAAUGGAUCUCAAAAGAAUCUCUCCAGUGGGAGUUUCUUGUUGAUUUGAAGAGGAAUGCAUCAAUCAUUUCCAUAGAAGAAGAUCUACUGUAUGAAGAUUUGAUGAAGAUUGUCUCUGAAGAUUUUAGUGUUAAAGAGGAAGAAAUCAGUUUGAGUUAUGGUUUUUCAUUGGAUAUGAAAUGUAUUAUUGAAAGUUUCCCCCCACUCUCGAUAGGUAAUACUCGUCAGCUCAGAACUUUCAUUUCCAAGACUAGAGCAUUUGAUGGAACCUGUCGUUUGUGUGUUAAGGUUUGUAUGAUUUUUUCUUAGACUUUUCAGGAUAUGCUUCAUAACCAAGUAUUAUGCCUUACAGAACUACUUGACUUAUGCAGGUUAGUACUGAUCCAGUUAGCUGUAACACUCAAGCUUCUGAUACAUUUGCUUCUACUGUUCCAUUGAAUGCCAAUCCAGCGAUUCUUUCUACUGUGCAGAGUGAAAAACAGGUACAUUGUCCUUAAUUCCCUUUUUCUGUUUGUGUUUGCAUGAUAUGCUUCAUAAUCAAGUACUAUGCCUUACAGAACUACUUGACUUUUGCAGAGUCUUCUAUAUGAAGGUGUUUCUACAGUUCCUCUGAAUGCUCUUCCGGAUUUUAGUACUGAUUCAGCUAGCUGUAACAUUCAAGCUUCUGAUACAUUUGCUUCUACUGUUCCAUUGAAUGCCAAUCCAGUGAUUCUUCCUACUGUGCAGAGUGAAAAACAGGUACAUUGUCCCUAAUUCCCUUUUUCUGUUUGUGUUUGCAUGAUAUGCUUCAUAAUCAAGUAUUAUGCCUUACAGAACUACUUGACUUUUGCAGAGUUUUCUAUAUGAAGGUGUUUCUACAGUUCCUCUGAAUGCUCUUCCGGAUUUUAGCCCUGUCCAUAUUGGACUUUCACCAAACACGAGAGUAGCUGGCGAUAUUAAGGUGAAUAGCUAUUUUAAGACAAAGAGAGAGUUGAUGUUGAGGAUGAAGAAAUGGGCUUUAGAGUGGAAGUUUGAGUACAAGACUGUCUCUUCUAACAAGUCAAGAGUGCUUUUGAGUUGUGUUGAUGAAAAUUGCACGUGGAGGAUGCGUGCUAUCAAGCUACCUGUUUCAGAUUUUUUCGUUGUUAAAAAGUAUGUUCAUGAGCAUACAUGCGAUACAACACACAGGAAAGCCAACCACAGACAAGCAUCUGCAAAGUUGUUGGGUUCUUUGAUUUCCAGCAAUUAUGGAGAAAAAAAGGAAGGUCUCAAACCGAAACAGAUCAUUGAACAGGUCAGGAUGCUGCAUGGUGUUCACAUCAAUUACAAACAAGCUUGGAGAGUGAGAGAAGAAGCUCAGAUUUUGGUUAGAGGGACUCCUGAAGACAGCUAUUACAAUUUGUCUAGGUGGUUGUAUAAAAUCACAGAAACAAACCCUGGUUCCUUGACUUAUCAACAUGUUGAUGCUGCAGGAAAGUUCAAGUAUGCAUUUGUGGCUUUUGGUCCAUCGAUAAGGGGAUUUUCAUUGAUGAGGAGAGUUAUUGCAGUAGAUGGUACAUUUCUGAAGGGAAAAUUCAAUGGGACUUUAUUGGCAGCUUGUGCUCAAGAUGGGAAUUAUCAUCUAUAUCCUCUCGCCUUUGCAGUGGUUGACGCAGAAAACGGCGCCUCUUGGAAAUGGUUCUUUAGAGGUUUGAGCCAGAAGAUCCCGGACGCUUCGGAUCUUGUUUUUGUAUCAGACAGGGCUAACUCCAUUUCUUCAGCGUUGGAGGAUGUAUAUCCCUUAUCUCACCAUGGAAUUUGCAGGAUCCAUCUGCUCCGCAACAUCACUCCUACAUAUGCGAAGACUGGGUUGCUACCUCUGGUGGAAAGCGCUGCUGAUGCCUAUACGUGUCACGAGUUCUGGUUAAUCUUCAAGGACAUAAAGGAUAAAUGUCCUGAAUUGGCUAAGUAUCUGGAAGAGUCUGAUUUUAGGAAGUGGGCACGAAGCUAUGCGCCUGCGAACAGGUAUAAUAUCAUGACUACCAACAUUGCAGAGUCUCUCAAUUCUAUGUUGAAGAUGCCUCGUGAGUUGCCCAUUAUCUCUCUCCUUGAAACUAUCAGAUUGACGAUGACCACUUGGUUUUUUGAGCGACGCGAAGCGGCUGCGAAACAUAAGCACCUGGUUACUCCAAAAGUUGUUCAGAAAUUGGUAUCUAGGUUAGGGGCCGCAAUGUUGUUGAAUGUGUAUCAAGUUGAUCGAAGCGAGUUUGAGGUGAAGAAUGAAACAAUGAAGUUUGUUGUUGACUUGGAGAAGCGGCAUUGCACAUGUAAUGUUUUCGACAUUGACAAGAUCCCCUGCAUCCAUGCCAUCGCUGCUGCUAAGCAUAUCAAGAGAGAUGAAAACCGUUUUGUUGAUGCUUCUCACUUGACAGAAACGUGGGCUAAAGCUUAUGCUGAAAGCAUACAUCCUGGUGGAGAGUUGUCAACGUCCACCUAUCCAGAGAAUAUUGAUGAACUGUCUUGCCCACCUCCAGCUACCAAAAAGAAAAGUGGACGCCCUCCUACAAAGAGAAAGAGAUCCGUUGGCGAGUUUGGGGUUCCUGGAUCUAAAUCUCAGUCCCACAAGUGCAGCAGAUGUGGCACAGGAGGGCACAACAAGAUCACAUGCCAGAGGCCUAUAGGAUGAAGUUCUACAUUUUUACAUUUUUAUCGAUUAUUAUUUGGAUGUUUGGCUAUUUGAUGGUUACAUGAUAUGCACAAGACCAUAUACAUUUUUUCUUUUGGAACCCUAUCCUGAAUAAGUAUGAUUUCUUACAACUUUUGUAAUAUACAACAUUAUCUUUUGAUCUCAUUUCAAUUUUUAGUUUAAACUUCUUUGCUAGAAAAAAACACAGUAAUAUUCAACUAUUCUGGAAUCCCAUCCAACUUUUGUAACAUCCAACUUUUGUAAUAUACAAUGUAUUAUACUAUAAAUUGUAUGGGUAAAUUCAAUUAUGUGGAAGCAACUAACAGAUGAUUCUCCUCAGCCUAGCGGCUAAACCACGAAACCUAUGAUACCGAAACAUUUGAUCGACCCGGGUUCGACUCUCCUACGAGUAAUGGGUUUUUUUUUUUUUGUUCAAACAUAUAUCUCAGGAAUCACAUUUGUCGCAAUCGGAAGCCCAUCCUGAACUAUCAAAGAUCUUUCCAAUGUAUUAUACUAUAAAUUGUAUGGGUAAAUUCAAUUAUGUGGAAGCAACUAACAGAUGAUUCUCCUCAGCCUAGCGGCUAAACCACGAAACCUAUGAUACCGAAACAUUUGAUCGACCCGGGUUCGACUCUCCUACGAGUAAUGGGUGAUUUUUUUUUUUUGUUCAAACAUAUAUCUCAGGAAUCACAUUUGUCGCAAUCGGAAGCCCAUCCUGAACUAUCAAAGAUCUUUCCAAUGUAUUAUACUAUAAAUUGUAUGGGUAAAUUCAAUUAUGUGGAAGCAACUAACAGAUGAUUCUCCUCAGCCUAGCGGCUAAACCACGAAACCUAUGAUACCGAAACAUUUGAUCGACCCGGGUUCGACUCUCCUACGAGUAAUGGGUGAUUUUUUUUUUUUGUUCAAACAUAUAUCUCAGGAAUCGAAGAGUCUCUUCCAAACGAUAUCAUGUAACUCAGUAACCGAAGAGUUUCUUUUCGUCAAGAUUGGGUGUUAUAUGAUUGGUUAUUUCAGUAACUGACUUCAAUAAUCGAAGAGUUCCACAAUAAUCAAGAGUUUAUUUUAACUGACUUCAAUAAUCGAAGAGUUCCUUUUUGUUCUAUAAAUAUAAGGGACGAUAUCAGACCUUUUAUUCACUCACUUCAUUUCGCUUGAUAUAUCCUUUUGCAAUACAAGUUAGUUUUCGAUUUUUCUCAUUUUCCAUUCAAUUCAUGAACUUUUUUCUAUUUCUAUUUUAUCGUAACAUCUUAGUUUCGAUUUUGUUGCAGGACAAAGUUUCAAUGGAAGGAAGUUCAAAGAAGAUGAUGAAGCGUCCCAUAGAGGAGGUUUACGGAUGUGAUGCCGCCGAAGGUUUCAAGAAGGGGAAGAAGGAAACUGUGGAACAUUACAGGGCUCUUCUUCGUUUGUCCAACGAAUACAGGCUAUCUGAGAAUGAUUGGAAUCUUGCAUCCAGCAAAGCAAAUUCAAUUGCUGUCCAAAUCGAGUUGCUUGAAGAUAUUAUCAAAGCUGAUGGAAAAUUUGAUUUAACUGCUGAGUUGGAGAAACUCAAAGAAGAGCACUCGGAAGCGGAAGGAAUGCUUGCUGAUGUGAAGGUCAAAGUCCCUGAUUGGGAUAAACUUGGCGAAAGUUGGCUCCAUCAUGAGUAAUUUCAUGUUAUCGUCUUCUCUUUUUAUGUUUUUAAGGACCACAUUAUGUUUGAUUUUCAGUUUUUAUUUUAAAUGAAUAAGCACUUUUGUUUCUCUUGUGUUGUUUCUUCAAUUAACAACCUAAAUAAAAAACUUGUUCAAUGUUUUUCACUAUUUUGUAAUGGUUUGGCCUAGUGUUCUUAUAACUUGGUUAUCUGAUUUGCUUAUUUGUUUUUGGAAAGCCAUCCUGAAUACAUAAAAUGAUAUCCAGAUUAUAUAAAUCUAUCGUCUGUGAAUAAAUGAGUUCACAUUUACUCUGUUAUCGAAUAUCCAACGUAGCCUAGUGGCAAGCCCUUCUACUCUUAGUGUACCCUUAUCACACAAUAAGUCGUGUUCGAUCCCCGUUGUGUAUACUCACAUUUUUUUUGUUUUUAAUUAAAUAUUCAAACGUUAUUUUCGUUUUAUUGUAGCUUUUGGCAAGUAUAAGACCCUUGGUACAACGGCUGCACACUUGGAUUAAUCUAUCGAGAGUUCACGAGUUCAAUCAACAUCAGAUCACAUUCUUUUUCAUUUUUUUUUUGUAAACUUUAAAGGAAUUUGUUUUUGGAAAGCUAUCCUGAAUACUUAAAAUGAUAUCCAGAUCAUAUAAAUCUAUCGUCUGUGAAUAAAUAAGUUCACAUUUACUCUGAUAUCGAAUAUCCACCAUAGCCUAGUGGCAAGCCCUUCUACUCUUAGUGUACCCUUAUCACACAAUAAGCCGUGUUCGAUUCCCGUUGUGUAUAUUUUCACUUUUUUCUGUUUUUAAUUAAAUAUUCAAAAGUUACAAGUUAUUAUCGUUUUAUUAUAUCUUUUGGCAAGUAUAACACCCUUGGCACAGCGGCUGCACACUUUGAUUCAUCUUUCGAGAGUUCACGAGUUCAAUCAACAUCGGAUCACUUUCUUUUUCAUUUUUUUUGUAAACUUUAAAGGAAUAUGCUAGGCUUUGGUGCAUUUUGCUUUCUCACUCUUUUUCUGGAAACCCAUCCUAAAAGUACCAUAAGCAUUUGACAAUUCAUCAAUACAUCCUAAAAAUUUUUCAAUAACAAUCUAAAUGAAAAAAACGUUAGGGAUAAUUCAUUACAAACUUAAACUUAAACGUUAGGGAUAAUUAAUAUCAAAGUAGAAAAACAGUGUAGAAAACAGAACAAAUAUGACAUUUUCACUUCCUUUGACCUUCCUGGAAAUCUUUAUCCAUAAACUGGUCGAAGAUCUCACAACAUAGCUUGCUUCGUAAGUCCAUCGCAGUUUCAUCAUUUAUAUUAGCCAUGCUCUUCAAUCCCAGUGACCUGCAUUCCAGCAUCUUCACAACAAAAAUACCACAGUUGUAUGGAAAUUUUGUCUUUGGAAGCCCUUCUGCAAACUUAACUUCAAAUGGACUGAUAUCUUCGAAAUUAACCUCUUCACCAAGAAGUUCCAUCUUUAUGGCACUAAUCAACACUGUCAUAAAUACCCAAAAUUAUACAAUAAAUCAAUCACCAACAGACAACAAAAUGAAUAUGUAAAAAUGCAUCACAAUCACAAGCAGCAAGUGACAAACUUUUAUUUUCUAAAUUAGCUAAUAUUUUUACCUGCCAGUUCUUGGAUUUGAUUAAGAGCACGUUUGAUAUUUGCUUUUGGAAGACCACAAUGGAAGAGUGUGAUUGUGUUGUCCAUCAAUUGUAUCUCCACCCCAAUAUAGUGACAGCUCAACUUAUCUUCAAUGACACCAUAUAUAACAUCAACAUCUUCCAGCCAUACCUUCUUUGGAUGUAUUAAACCUUUCACAAGUUCGCCUACACAGCCCUCCAAUAACUUUUUUUUUUCUUAUGUGGCUUCCUGACAGAUUCAUAAGCGUACCCAACCUCUUCUAAGAAUUUGACUGGUACAAAGCAUGCUGGUGGAAGAUUGUUGUUGCGGAACCAAGCACCUUGCUCAACCCUCUUACAAUUUAGCAUUUCAAAUGCAACAUUUAUGUGCUGCCAAUGUAACAAUAUAGUUAGAAACUUCAUAUAGAACUGCUAUAACAUGGACAUCUAGCAUAGCUCAACUCAACCUCUUCCUAAACAUAUCACACAAUCAAAUAGAAGACAGAACAGAGUGUUGAUUACCUCUUUGUUGAGAUUGUUUUCUGCAUCGUCCAUUUUUUGAAAGAACUCUUUUUCAAUUUCUUUUCCAUUGAUAUAAAACGGUCUGUAGUUGAUAAAAUUAACUAGUAUCAAUCGAAACUUUUACAAAAUAAAUUAGGAAUAUUUAUGCGAGGACAAAAAGUUGCUUACACACGAUAUAUGCCCCGUAGAUCCAUCCAGUGUGUAAGCCUUGAAAACCGAGGAAAUUCAGGUGUCACAAAUGGAUCAAUUGGAAGGAUUACCUCAGGUGUUACAGGUAUAGGAGGGUUUCUAGGUCGUAUUGGCCUCUUCUCUUCUCGCUGUAGAAAAGGAAGCAAAUCUACUGGCUGAGCAUUUGCUUUCUUCUUCUUACCAACAUGUGGCUUCCCCUUUAAUUAAAAAUAAAGACAAAAAUUCAGGAUCGUUUUUAUCUUUAUACUUGAAUGCCUUCCUAAUAUGAAGUAAAAAUAUUUUUUAUACCUUUUUUGCAUGAUCGUCUUGACUUGGUUUCACACUCUUACCCUGCUUUACUUCUAUCUGUGAAACAAAACCGAUAUAUCAAACUAUUGACCUGAACUUCAAUUCAAGUGGAUCUUAUUCAUUUUUAUUACCUCUUUUGCCAUUUUCCCAACACCAUCUUCUGAUGGACCAGCUGCUUCAUUUUUCUUACAAGCGACAGCCUUCGCCUUCCCCUUUUUGAAUGACAAAAAUUCAGAUACAUUUAUAUCUUAAUUCCUAGUAUGAUGUAUAAAUAUUUCAUACCUUUUUAUCACCAUCUCCUUCACUUGGAUUCACACUCUGCGUCUGCUCUUCUUCCAUCUGAAAAUCAAUACCGAGAUAUUAAACAAAUGACAUUAUUUUUCAAUUCAAGUGAUCCAAGGCAUUUGUUUUACCUUUUUUGUCAUCUCCCAAACACCAUCUACCCAUUUUCUUGGUUUUCGCAUCUCAGAAUGGUGGAAGUAAAUUUGUUCUUUAGAAUUGUUCAAAGAGACAAAACACGAGCCAUCAAACAAAAUGACUUUAACUUUUCCAGCGCACCAGGCACCAUUGUCGAACGCCUCCACGUCCUGCAUUAGCUCAUAACUUUUCUUCGCUCCAGAUCUCUCAGGUGGUGGUUGAGGACGUAUUCUGUCAAUUGAUACACGUGUCUCAACACUCCUUUUCCUCUUCUUUUCGUCCAGAGACGGGACGAAGUACUCAACUUUCACCAUCUCAACCCCAUCAACCAAAUAUGUUGCCAACACAUUUCCUGGAUACCAUUUAUGACAAGUAUUGUCAUCUUGUGAUGAAAUCUCCACAUUUGCUCCGAUCUCAAAGGGAUUUUGAACUCUGCUUUCUACAUCCUGUGAUGGUUUAGAUUCAAGGAUAUCCAGUCAUUUUGAUAGUUGCUGAGUAUUUAUUAAAGGUUUUAAUGAAAGUAAUACCUUAUUUUGCUCUGUUAAAAGAUUUCUGCGAGCUCGGGUAUUUGGCUGUGUGUCGGAAAUGUUUGGUGAAAUGAUCUCAUUCAUAAGCUCGUGAGUCUCCUGAAUUCAGGAAUGGUUGAAUGAACACGUACAAGGGCUUCCAAAAAUUACUUGAAAAGUCCAAUUUUUUAAAGAAGGUACCUGCUGCGUCUGAAUUGGAGUAAGGACUGGAGUCUCAAUAUUCUGUUGAGCUAUUGGAGAACCAGGUGUCUCUUUCGUGAUCUCAUUCAUAGGCUCUCGUGUAUCCUGAUGUCAGGAAUGGGAUUAUGAACACGUACCAAAUUCAUAAUUUUAUAAAUACCAACAGUUUUCAAAAUUAUACUUGCCUCAUUGUUAAGUUGUUCAUCUGCUUGAUCUGCAUUGGCUUCACCUUGUCUGGAAGCCGUCUCAUGAAAUGGAGUUGUGUCAGUCUGUGCAAGUACAACAAAAAUUAGGAAGGCAAGCCUAAAUAUGUAUAACAUCUUCCAAAAUUACUUGACAACUCAAAACUGAAUCAAGAACUAGAUAAACAUUAAUUUUAAUUUCCGAAAAAAAAGUUACCUCAUUGUUUGGAGUUUCAUAUGAAGUAACUCUUUGUAGUUUCUCUAGGUUUGUCACACGUUCUUUAAUCUGUUUCCUGUCUUUUUCAAUCAAACACAAACGAUCGUUCAUGAUCCUUAAAUUAUCUCCCACCAUCUCGCUGAUUCUGUUGAUCUUUGAUUCCAAAGACUCCUCCUGAUACGAAGUAGAAGCUUGACUCAUCCCUCCAUUCCCAAACAGUAAAGAUGCUCUUCUUAUUUCUUCAUUAGCACCGUAUAGGUCUACUGACAUGUUUCGCCAAUCUCUAAUUUUAAACUUAUAACCUCUCUUGGAUAAAUCGGCCAUGUCAUCCAGAUCUUUAUUAGCUUCGUCUCCCAUGCAAACAUCAUCUUCUGGAUCAUUAGAAAUAGGAGGUAGGAUGCAUGUGACCUUAAGCUGAAACCAUAAAAAUAAUUAGCUUUUAAAUGGAGAAUCAUAAGGCAAAACAGAAACAAGAAAAAAAUAAUGUAAAAACUUACAUGAUCUUUGAUUUCAAUUAGGAGAACAUCUAUCAGCUGUGGAGAAGCUAUUUGAAGGUACUUCUCACACAAAAAUAUUGGGGUAGACGGUUGAACGCUCAGAAUAGGAACAACUUGACUGAAUGCAUACUGUAGCAAAGGUACUGACUCAAGUAUCCAUAUAAGAAAUGCCAUAGGGAACCCUUGCAAAUCAUAAUUGUUUUUGUCGAGGCUUUUGUCGACAGCUCUCUGAAGUGAUUUUAACAGCAAAUUAUAAGCUGUUCUCCCCCAUGGGUAUGUCAUCAAGACAUCCAUAUCCUGCGCUAUUUUCACAUAAUCCAAAGUAAAAGUUGUGCCACCGUCGAGAAGGCUCUUCUGUAGUAGUAUGCUCUCAAUCAGGAGGAGCAUUGCAAGGCAGAAUCUCUCAUCAGAAGCAUCUUCUCUUGUGUUUCUGAGCUGCUUCUCCACGUCCUUUACUGUAUGAGUACGCCCUUUUAGGAAGUCCCACUUAAAUUUCUCGGUUCCCUCUCGUGGUUCUCUUGCUUCACCACUACAUUUCAAACCAGUCACCAUGUGGAAUUCUCUUAUAGAGAACCUCAUUGGCUGAGCACCAAAAUGGAACCAUGCUUCGUGUCUCUUCACUGUCUUGAUGCUUUUGGUGAGAACUGCGUGCACUAUCUUAGCUGAUAAUUUCAAAGACCUCUCUCCAAGCUUGAUCACCGGUCCCAAAAACGUCCCUCUUAUUCUGUUGAACUCAUCAUUUCCUAGAAUUUCCUUAACAGUUUUGAUAUAAGCAACUAUCGAGUGUUGGUUUAUCGAUAUCGUCUUCUCUGGCUCUGAUCCAAUCGGAUACCUCAGCUCAGGCAGUGCUAGUCUUAAUGGUAAUGGAUCUCCCAUCUUGUUUCUAUCCUGCGUAAACAAGAAAAAUUUUAUUUGUCUAAAUUAAUUAAAAUCCAAUUUUCAGGAAGGGUUUCCUGAAAAAAAUACAAAUCCUUCCCGAAGUCUAUACACAUGCUUUCACAUGAACUAGAAUUCUACGAAUCAUAUUAGGUUAAAACGAGCAAGUCUAUACACAAGCAAAAACCAGGAGACCAAUCUCUCAGAAAGAAAACACACAUAAGGUUGAAUCUGCAACAUACCUUCAAGAGAUAGAGCUCUAGAAAUGGUUUUUCUCGGAGAAUAGAGAGAGCUCGCGUAAAAGAUCGAGAGAGAGAGAGUUCUGGAGAUGGGUUUUCGUCGGAGAUCGAGAGAUAUGGAGAUGAGAGAGAGAUUCGAGAGGCGGAGACGAGUGAGAUUCGAGAAGUUUGAAACGGCGAGAGUGUUGAGACGGCAAGAGUUUUGUUUUUUUUCAAUCGAAAUGUAUUGUUUUGGAAACCUAUCCUAUAUUAAUUGGGUUAAGUAUGCUUAUGUAAUAUUCUUUAACAGAUGAUUCUCCUCAGACCAGCGGUUAAACCAAGGCUUUUUAUAACUCAAAAGUCUCUCUAUCCCCGGGUUCGAUAUGUGGUGGAUUCAAAAUCUAUUUUAAUUCUUUUUUGUGUUACAGUUUGGAGUUAAAUAAAAUUAAAUGUAAUCCAUAACAGAUGAUUCUUCUUGGCCUAGUGGCUAAACUCCCACACUAUCCAAAUACGCAGACUCUCUCCCUCUGGGUUCGAUCCUUUGUGGUUCUAAAUUUUUGUUGUCUGUAAACAUCACAAUUUUAAGCUUACCAUAUACAUGUCCAAUCCUUAGUAUAUAAUCUCAUUUCAUUCUUUUUUACAUUUGAAACACUUAACUUUUUUUCUGGAAACCCAUCCAGAAACAAUAUUUUAACCUUCCAAGAUAUAUGAUACCCAAAUAAAAUACUUGAUAUCCUUCCAAUCUUUCUUAUGUAACCAGACGCCAACAACAUAACAAAAUAAACAGUCAUAACUAAAACCGAGUCUUAACUAAAACAAAAAAUGUUUUCAUGCAUCAUUCUCAUUUCCCAAAGCUCUCAUCCACAAAUUGGUUGAAGAUCUCACAAGACAAGGUUCUCCUUAGCUCCAAUGCAUUGUCAUCAUUAAUCUUUGUCAUGUCUCCUAUCUUCAAUGACUGGCACUCCAGAAUCUUGACAAGAAAUAUCCCACAGUUGAAAGGAUGUUUUGUCUUGGGUAAACCUUGUGCCUGCUCAAUCUCAAAUGGAAUCAUCUUCACCUUAUCUACCUCAUCACCAGAAGAUUCCACCAGCAGAUUAGAAAUCAACACUGUCAUAUUUAAAAAUCAAUAUCAAGAUAGAAUCAGUUGAAUAUUUCAAACCAAGAAACAGAUGAAUACAUCAAAUACAGAUUGUUUAUACAUACCUGCCAACUUUUUCACUUGAGGAAUAUCAAUGCUGUUGCUUUCCUUUUGAAAACAAUCAUAUACUGUGAUUCUUUUCUUCUUCAAAUGAAUUUCCAUCCCAAUCCAGACAUUGCUUUUUUUUCCAAGAGUAAUCCCAUACACAACAUCAACAUCUUCUCCCCAUGUCUUCUCUGGAUAUACCUUCCCUCUCACAGUAUCUUUAAAUAAAUCGUUGAAAAUCUUUUUACCUUUGACCUUUUCUUUCUUGUAAGCCAAAUCAUCAGAGAGCAAGCAAUGCAAGAACUCCAUAGGUAGGAAGCACGCCUUUGGAAUCUUGUAGUUGUGGAACCAAGCAGCAUUCUCAUUUCUUCUGCAAUUUAGCAUUGCAAAGGCUCCAUCAAUGUGCUGCAAAAAAAAAGGCAAACAUUAUCUAAUUUGUUACUAUAUAAUUUCCUGAAACUAAACAAAUCCUUCCUGAAUUUUUUUUUAAAAAAAAAGCUCAAGGCAAGAACAUAUGUAAACAAAUUACCUCUUUCUUAAGGUCCUUUUUUGCAUUUUCCAUGCUUUGAAAGAAAGAUUUCCUUAUCUUAUUAUCAUUGAUUGAUAGGGACCUGCAGUCGAUUAAAGAUUCAAAGGAAUUACCAAACCUCUUAUACAUAAAUAUAAGAAUAUAUAGACAAGGACAGAAACAUGCUUACGUUUCAUGCAUGCCGGGCUUUAAUGUCAUCCAAUUUUGAAGCCUUGAAAGCUUAUGUUCCGCAGGAGUUGAAAACGGAUCAACUGCAGGUAUAAUCUCAGGUAUUACAGUUAAAGCCGGAUUUCUGUCAGACUUGAAUGGAGUUUUUGUGUCUCUAGAUCGUUUAGGCACCCUCUCGCUCCUUCUUAGGAAAACAUUAUCCAUUCCUGAAUUUUGUGAUGAGGCAGCAGCUUUCCUUUUCUUAUCAGGCUUCACCUUUAAUCAAACAAUAGACACCAAGCAAAAUAUUAUCAAAUUUGUUGCAAUCGGAAUUUCUGGAAACCAUUCCUGAAACUAAAAUGUAUGUAUAUCAAACAAUUCACGUGAAGUAUAAUUCUAGUUAUGAUUUACCUUAUCUGCCAUCUUCCAGACUCCAUCUUUCCAUUCUCUAUGAAUUCGCAAAUCUGAAUGUUUGAAUAGAAUAGUUUCCAUAGAAGUAUAGAGACACACCGAGUAUGUGUUAUCACCAAGUACCAUGCUAAUUUGUCCGCUGCUCCAGCCAUUGUUGUAGAAGGCUUCUACCUUAUCCAUCAUCUCAAAGGAUUUUUGGUCACUAGUUGGUGUUGCAGGACGUAUUUUGUCAGCCGUGAUAGUAUCCUGAAGUUUCUGAAGUCUAUGUUGGUCUGUGAAGAGUGUCGUGUACUCAACUGUCAGCUCCUCUAGUCCUUCACACAGUUUAAGAUCAACAACCUUUCCUGGAUACCAUAUUUCGUCAUCAGUAGACAAAAUUUCAACCUCUGCGCCUAUUUGAAAGUGAGCUAGAAGCCUGCUUACUUCAACCUAUUAAAAAUGAAGAUUCAGUAACAUCAGCGGUUUUAAAUUGUUAGAAUAAUAAUUAAAGAUCAAAUAUACUCGAUGCAUACCUCGUUUUUUUCUGAAAAAUCUAUAGCACUUGUCUGAAGAUGCUCUGUUUGCUGAGUAAUAGGCGGCAUCUUCGAAACAUAUGUGGAAACUAGCUCAGUAGUAGGUUCUGUAGUAUCCUUGAGAUUUUCUUCUGCUUGAUUCUGCUCUGAUGGUGUCUCAUCGGAUUGAUCUCCCUCACUUGUCUGAAGGUGCUGUGUUUGCGGAGUAAGAGGCUGUGUCUUCGAAACAUCUGUGGAAACUAGCUCAGUAGUAGGUUCUGUAGUAUCCUUGAGAUAUUCUUCCGCUUGAUUCUUUCUGCUUGAUUGUGAAUGCUCUCCUUCACUUGUAGAAAAAUAUUGGGUCGCAGUUUCUGUCUCACUCUAUAAGACAAAAGUAAAUGGUAAGAGUUAGUUGAAUAGAAAAAUAUUACCUAAACAUUUUAAAUAUUUCUUCUUACCAAAGCAUUCUUAUUUUCUUCAAUAACUAGUGCAAUUAGUGAAGACAAUGGAGAGGAAGGUCUGUAAUGCACAGCAUGUGUAUCCUCCUGUAAUAACAGUAAAAUAAAAGAGGUAGUUAUGAAGAAGUUUCUACAAUUUAAAAUUCAAGUUGUACUUAUGAAAGACAUUUCUAUGCUUACCUUUUUAUUGUUUGCUGAAAUGAUCUCAGUCAAUGGCUGUGUAGCCUCAUACGUUUCCUCUGUUACCGUCUGCAAAAAAAACAAAAAAAAGUCAGGUAGGGGAUCAAAAACACGUACAAAAGCUUUCAAACAUUACUUGAAAUCUCCAAGAUUUUUUGAACAUUUACCUGCUGUUUCUGAAUUGGAGUAAAAACUUGAGCCUCAAUACUCUUUGGAGAUAUUGGAGAAGAAGGUGUCUCAUUCAUUUCCAGUGUUUCUUUUUGCAAAACUUGAGUCUGAGCAGCAGGUGACUCAAUCACAAUCUGCAAAAAAUAUCAGGAAAGGCCAUCAUGAAUACAUUCAAUUAUAAUUUCUAGAGUAAAUAUUACCUCAUCAUCUGGUUUUCCUUCUCCUUGAUUAGUUUUGGGUGGCGUUUCAUCAGUAGAGGUUUGUGUUUCCCUCUGCCAAAAAUUAGAAAGGUCUAUAUAUGUAAAUCACCCAAAACUAAUUGUAAACUCCAACUGUCAUUGAGCAUAUACCUCUUUUGUCAGAUUAGGAGUAAAAACUUGAGUAUCAAGGGCAGGCGUGUCAUCCGAUGGCUCUCUCUCAAUCUGUAAAAAUUAUCACGAAGUCAAUCCAGAGUACGUUCUAAAGCUUCCAAACAUUAACUUAAAAAUCCAAGAUUUUUUUUGACCAUGUACCUGCUGAGUCUGACUUGGAGUAUAAACGGGAGUUUCAAUACUCUUUGGAGCUAUUGGAGAAGAAGGUGUCUCAUUCAUUUCUACUGUUUCUUUCUGCAAAACUUGACUCUGACUAGCAGGUGACUCACUUGUUAAUUUCUCUCUCACAAUCUGCAAAAAAAUAUCAGGAAUGGCCAUCAUGAAUACAUUCAACUAUAAUUUCUAGAAUAAAUAUUACCUCAUCAUCUGGUUUUCCAUCUUGAUUAGGAUUGGAUGGCCUCUCACCGGUAGACGUUUCUGUUUCUUUCUGUCAAAAAUCAGAAAAGCCUUUAUAUGUAAAAAAAAAUCACCCAAAACUAAUUUGUAAACUCCAACUGUGAAAACAAUAUCAUUGAGCAUAUACCUCUUUUGUCAGAUUAGGAGAGAAUACUUGAGUAUCAAGGGCAGGAGUUUCAUCAUCUGAUUCAUUCAUUGUGUCCUGCAAAAAUCAAGAAUGCAUUCUAGAAUAUGUACAAAAGCUUCCAAAUAUUACUUCAAAACUCAACAAUAUUUUAUUGGUUACAUACCUCAUUUGUCAAAUUAGGCUGUUGAGACAUUGGAGAUAAAGGCGUCUCACUCGAUGAUUGCGUGUAAUCCUGCAAAAAUCAGGAAGGCAUUCAGGAUUUUGUACAAGAAUUUCCAAAUAUUUUCUUAAAAAUUUUUGAGCAUAUACCUCAUUUUGUUGAGACUUUGGAGAUGCAGCUGAUUCAAUCAUUGUCUCCUGCAAAAAUCAGGAAUGCAUUCAAGAAGUACAAAAGCUUUCCAAAUAUUACUUCAAAACUCAACAAUAUUUAUUGGUUACAUACCUCAUGUGUCAAAUUAGGCUGUUGAGACAUUGGAGAUAAAGGUGUCUCACUCGAUGGUUGCGUGUGAGACAUUGGAGAUAAAGGUGUCCCACUGGAUGGUUGCGUGUGAGACAUUGGAGAUAAAGGUGUCCCACUGGAUCGCUGUUUGUCAAAUAUUAGGAAGGCAUUCAAGAAUAUGUACAAGAUCUUCCAAAAAAUACUUGAAAAUGCAAAUGUAAAAGAAGAUGUUUUGAGAAUUUACCUUUUGUGUCACGUUAGUGGGAAAAACAUUGCUGUUUCCUUCCAACUCUGACACACGAGCUCUAAGAUGUAUGUUUUCUUCUUCCAGUAAUGACAUUCGAUCCUUCAUGCUCUUCAGAUUCUCCUCCAUUACCGUGAUGAUCCUGUUCACUUUUUCAUUUACUGAAUCCUCAUCAAUCGGAGUAGAAGCUUGGCCAGUCUCCUUAUUUGCCAUCAUUUGAAUAAGAGCAUCCAAUGUGUCAAAUGUGUCUACACACCUAUUUUCCCAGUCAUCGGCUGUAAUCUUGUACCCUUUCUUUGUUACAUCUUUCACUGUUUCCAACUCGUCACUAUAUUUGUCUUCAAUGGAGAUAUCAUCUUCUGGAUCAUGAGGAAUAGAAGGUAGUAUGCAAUGGACCUUCAGCUGAGAAUAUUUCAAAAAAAGACCAAUGAGAAACAUAUUAAAAAGAAGAAGCCAAAUAAACUGAGAAACAUAUACUUGGAAAAGCUUACCUUUGUAUCAGCUUCAACCUGUAAAACCCUAUCAAGUGAUGGAUUCUCUAUCUCAGUGUAUUUUUCACACAAGUAAGUCGGCCCAGGAACCUCAACUGUUGGUACACACUUACUGAACUUAUUCCUUAGCAAAGGAAUCGACUCUAGUAUCCAAAGAAGGAAUACUAGAGGAUAACCUUGCAACUCAAAUUUGGAUUUAUUCUCCAAAUGAUUCGCGACAGCGUUUUGAAUUGACUUCAGGAGCACAAUGUAAGCCUCUUUUCCCCAUGGAUAUGUCAUAUCCUGUGCAUUUUUCGCAUAUUCCAAAGGAAAACUCCCUCCUUUGCUCUUCCGCAAUAAUAUGCUCUCUACCAGGAUGAGCAUUGCGAGGCAUAUUCUCUCCUCAGAAGCAUCUUCUCUUGUGUUUCUGAGCUGGUCCACCACGUCACUUAACUUAUGACUACGCCCCUUUAGCAAUUCCCAAUUAAAUCUCUCGGUUUCCCUUCGUGGUCCUUCUAAUGCACCACUACAUUUCAAGCCUGUCAUCAUAUGAAAUUCUCUUAUAGAGAACCUCAUUGGCUGCGCACCGAAAUGGAACCAGGCUUCAUUCUCCUUGACAGAAACGAUGCUUCUAGUGAGAAUGGCGUAGACUAUCUUUGCUGAUAACUUCAAUCCUCUCUCACUGAGCUUCAUUACAGGUCCCAGAAAUGAUCCUCGGACUCUUAUCAUCUCAUCUGGUUUUAGGAUGCUUUUGACAAUAGAGAUAUAAUCUGAACCAGAGUAUUGGUUGAUUGCUGACUUUUCUUUUGGCUGUGAACCAAUAGGAUACUUCAGCUCUGGCAGUGCUAGUUUUAGAGGUACUGAAUCUCCCAUCUUGUUUCUAUCCUGCGUAAACAAGGAAAAAAAAAAUUUCAAACUUUUCUGGAAGGCUUUCCUGAAAUAACACAAAUACAAAACAACACAAAAGUCUUCAUUUGCUUCGCUUGUUAAUAAGAACGAGUAACACACAAAUCAAAAUCAAAACGCAAGCUUCCCAAAUUUUAAUUCAAAAACCCUAAUUUUAAAAAGUUACCGAUUUUGAGAGUAGAGAGUGUGACGCUGAUGAUUAGAUAGCCGGAGAAGAUGAUUAUCGAGCCGGAGAAGAUGAUUAGCGAGCCGGAGAAGACGAUUAGCGAGCCGGAGAAGAUGAUUCCCGAGCCGGAGACUUCGAUUCCCGAGUCGGAGAAGAUGAUUCCCGAGCCGGAGACGACGAUUCCCGAGUCGGAGAAGAUGAUUCCCGAGCCGGAGACGACGAUUCCCGAGUCGGAGACGACAGUGCCGGUGAGGGUUUGAAGAUUCCCGAGAGGAGACGACACGAUUCGCGAUCGAAUGAAAUGAAAUGUUUUUUUUUUCUAUUCUUAUAACAAAGGGUAUAAAGGUAAAUUACCCCUUUAAUGAAACCUAUUUUUGUGACUUCUGAUCCUGAGUGCUAGUUUGGGGAGGAAAACUUCAAAAGGUGCUAUUAUUGACAAUUGCCCUUUUAAAAACGUGCAUCAUUAAAAUGUUACCUAAAACAUGCAACACUAAUAUAUAACAUGCAUCAAUAAAACUAGAAUUUGACUCACACAAUUGUACGGAUAUUAUUUUCAGUUGAUUAAAUUUAAAAAUAAUUAUUUAUUCAAAAAAUAUUUAAGAAUGGCUAUGUUUUUAAAACUUAUAUGGUAUUAUUUGCUCAUAACUCAUUUGUCAUUUGAUAAAUUGUUAGAAAUAAAAAUUUUAGCAUAAUAUAACUCAGUUGUCAUUUGCUAAAUUUAUAGUUUUUAUUUAUAUUUUUUAUUAUUUAAUUAUAAUAUUUUCAUUUUAUAUUUGAAAGAUAAAUGAAUUUUCUUUCAAACAAUAUUUUUGUAAAUGUAUUUUUUAAAAAAUAAUCAACUAAAAUUGUUAUUAUCAUUGAAUAUAAUUAUUUUUGACAUAAUUUGAGUUUUCGUUUACAUCAAAACUUAUCAUAUUUUAGGAUAAUUUUAAUUUAAAAUGUAAUUUUCAUAUUUUUCAAACAAAUUCUAAAAAUAUUUUUUUAAAUAUUUUGUUAUAAUUGUUAAAAAAAUAUUGAGUUGCAUUUCAAAUAAAAAGGUAAAGAUAUUAAAAAUAUUCUAAUUAAAAUAUGUAAAAUUUAAUAUAGUUUUAAGGAAAUUGUCAAAAUAAAAAAAAUUACACAUAAAAUAAUCAUGAUUUUUGUUAACUGGGCGGAUCAUUAUUUAUAUGAUAUCGCACACGAAAGAAAAAAAAAUUUAAAUUAUCUAAUUAACUCUAUACUCAUUUUAUUUAUAUUUUUAUAUGGUAUCAUACAUUCGUAAAAAAAUAGAUAGUUUAAGAUGAAAAAAAAUAUAUUUACUUAAUGAAUAUAAUAUGAACGAAUAUUACAAAUACAUCAUUUAAUAAAAUAAAUAAUUAAAAAGUGAAAAUUCAUACCCGCGCUGGCGCGCGGAUCAGGAUCUAGUUUUAAAUUAUUCUACAUGUUAUUUCCCAAUUCAAAGUUUCAAACCAUAAAACCACAUAAUCUUUGUGGUUAAAAAAAAAGAAAAAAAAAGCAUAGGCGAUGGAGAGGCAUGUUUUAACGAGGGUCAAGUUGGUUUUUAUUUGGUUAAUUGUUUUUGGUUCAAGUGUUUCGACUUUAAUUUAGGUUGUAAACGAAUUUUGGUUUACGUUGUAAACCAUUAAAUCAGUGAAAAGCCGGGUUUGUGUUUCAGUUUUUUGAAUUGGUGAGUAAUACGUAAAAUAACUUAAAAUAUGUGAAAUUAAGAUGAAGUUGAAAGUUUGUGUAUAAUUGUUAUUAUAUGAUAUUUUGUGGGGGAAUUAUGUCCUUUACUCAAAAACAUUUAUAUAAGUUUAUAAAUUCAACCCCAUUUCCUAAUCUUAAAACCUAAACAAUAAUCAAUAAUCUAAACCCAAAUGUUAAUGUAGUUUUGAUUGAGCAUAUCUUUUUAAAAUUAGUAGCCAAUUUAGAAUAUUUCAAACUUCUUAAAAAUAUUCUAUUGAUGUAAAUAUAAAGAUUAUCUAUUGUAUAUAUGAUUAAAUAUUGGUUCCAUUUUAUAUAUUAAUUCAAAAUUAAGAAUUAAAUUUAUAAUAUAAUAGAAACUUUGGGUUUUAUUGGUUUUAUUAAAUAUCAAGGUUCAUAAUCAGAGAUAGUGAAAAACUAAAUUCAAGUUCGAGCUUAGAGUGAGAGAUGUGAAAAUAAAAAUAGAAUGAUCAAAAUGUUAAUGAGGCAAAGUCUUGAGAGAAAAUGAGAGAAAAUAGAAUUUUUAGGUUGAAAUCUAUUUAUAGAUGUCUUAAAACGAGCUGGAUCCACCCAAUAAAGCUCGGUCAAACCAAUAAAAAGUGGUCUUUCCGUCUGACAUGGUCAUCCCACUAUAAGUAGGUCGCUACAACACUUAGUUGUGUGGGGCUUCUUGGGGAACCAUAGCGACAUGCUCUGGUCGCUACAGCUAUGGUCGAUACAUGGUUGAUAUGACUCCAGUAGAUAGAUCAUAACUCCUUCAAUACAGCUACAAAUGAUUUGAAACCCCGGCAUUGGAAAGCUAACUCAAUUGUCUAUAUCGUCCCGAAAUUCGAGCUUCAGAAGAGAUCUUUAAGGCCGUCAUCCAUGUUCAUCUUUUACCCUUUUGACUCAAAACUCCUCAAAUUCCCUCAAACUCACCAAUAAAUAUCUCCAAAACCUGAUAUAGACACAUGCAAUGCGAUAUAAAUAUGUAUAAAUGCAUCUCUAUAUGAUCAUUAUAUACAUUAAAUGAUAAUUUAAAAUCAUGGAAAUUUAUAAGAUAUCAACCCUCCCACACUUAUCAUUUACUUGUCCAUAAGUAAACUUUCAAGAACAAAGUGAGAAAGAGGUGCGAAGGUGGAAGCUCAUUACCAAAAGAUAUUUUUCAAAGCCGUCAACGUGAUAUCCUUACAAAAUCAUACCAAAUAUCAAGAGCAAAACAUCAUAUGAAACUCUAACUUCUCUAGGCUGAUACUACUCAAAUUACCCUAAGGAGUGAUUUUACUCUCUCAAAUAAGAAGUUCAAUUGUAGUACUUAGGGAUCGAAGCUACAGAGAGUUAGGGCACACAAUAGACUAUUAAAACCAAGAUUAAGCUAGGCAAAGCAGUAAAUCAAUGAAAGCAAGAUGAACAAAGUAGUUGUUCCAUUGGUUGAUUGAGGUUGUAAACAAUUAAGAGAAAUAGCUAGACCUAGGGAUUUAUCAAUCAAGAGAUUCAAAACUUCAAUUCAAGGAUGCUAAUGGUUUACAGAUUAAUUUUAGAACUUGAUUUUAAUAAGUAAGCAAUCCAGCUUUCACAUGCAAUUGCUAAUCAGAUGUUUAAGUCCAGUCUCAGCUGUCGCUUAUUGACUUGGGGCGAGUGUCGAUCGAUGCUAUGGCCUGAGCGUCGAUCGAUACUUCCCCAGACAAGCAUUAACGACCUAAUCAAUAUAGUUCAACUAGAUUCCUAGACCAAUUCUCGCAUGCGCCUAGGUAUCUAAUCCAGCAGAGUUCGGGUUCCGUUAAUUGAUUGCACUUUCGUGCCUCUCAACUAUCCUAUGAUUCUAGGUUCAAAUAAUUAGUCGCACUGUCGUGUUAUUCUAACUAUUCCAGAUCCUAGUAUUACAAAUCAUCCUGGUGUAGAAAUCUAUAGAUAAUAUAGCAAUCCUAAUUGAUCAGUUUGACAUUAAGCUCAUGAAAUCCCUAAACCUAACAAGAUGAAUUACUUAGACAUGCAAACAAUAACACAAAUCAUAGUCUGAAAAAUAUAAUAGAUAAAUCAAUGGUAAGACAAAUGGAGUUCCAAUCAAUAUCUGAAGGAGAAUUGAUCUUCUCUCUAAACCUAAGAAAAAACAAUAGAAUAGGAUAAUAGAAAGCUUGUUACCGUUAACAAUGAUUUAUAAAUAAAUACAUAAAUAGGGUUUCUGGUCGUCCAUGGGUAUUUUGGUAACUUGGUGUGGCUUCUGGGCUUCAAACGGUCUUGAAAAAUGCGUGUCCCACGUUCUGGCAUCACUGUCGAUCGACACUAAUGCUGUGUUAACGAUCGACAGUUAUUCAUCUCCUCGAUAGCUUCUUCUCGCGAGGCAGACUGACUACUUUUCAGUAAAACGGUCAUAACCUCUGCUGCAGGUUACCAUUGACCUCAAACCGAUGGAAUUGGAAAGCUAACUCAAAGCUAUAUUUUGUGUCAAAAGAUGGGCUCAAUAUAACGGUGGGAAAGUCUCCAUCUAUAGCUAAAUAUCUGACGUGUAUGUGCCGCUCUGCACAUCAAAAGGCUCCAAAAGACACCAAAAUCACCACAUUCCUCCAAAUCGUCCAUGAACCUGUAAAUACUCUAAAUAGACUCUAUAUAGUAGUAAAUAUAUGUUAAAACACUUAUAGAUCAUGGCUAAAAGAGGGUAAAAUCCAUGGUCUAUCAACUUCCCCAGACUUACCCUUUUGUUUGUCCUCAAGCAAAACAGACGGACAGUCUCUCUGAAAGAGGUUUGAAAACAGCAGGGACUCACAUGAUUUAAAACUUAAACUCAAAAAUCAAUAUUUAUAUCGAGCAAUAACCAAAAUGAAAAAAAAACGACACAAAAAUGAGAAAAAUAUUGAAGAUAUUUAGGAUUGGCACGUGAACGUAAACUUCUCAUAACCAUAAUUAACUUUUAAAUUGCUAAAUCAUUAUAUAAAACAGAACUCUCAUAUUUUCAUUGUAACCAAAUAGUAGAUCUGAGAUUCUCUCGUCUAAAUGUUAGGUUCUUAUGCGAUAAAUGAAUUUUUGACCUAAGAUAUUUUUAAAAUAGAAUCAGCUCAUCAGUAAACAAAUUAUAUAAUUAACAAAAAAAAAAUUUUAAAUGAUUUAAGGGCCAAAAUUUAUUCGAUCAAUAAUAUAAAUUUUAUUUUUCCAUACGAUAUUUCUUAAAUAAUUCGUCCUACGCAAAGCGUACGUCUUAUCCAAGUAUACUUAAUAUAUUACCAAAAAAAUGUAUCCACAAGAUAUUAAUUUUACAGAAUUUUCCCAUUUUAUGUCUGAUUUGUUUCAGUUUGAUUUUCCUUUAAAAUUUUAAGGCUACAAAAAUGGAUAUCACUGAAUUAAUUUACGUUGUGUUAUUUAUUUUUUUGAAACUCAUUUACGUUGUGUUAAGUCGUAGAACCAUAGAACCAGGCCCGGCUUAAAUACAUUAUGGGCCUUGUGCAGACAUAUAUUUUUUCCCAAAAAUUAUAAGGAAAAAAGUUUCAUAGCUACCCGAAGUUUACACUAAUAUGGUGAAAACCAUCCAAUAUAUGAAAAUAUGUCUACAACAACACGAAGUUUAUGUUAAUACAUGUCACAUGUACGAAGUAAAUAAUAAUAUGGUAGCAACAUCACAAUUGGGUUUAAUUAAUUUUAAGCUAAGUUAAUGGGGUCAAUCCGUGAUUUACUAAACUUAAUAAACUUAAUAAUUUAAUAAACUUAAUAAACUUAAUGGUUUAUUAAGUUUCAUAAACUUAAUUUAUUUUAUUAAUAAACUUUAACUUAAAAACUUAAUAAUUUAUUAUACUUAAUAAAUUUAAUAAACUUAAUGGUUUAUUAAGUUUAAUAAACUUAAUUGAUUUUAUUAAUAAACUUUGUAAUUUAAUAAACUUUAACAUAAUAAACUUAAUAAUUUAUUAUACUUAAUAAGUUUAUUAAACUUAAUAAUUUAAUAAACUUAAUAAACUUAAACUUAACAAAUUUAUUAAACUUAAACUUAAUAAACUUAAUAAAUUCAUUAAACUUAAACUUAAUAAACUUCAUAAAUUCAUUAAAUUUGUUCAAUUUAUUAAGUUUAAUAAAUUUAUUAAGUUUAUUAAUAAAUGAUUAAGUUUAUUAAGUUUAUUAAUAAAUGAUUAAGUUUAUUAAGUUUAUUAAUUAAUGAUUAAUUUUAUUAAGUUUAAUAAAUUUAUUAAUUUUUAUAAGUUUAAUAAAUUUAUUAAUUUUAUUAAGUAAGUUUAAUAAAUUAUUAAGUUUAUAAACAAAAUCAAUUAAGUUUAUUAAAAUUAAUAAAUCAUUAAGUUUAUUAAGUUUAGUAAAUUACGGAUUGGCCUCACUAACUUAGUUUAAAGUCAAUUAAACCCGAUUGUGAUGUUGCCACUAUAUUAUUAUUUACUUCGUACAUGUACAUGUGACAUGUAUUAACAUAAACUUCGUGUAGUUGUUGACACAUUUUCAUACAUUGGAUGCUUUUCACCAUAUUAGUGUAAACUUCGUGUAGUUAGAAAACUUUUUUCCAAAUUAUAAUGAUAUUUCCUUAAAUUUACAAAUUAGGACUCUGUGCAUGUGCACCUUGAGCACACCCCAAGAGCCAACACUGAAUAGAACCAAAUAAGAAAGAUUUCUGAUAAAAAGAUUGUAUGAUUAUUUAGGAGACUAGAUUCCAUGUUGUGUGCCGUGCUGCCGUGCUGAAAAUACUUUUAGUUUUAUAACCCAUGUUCAAAAACACGGCCGAGUUGGCCGACUUCGCGCCGGUCAAACGUAAUUCGGUGGUGUUUUGCCGCGAUUUUGUGUUAUUCGGGUAAAAACUCGGAUUAAAAAAAUAUACAUAUUUUGACAUUUUCCAGUUUGAAAUCGGUUCUUUAAGCAUAGAUCUAUCAUAUUUCAUUGUUACCGAUCAAGAAUUGAAGUUAAUCGUCGAAGAAAAAAAUGAUUUAUGUUAAAAAUAAAUGAAAAACGGCUGUUAAUUAGGGUUGGAGAAAAAACAGGUCGGGAGGAAAAUGAUGAAAGUAAAAUUACAAAUGUGUCUUUCAUUAAUGAAAUGUUUAAAGAAAGAGCAAAAAAAUGGACAUUUUUGGGAAUUGAACCCGGGAGAAGAGAACUAGUUUUUUUAAGGACUUGCAUGCAUGAGAUUCUACGCGUACAGUUUUACGAUGCAAGUCCUUACGGUACAUUGUAAAACUGUACCGACAUCGUCAAUGUUUAGUCUACGCGUACGGUUAUAACUCACUAGUUAUUUAUAUUAUUAUUAUUAAUUUAUUAUUAUGGCGGAGUCGUCACAUGCAUGCAUGAGAUUCAUUCAUUCAUAAUGUCACACUCACACACUAUCCAUUCCCCUUUUUUUUUUGGACUCUUUUUUUUUUGUUAUAAAGAAAAUAAAAUUCUUAAAGUGACAGACUUCACGGGUUACACUGUGUUACUACCCGCCAAAUUCUACCCGCCACCUUUUAAAUUUCAUUUUAGUUUCUUCACCGUCAAUAAAUCGUCAGGACAAAAUAAAUACUUUUACAUUUCAUUGUUUUAUCGUACCAAGUGUGGUCAGUAUCUCUAAUAAUUUUGAAGAAUAUUUAGAAAACUAGUUAGAUUAUAAUUUUCGACGAUGUUAAUAUAUAUGUCGAAGUAAAUAAGGUAAAAAAAAAUGGUUCGUUUAUGGUUUUAUAUGGCAUUUAAAUUUUGAAUAUUGACUAUCAGAUUCAGUAUAUCAUUUAGAAUAGAAACAAAAGUAACCUAAAACUUAUAGAUUGAACUUCUUUUCAGAAUGUAUAUGCAGAGCCGGUCCUAGUGUAUUUGAGGUUACAAGCUAAAAAAUAAAAAAUGGCCGAAUUUUUUUUUUUUUUGCACUAGGGAAUUAUCGAACCUUGCUCUUUCAGACUAGACAUAUGUUGAUUCAACCACUAGACUACACAAGUUUUUGAUAAUUUUGUGGCCGCUUUUAUAUUUAUAAAGUGGCGGCCGGAAGUCCAUGCUUCACCAGCUUGGGCCCAAGACCGGCACUGUGUAUAUGGCACUGUGUAUAUGCAUUUACAGCUUUAGUAUCCUUUGAAUUAUUAAUUAUCAAAAAAAAAUUGUAUCCUUUGAAUUAUCGAUUAUACUAGCCAGAAUUAGUACAUGCUGACCUAUUUACAUUAUAUUUGAAAUCCCAUAGUGAAUACGCGCACCAUGACUAGUAUUACUAUUAUUGUAUUAUAUUAUAUUUACAUUAAUAUGUAAUAUGAAAAAACUAUAAAGAGAAUCAUCAGUCACGGACAUCAUGACUCAAUCACUCUAAGCUAGAAUGCUAGAUACGGAAUAUCUUUCAGAAGCGUGGGACUAAAAUAUUACAAGAAAUAGCUUCGAACAAUUCACAGAAGCUAGCAUGGUGAAAAAUAAUCUUGAACCCAACAGACUACUUUUGGUCGGGAACCCCAAUAAGUUGGAACUUUGUUCAAGAUUUAUCAACCUAUAUUUGUAUAUGAAUAGUUGAAUAGUGUAUAUCCCAAGAACUGAUUCUCUUUUUCCUAUUUGUAUAGGCAAAGACAUAAACUAGCACCCAAGAGAACUUGCCUAUGAUCCUCUCUCUCAAAAAAAUGUGGACCUAACAAGGAAGGAACAAGACAAAAAGAGUGAGAACGAUUUUUUUUAUUAUAUCUUGUAACUAUAUAGAGAAUGGGAGGUGUCUCGUAAGUCAAGUAGUAAUGACAAAACCCCUUCAUAAAUUGUCUACCCACUGGGCACUACACUACAAGAACCUUUGGUUGCUCCCAUUGUUUUCACCUAUAAAUUACAAAUAUGACUAUGCCUAAGGUUCUUAAGAAACCUAAUAUAACGAAGGUUUAAGUUAGUGGCUUCUAAAAGCUUAGACUAUGCAUUCUCUAAUAUUGAUUAUAGACUAAACAUUGACAAUGUCGGUACAGUUUUACGCGUUGGCUUUAGAUAUUAUAAGGACUUGAUCUGAGGUUUAGUUAAAAUAAGGUGCAAGACAUAAGACAUGAUUCUUAAAAGGUACUAGCUUAAGACCCGCGCAAUUGCACGAGGUGAAUGUUAUAUAUAAAACUAAUUUUUAUCUAUUAUUAUUUAUUUAUAUUCAUUUACGUAUUAUGUAUAUAAUUAAAUUAGAGUAAGAACAUAAAUCAAAACAAUACAUCUUGUUUAUUUACGAUACUUUUUUGGUAAAUAAAUCAAAACAAUCAUUUUAUUUAUUUUCUAUGGUAUAUAACUAAAUUUCAGUAACAUGGACAUAGAUAUAUAGUAUAUUUUAAUAUAAAUAUUUAUUAUUGAAAAUUCAUACUCAUAUGAUAAACACAAAAUUUCUAAUGUGCGAUUUUUUAAUGCAAAUUUUAAAAUUUAAAUAUUAAGGUUUCAAUACUUUUUCAAUAUAAAUUUAGAAAUUAUCAUAUUUAAGUAUUAUUCUAUGUUAUAUAGUUUAAUUUUAAACUAUAUUAUUAUAUAAUAUGAAUGUCUAGCAAAUGAGACUUCAUAUUCAUACGAUUUAUGAUCAUUUGUAUCUUGUUAUUACCAAAACAAAGUUAAACCAUUGAUCACAAAAUUUUAGUGUGAGACAUUUAACGUUUUUAAUAAUUUAUAGUCGUUUUAGAAAUUCAAAAUAUAACAUAUAUUUUUUUAUUAUUAUUAUAUGGUUAAUGUUGUUGUUUAAUAUUUUUUAAUAAUAUAAAAUUAAACAAAAAAGAGCUAAGAUACAAAAUUUAUUAUCAAAUAUUUAUUAUUCAUAAUCAUUAAUUAUCAUAUAUACAUUAAUCAUAUUAAGCAACUCCGUAGCUUUUAUUUAAGGAAAGUGCGAGAAUAUUAUUUUGUACACUAUUUAUAAAUUUAAUAGUUAGUUUAAUAAAAAAAUAUAAUAUAAGUUAAGAUAAACCAACCUAUUUUUCUAUGAAUUCUGAAAUUCAUUCUCAUGGUCACACGUGACUACAAAAUAAUGUUGUAAUGUUUCACAAUUAAUAUAUAAAAAAGAUUAUUGGCAUGCUUCACGAAGCUAAUUUUUGACCAAAUAUGCAAAUAUAAACUAUGGAAAUUUCUUAGGAACAUACUAGUAAUGAAAAUCAUUGGAGAUCGUACUAUCGUUAUUCGUUACUGAUUCUUUUGCAAAAAUAAACAUAUAAGAAAUGAUUAUGCUAGUUUAUGUUGCUGAGUGCUACAGUUUAUGGGUCUGACCGGUGACCAUUCAUAAAACAAGAGGAACAACAGAAAAAGAAUAUACCGGAAAAAAAUAGCAAGAAUGAAAGUGAAUGGUUAUUGCUUCUCAAAUUUAAUAAGGAAUAAUUUUAUUUUUUAAUUUUCUACAAAAAAAAAGAACGAAAAAGAAUGAGAUAGAAUUAUUAUUCCUUGUGAAUGGUGAUUUUUUAUAGGAACGUUAGAGAAUGCAUUAUUUCCCAUCAUUUCUUGGUCACCUUUCGUAAAAUAGUGUUGUUUUUCUAAUUAAGCAUUUUCAUGUUUUUGUUUUUCUAAACAUUUUCAUGUUGUUUGUUUUUCUAUACAUUUUCAUGUUACGGUAUAUAUAGGCUGAGCAUGUCCAAGCUAUUCAAAAUUAACCGAAUCGUGGAACAGAUCCAGUAACUAGCUAAUUCAUAGUUCUAUUAAAAUUGAGGUUAAGUAUAUAAAAGAAAAAAAAAACAAAGAAAUGAAUAGUAACAAAACUAGAGAGAGAACAGAAAGGAAUAGAGAUUUUGCCGAAACUUUUCUAAGUACAGUGUCUGAGUAUUUUUUUGGUAAUCAUGUUAAAUCAGUGUCUGAGUUCUUCAAACCUUCUCAGACUUGUCGUUUGUAAUUAAUCAUUAUCUGGCCGAUUAAAAAUGAUUAACGUAUUUGAUUUCGUGUUUUCCGAAUGCUUUCACACUAACCAAUUACAUUUUCACAAAAUUUACAAAUAGGUUCGUAGAGCAUGCAGCCAUGUGAUGAGCACAAAAGUGAACAAUUCUUUAGCAGUUUACUUAUAUCAACGUAAAUAGCGAAUGUUAUUCCUAAAUUUCCCUGAAAAGAUAAGAAUCUACGACUACAAAGAUACGCCAAUUUAGGAAAGUAUGACAAACCCUUUAAUUUCGUUUUGGAACUAAGUGACCUUAUACCUGCUUAAUAAAAUCUAAUAUUCCAAUCAUCUAAUCACAGUUUGGUGCUUACACUAUUAAAAAUAAACAAAUAUCGGCGAAUACUUUUUCUAUAAAAGGGUGCACACUAUCAUAUACCUACUUACUAAGUCGUUUACACAACCCAAACCCUCAUUCUAAGAGAUGGGGUCUCACACACAAAACCUCUCUUUUCUUAUCCUCCUUCUCCUAGGCUUCCUUGCUGUCUCAUUCGCUUGCGAAUGUAGCCCUCCUAAACCAUCUCCGAGACCCCACAAACCGCCUAAACAUCCCGUCAAACCGCCUAAACCACCAGCAGCCAAACCACCAAAACCACCGGCAGUAAAACCUCCUAAACCCCCCACCAAACCUCCCACCCUUAAACCACACCCCCACCCUAAACCUCCCACCGUUAGACCACAUCCACACCCUAAGCCCCCUACCAAACCUCAUCCCAUCCCAAAACCGCCCACCGUUAAACCACCACCCUCCACACCCAAACCGCCCACAAAACCACCCACCGUUAAACCACCUCCAUCCACCCCUAAGCCGCCCACCAAACCACCCACCGUCAAACCACCACCCUCCACCCCAAAACCGCCCACCAAGCCACCCACCGUCAAACCACCUCCGUCCACCCCUAAACCACCUACCCACAAGCCACCAACAGUGUGCCCACCGCCAACACCAACACCAACCCCACCUGUUGUAACGCCACCAACACCACCAACACCAACUCCACCAGUCGUUACGCCACCAACACCAGCCCCACCUGUUGUAACGCCACCAACACCAACACCACCGGUCGUAACGCCACCGACACCAACCCCUCCUGUCGUAACACCUCCAACACCACCGGUCGUAACGCCACCGACACCAACUCCUCCUGUCGUAACACCACCAACACCACCGGUCGUAACGCCACCGACACCAACCCCUCCUGUCGUAACACCUCCAACACCACCGGUCGUAACGCCACCGACACCAACCCCUCCUGUCGUAACACCACCAACACCAACUCCACCUAAGCCAGAAACGUGCCCAAUCGACACGUUGAAGCUAGGCGCUUGUGUAGACGUUCUUGGAGGUUUAAUUCACAUCGGGCUUGGUGGAAGUAGCGCCAAGAAAGAGUGUUGUCCGGUUUUGGGAGGCUUAGUUGACUUAGACGCAGCUGUUUGUCUAUGUACCACCAUCAAAGCCAAACUUCUCAUCGUCGACCUUAUUAUCCCCAUUGCUCUUGAGCUUCUUAUCGACUGUGGAAAGACUCCGCCACCUGGCUUCAAAUGUCCCUCUUGAUGAAUGAAGUGUCUCUCUAUCGUGUUUUUCUUUCUUUCUUUCAAGAAUUUGUUAGUUUGAUAAUCUCUUGGGUGAGGUUAAUUUGCGUGUGUGAGACCUUUAAUCACUUGUUUUGUUGUACAAUAAAAGGCUAUGUUUGGGUUUUGUUGAUGUAAUUCUAAGAAGAAGAAAUAAAAAAUGUAAAACGGUAUAAUUAUCUUUCAACAAAAACAAGUUAAUAUUUCAUAUCUGUGUACGCUUAUUUUGUUUUUUUAUGUACAUAUAUACGUACGUAGUCACUUGUGGAGUAGCAGAAAUGUGGAUUUUAUAGCCAUGCAAAUUGCACUGACGCACAUGUGAUAUGCGCCCCCAUAGCGUGGCUACUGUGUACUGACCAAAUACAUGUGUAUAAAUAUAGUUACAUACAAGUAUAUAUAUGCUAACAAAUAUAUCAUACUUUCUCCAAAAAUUGAUAGCUAAGAUAGCUCUUAACAAAUUAUGUCUCAGUCACACAGAUGAUUACGACAUUUGAUUUGUGGAUUAAGAAUUCGAAGAAAGUAACUUUUUUAAAUUGUAGAGCUUGCUUAUUCUUCCGCGUCUAAUAUACUCAGAGAUAGUGAAAUAAAAAUCAUACAUAAUAAAGUCAAUAUAUUGCAAAUGUACAGUUGAUAAAUCUCAUAUAAUACAGAAAAUAACAGUAUAUAUCUAAUUGAAGAAUCAUUGCAAGAGAAAAAGUUGGAUAUCAUUAAUAAUUAUAGAACAUAUGGAAUCUCAUCCAAAGAAACAGACGAUAUCAAAGAACAAUAUAUUGCAAAUUAUUUUGGAAUUGAUUCUGGAAUGAAAGAAACAAGUUCUUAAAUAUGUUGGCGAAUAAGGUUUCAGUAUCUUUAACCGUAGGACCGCGAAAAUCCUGAUUGAAAAUCACGAAACAUAAGUCGAUAUUAACGGUAAGAUAAAGAUAGAAAACAUUUAAGAAAUCUUUUAGGAAAUAGACGAAUUCACAGAGUCGAGAUCUGAUAUCUUUCUUUAACUCAAUAAAUCGUCCGUAUUGUAUGACAGUUUGAAUGCGAUCUAUGAUCCGUCUAUGACGGUUCCCAAAUCCAACUCGCGGAUCAUCUCCUCUAGAUCCGUCCCGAUUAUAUGUUUGCUAGUUGACAUAGUUCAUGUUAAUGAACUGAAAAUCUGAAUGGGGUAGCAAUUUUUAGCCUAGGAAAUGAAGGAAUAUGAAUAAACCAUGGUUGUUCUAGUCAGCUAGCUAUAAUAAAAUAGUAUAUCUAAGCUAACUAUAAUAAAAAGGAAUAUAGUUAAUCUUAUUAGCCUAUAUUAUGGCUAGUCCAAUUAAAAACAAUUUGACUAUGAUUUUUAGUUUUACAUGAUCGAAAAUUAAACCGUUUAAUUCAAACCAUAGAAACUAGAUGUUGAUUGUUUAUAGUUUUUAAAAUGGUUUUUGGAUUUUUUUUUGAAAAACUACUUUAUUUGCCAAUCAAGAUUUUGCUAAAAAUGAUUUUCUAAAAUCUAGAGAAACUAGUUUUUCAAAUAACUACCUAAUUCUACACAAAAACCAAAAUCAGUGUUUUUUAAGAUUUCUGGCAGUUUCCUACGGAUGAUUUUUUUUAUCAUGCAUUUUUAUUUAUUAUUUUCUUUUAAUGGUUUUUUUCAUUUUUUUUUUGUAACUGGUCUUUCUUUUCAUAUUUGCCUCAUUCUCACUCUCAUAAGGUUUUCACCAUCACAUCGUCAAUACAUUUGCCUCAUUUCAUCUCGCCACUCAAAAAUAUUUGAUCAUACUUGUAAAUUAGAAGAAGUUCUCUUACUGCUAAACUAAAAGAAGUUCAAAAAUAUUUCAAAAGGAAAUUUUAUUUUAAAAGUCACUAUUUUAAUUAAUUGCUAUAGUAAUUAUUUAUACAAAAAUAAUCAUAGAAAUAUAUGUGUAAAAAUUAUUUUAGAAAAAAUAUCAAAGGUAUGAUAUUAAUAUUUUUUAUAAUGCUUAAUUACUUGUAUAAUAGCAUUUGAGAUCAAAUAUAAAAGGCAUUCAAGAUAAAAAAUAUAUAUAUAUAUAUAUAUAUAUUUAUAUGGAAUUUACGAUAGUUUUAUUUUGUAAUUAUAUUUUUUUUAAAAUAAUUUUUGUAAAUAAAUUUAUGUGUAUUUUAAUGACAGUGUUUUAUAUUUUAUUAUUUUCAGAAUAAAUAUUAUCUAUUCAUAAUAUUUUUUAUUUUAUUAAUUUUAAAAAUAAAAAUCAAAACCAAAAAUUAAAAACCAAAAUCUAAAACAACCAUUCAUGUUUUUCAAAAAAACCAAAAUUUACUGCAAAAUCAAAAACCAAAAAUCAAAAAAAAAAAUCAAAAACCAAAAUCUAAAAACUAAAAACCAAAAUCCAAAAACUAGAAUCUAAAAAUUAGAAAAACAAUCAUCACCUAAAUUAAGGGAUCAGAAGUUAGUGUUUUUUUAAUUACUUUUAAAGAAGUUAAGGGACCGGAAAUUAAGGUUUUACUAUUUUUAGAUAUGUUGCUGCUAUAUAGUACAAACCUUCCUCUGCAAAAUCUUGCAGAUUUCUUUGAUUCUAUAAUAAUUAGAUGUGCUGAAUAUGAUUCAUUAACAUUUUUUAUAUAGUACUAGUGGUUUGCAAGUGCUUUGCAUUUCCUUUUUUUAAUUGUUUGAAUAUUUGUUUAUAUAUCAAUGUGAUCUAUUUUAAUUUUUUUGUGGUACAUUUGUUCUCACAUUGUUUCAUUUUAGUUAUUGUAAUUCAUUAGCAUUGUAUUUAUUUUAUUAACGGAAGCACAACCUCAUCGUCUUGUUUGAUUGACCAUUUUUCUCAACAAGGAAGUUGAAAUGAGAAUAAUGUGUAUUUUCAAGUAUUUUAAAUUUUAUUUAUACUCUCUUUAAUUCUUCUUUAUGUAAUUUUAUAUUGAAUUGUAUUUUUUUUAGAAGUAUUUUACAUUUGAUUUAUACUCUCUUUCAUUCUUCUUUAUGUGAAAAUGAAAAUUUUGGAAUGAAAAUGAAAAUUUUGAAUGAUGGAUUGCUAAUUGUGUUUAAUAAGAAGUCAUAAGAAGUCGAAUUGUAAUUACAAUUUGUUUCUUAUUUUUCAAAGUUGUAAGAUAACAUCAUUUCAAUGAAGAGAUGUUUACGUUCUUGUUGAUACAAACUUGAAUCUUGUAAAUUUCCUAGUGAGAUUAAUUUAGUGAACUGUAAUUAUCUAUUGCUCUUUCUUUAAAGUCACUCUUUUGUAGUUUUCACUCUUUUGAUUUAACAGUUGAGCCCGAGGAGAGUCAUUGCCGUUACUGUAAAACUCUUCACGGCAAGAAGAAUAAUGCUUCGUAUUCAAGUAAUGAAUUGAAACAUAAAUAAGAAUAAAACAAACUUUAUGCUUUCAACAACUAUGCAUAUGCGAAAAGAUCUCUCUCUCGGCUUUGCAGAUUCCUACUGAAAAACACACUUCCAGGAUUACUCAAAUCACACAUUGCAAAAUCUCAAUUCAAAGUACCUUCAGAUAAAAUUCUAGUUUCAUCGCCAUUGUUAAUUAAACAUCAAACUAAACAUGAGAGAUUAAAAACAGAGAACUAACAAGAUAGAUGGGAGGAGAUAUAAUAAUAGCACCAAGCAGAGAUGAGACAACUCGGACAUAGUUUUGUGCUCAGGAAGAUUCAGCAGCAGGUUGAGUCACACCAUGCUUGAGCAACAGCUUGGUAAGCGAGUCAGGAGAGUGAACAUGGUACUUAACACUCCCCGACGGAGUCAAAAACACCUCAGCAAGCUCAAGCUUCUCAGAUGUCAAGCUCGUGCUGUCCAUAGUCUUGCUCAGAACCUUCAAGGCGAGCUCGACCGCCUCUUCUCUAGUUGCAUCCUCCUUGUAGUCUUGUUUCAGAAUAGACUGAGCCGCCUGGUUGUUCGCUCCCACAGCUGCAGCUUUCCACCCACCGUAGUUCCCACUCGGAUCACUCAUAUACAGCUGAAACCCAUGGUUCUUAUCCCACCCGGCAAAGAGAAAGGACACUCCAAAGGGACGAAGACCACCGAACUGGGUGUACCCUUGCUUGGUGUCGCAGAGAGACUGAACCAGCUGCUCAACAGGCAUAGGCUCCUGGUACAUGAAGGUGUAGCGCUGGGCUUGGACACGAGCCGUGUUGAUGAGGAUGUUUGCGUCGGACAUGAUGCCGGCGACGGCGCAGGCCACGUGGUCGUCGAUCUUGUACAUCUUCUCGGAGGAGGUGGAGGUUUGGAGAAGCUUGGAGGUGACUUUCUUCUCGCCGAUCAGAACGACGCCGUCUUUGGAUAAGAUACCGAUGGCGGAGCCGGCGUUGCCGAUGGCUUCCAUUGCGUACUCGACUUGGUAGAGACGCCCUUCUGGGGAGAAGAUUGUCGUGCGGCUAUCGUAUCUUCGAGACAUGUUUUUGACUUUUGAGAGAGAGCUUCGCCAAAUACAAGAAAAGGUUUAUUACAUUGAGAUCGAGAAAACGAAAUCAAAUCAAGAUUGUGAAAAUUUCACUAUUGGGUGGGUCUCUAAGAGAAGAGAAGCCAAGACGCCUAUGUAAGAUAAUUACAUCAACCAGAUUCGCAACCUAGCUCUAGGACUUAUCUAAUUCUAUAGAAAUUCGUACAAAACUACUACGAGAAACUAAUCGAGAAAAUAAAAACGGAAUGGAAUGGAUACAGUUUACCUGAAAGGACUUUGAUUUUGAUCUCUUUUUCGCUGAGAAUUUGCUCGAGACCAAAGAUGUGUGUGAACUUGUUGAGAGAAGACAGAAGAGAGAAGGAACCUAAAAACACUUUCUGUAUCGGGCCUUUAUUUUUUUCAAAACAUGCACCUAUGGGAUAUAGUGAAAGCCCAAAUUAUAAAACUAAGCCCAGUAUAAGAUCAAAUCAACUACCAACCGUUUCUGUUCUUGACAUCAUUUUUAUUCUUUUCUUUUUAUAUAACUCAACUUUCAUAUAUCGAGAGAACUUUAAAUAAUUUAGUACAUUAAAAAAAUUAAAACUAUUUAGGGAACGCAUGGUUUAGAGAUAAAUCUAUCUAUCUAUCUAUACUAAUAAAGGAAACUUUUCUUCUUUAUCAUGCUGUCACGUCAGUAUUUUUAUAGGGGCAAUUUGUGACACAUGUCCUUUCUUUUUUACGUGAACAGCGUGAGUUUUUUCUAAACUUUUUGGCCUACUGAUUUUUCUUUUGUUUUGUGGGCUCUUACUAGCUGGCCCAUUUUCUUUAGGGUUUCUAGCUCCUGCGAUCAGGAUUCGGCUCCUCCUCUGGCUCUUCGUCUCUUAGAAACUCAGAGGAGAGCCCUUGUAAGUUCUAACGUCGUCCGUUUCUUCCUUUAGUCUCAUCAUUUAUUGAUUACCCACUCAUCCCACUUUCUCUGAAUUAAACAUUAUCAUUAUCAUCCCGCCUGAGACUCUUCUUCACUAUAAAACGGUCCUAAUAUGCUUUUCUUGGAUGAGAGCGAGCUCUGUCUUCGUUUUUAUAGAUUCUUACAUAGAUUACGAGUCCUCUCUUGGAAUUCGAUUACGUUUUCUCCCCACGAAGACUAUGUCUUUGGCUUUAUUUCUAUCUAAGUCAUAUGGAGUUUGCAUCUCCGACGAGGUAACGCUUUUACUUUUCCGCCAUAGACCACCAUAUGUGCACCUUCGACGAGGUUACAAUUAUAUUUCAGUUAGCAGCUCACUAUUUGCUCAGCCAUUCAUCUUCUCUGCCUUUGUACAUUUGAAACUGAAAAGUGGAUAGAUUUUAAUUAUUUUAUUAGAUUCAAUAAAUUUAUAUUUGCGCUUUAUAUCAUACCUUUUAUGAUUAUUUGAAAACAAAUCAGCCGCACAGUUUUUUAAGUUGUUUUUACAAAUAUUUUUGCGAUUUUUAAUUUUAUUUAGUUAUUAAUUUUUUGUUGUGAUUUUCAAGGAAUUUCUUAUUGGUUUUCUUAAUUUGAGUUUUAUGACCAUUAAAUGGAGAAAAAUCCAUGAGAUACAUCACUUAAUAAAUGGAUUCCUCUACUUUUUUGUAUGUAUGAAACCUUUUAUUUUUUUCUAAAAAUUUAUUUAUUUUAAUUUAUAUUAUGUAUUUUACUAAUUUUAUUGUUUUAUGUUUUUAUAUUGUAUAUUUAUUUUCCUAACUGAUCGUCUAAAAUCUUUGUUUUGAUAAUGUAUAAUCAUUGAUUGUGGUUCCAUUGUUUUAUUUCUUAUUAACUUAUCAUAGCUUUAGCUUUUGAUUUAGAGGUUGUCUUUGUACAUUUGAAACUGAAAAGUGGAUAGAUUUUAAUUAUUUUAUUAGAUUCAAUAAAUUUAUAUUUGCGCUUUAUAUCAUACCUUUUAUGAUUAUUUGAAAACAAAUCAGCCGCACAGUUUUUUAAGUUGUUUUUACAAAUAUUUUUGCGAUUUUUAAUUUUAUUUAGUUAUUAAUUUUUUGUUGUGAUUUUCAAGGAAUUUAGUGAAAGCCCAAAUUAUAAAACUAAGCCCAAUAUAAGAUCAAAUCAACUACCAACCGUUUCUGUUCUUCACAUCAUUUUUAUUCUUUUCUUUUUAUAUAACUCAACUUUCAUAUAUCGAGAGAGCUUUAAAUAAUUUAGUACAUUAAAAAAUUAAAACUAUUUAGGGAACACAUGGUUUAGAGAUAAAUCUAUCUAUCUAUCUAUACUAAUAAAGAAAACUUUUCUUGCCACGUCAGUAUUUUCAUAUGGGCAAUUUGUGACACAUGUCCUUUCUUUUUUACGUGAACAGCGUGAGUUUUUUCUAAACUUUUUGGCCUACUGAUUUUUCUUUUGUUUUGUGGGCUCUUAGAGCAUCAUUAUCUUAGAGACCCAUUUCUUAUUUUUUUUUAGUACUUUUUUAUUGUAAAAGUGAAUUAAGAGACUGGAAGAAGAGACUCUAAAAUUUAAGUGCUCCAUUGCAAGUCUCUUAUUUAAAGGUUCUUAAAAAAAAGUUUUUGUUAAUUAAACACCAAAUUUUUGAUUUUUCUUAUUAAACUUAAACUUUUUCUUAAGUAAUACUAAGUUUCAUUUAUACAAGUUUCUAAGACAUGUGAAUACUAGUACUUACAAAAACAUACAAGUUUCUAAAGGAACAUAAAAGAACGUACCAAGUGGAGAAGACAAGCUCGAAGUCUCCUCACACAAGCAGCCCGCGACCACACUGCUCAGGUACCUUCCCCCCAAAAAUAAGGCAACUGAACUCCAAUGGCUCAAUUAGUGUCUCUUAUGCUUUCAAUGAUCCUGAUUGUGCGCUUGGUGGGAGACGUCUUGCUCAGCGGGUUAGGUAUGUUGCAGCUUUAACAGACUAAUGAGUUGUAUUAACAAGUGAAAAAGAAAGCAAAUGUUUGUUCAUUGUGAGAGUAGAUAACAUACCAAUAUUGGAAAGCAAAUGUUUGUUCAGGAGCAAUUCCCCUAUAAAAGAGAGAGCGGGACACAUCAUACAGCCAUUAUUGGAAAGGAAGCUAAGGGAAAAGAGUAUAAAUUGCAAUGCACAGAACACACAAGACCUUAAACCAAUGCAUAGUGAACAAAAAUGCAUACGCUGAGGCUUAUACCAACUCAAUUCACACAAUUCUAAUCACUUCAACAAUUCUCUCGAACUUAACUUUAUCUCAUUUUGACUCCCAUUUGAUGCAAAUACCAAUGCACAGAGAACAUACAUGACCUUGAAGCAAUGCUAUUGAACAAGUAGAAAAAGCAAGCAACCAAGAAAGGUUCAAAAAACCAUAUUCACCUCAGCUAUUUAAACAGUACCAGCUUGCUCAAAGAGCAUAGCCAAGGCUAACCGAGAUCAUCUUCUUCGUCGAGAGAUGCUUUUUCAUCGUCGUUCAAAUCAACCACCUCUAGAGCUCCAUUGUCAUUCUCUAAAGCCUCCAGCCUAGCUAUAGCAGCCUAGAAUCAACCAAACACAAAUGAAGUCUCAUUGCCAAGGAAAAAAAAAAAUCAAAAAGUGAUUUCGAAAAUCAGACAACACACCUGGGUUCGAUUGUCGGUGCUUGUAAGAGCUGCCGCCAUCUUCGUAGCAACCUUACGGGUACGGCUCGAGACUCUACGGUUCGCCAUGUCUCCAUACCACUUAGGACGAUUCAGUGUACCGGCGACGGUGGACCGAUGCGCUCACGUCUCCGCUUUCGUCCCCGUCUUGCUGAGCCCAAUCCAAAGUCUGGGCGACCGAGGAGACUUGGAUUCGAAACCUACGGAUUUCACAAGUCGGGAGAGAGAUAGAGAUGAGAGUGGGAAGAAGUUCUGGAGAAGGUGAAAAGGGAGGAAGAGGAAUCACAAGAGACGUCUCUUCUCGUCCCUGAUUAAGAGACGUCUUUAGGUUUAUUGAUAUUUUUCAUUUUUUUUUAAUCCUGAUAAAUGUAAGAGACCCUCUUAAAAGACCGGGAUAAUGGUGCUCUUACUACCUGGCCCAUCUUCUUUAGGGUUUCUAGCUCCUGCGAUCAGGAUUCGGCUCCUCCUCCUGGCUCUUCGUCUCUUAGAAACUCAGAGGAGAGCCUCUGUAAGCUCUAACGUCGUCUGUUUCUUCCUUUAGUCUCAUCAUUUAUUUAUUACCCACUCAUCCCACUUUUUCUGAAUUAAACAUCAUCAUUAUCAUCCCGCCUGAGACUCUUCUUCACUAUAAAACGGUCCCUUCUCUGCGAUGAAUAGUCAUAGUUAUACGGGAUCCCUAAUAUGCUUUUCUUGGAUGAGAGCGAGCUCUGUCUUCGUUGUUAUAGAUUCUUACAUAGAUUACGAGUCCUCUCUUGGAAUUCGAUUAUGUUUUCUCCCCACGAAGACUAUGUCUUUGGCUUUAUUUCUAUCUAAGUCAUAUGGAGUUUGCAUCUCCAACGAGGUAACGCUUUUACUUUUCCGCCAUAGACCACCAGGUUACAAUUAUAUUUCAGUUAGCAGCUCACUAUUUGCUCAGCCAUUCAUCUUCUCUGCCUUCAUUAUAAAUUUUAUUCAGUAUAUAUAUUCAUCCGUAGGGCGUCUUAGCCACAGCUCAUCAUUUUGCAGUCUACCUUUCUAACCAUUAAAUCAUUAGUUCUAGAUUUUUUUUUUGCAAUUCAGAGUCCUAGAUUUUCAUGUCCUGCAAAUUCCAAUUGUUUAUUAUACUCCUGUGAAAAAUGAGACUGUUGAUUGUUUUGAACAAAAGCUUCGCAAAUAAAGUUUCAAUCUUUAUCCUUUUUCUCUCCUUAGUACUAUCGAUAUGGCUUUUUCUCCAAAUUAGUAAAAUGAUGCUAAAUGGUCACGGUAGCGGUUGAUGCAUCUUUUUUUUUGUUUUAUUAAGGCUUUGUUUAAUUAGACUUCAUGAUGAUUUGUGUUUGGACUUGAGGAAAGAAUCAUUCACAUGUGCGUGACUGCCCAAAGUUAUGUUAUGUAUCUAAGCAUACAUAUAAUAUUUUUCCCUCAAAGCUUGGUUUGUUUCCGUCACAUCAUAAUCUUCCUGUCCCAUUUCUUCGUUGAACAACUCUUCUAUCUAAGUCAUAUGGAUCUCGCGUCUCUAUCUACUUUGAGAGUCAUAGAUUGAUAUAUAUAUUAUAUUAACUUUGUAUUCCAUCCUCUUGAAUGAAGUUACCUUAUACAGUGAUACUUGUCUUCUCUUCAUUUUUGGUCUCAGUUUCUUUUUCCGUGAAUCAACUUGAUAUAAAUUUUUCCUUUACACAUGUAGAUUGGUUUUCUGACUGGUGCUUGAAGAUAUAGCUCUGGUGUAUUGAAUUCUCUUUAUGCAAGAUUUACUCUCUUAAAAGGAUAGCAGGUAAUUAAUUAUUUAGGUUUCAAGUAUUCUUAGUUGUUAAAUCUUUUAACUGUUUUUUGUGUUGUAGCUUUAAAGGCGUUUUCGUUGCAUUUUUAAGAUGAAAGAUUUUUCAAUUUUCAGACAAAGGUCAUGCGGUUGGAAACUCGGUAGAGAGUUGCAAAGAUGAGUCUAAGUCUCAAAACUGUUUUGAGUAGAAGUGAGAAGAUGCAGAGCCAAGGUCCCGGAAAAUAGGAAGAAGAUAACAAUGUCUUAAAUCUUUUAACUGUUUUUUGUGUUGUAGCUUUAAAGGCGUUUUCGUUGCAUUUUUAAGAUGAAAGAUUUUUCAAUUUUCAGACAAAAGUCAUGCGGUUGGAAACUCGGUAGAGCCAAGGUCCCGGAAAAUAGGAAGAAGAUAACAAUGUCUGUGAGCUGUUCUAUGAUACAAGAACCAGUGAGGACUUGGCAAAAUAAAAUGAUGGAAACCAUUCUUGUGGAGUUCUGAUUGAGACUGGAAAGAAGCUACGAUUUUAUAACAUCAAUGCUAAUAGCUGUUCUCCGGAGAUAGUUUUGUGUCGUUUUAUAUGGACAAGCAUGUUAUAAGGAGAACACUUAUCAUGUUGUGAAAGGACAUGUGUCGAUGAAGAUGUGACAAUUCAGGAGAAGUUCAAUAUUCGUUGAGAAAGAUUCUGUGUAUUAUGCCUUUUUUGGGAUUUGUAAUAUAAAGCAAACAUAUUCUUUGAUUAUUUUAUUUCAUUUAAUUAUGUAAUCUGUAUAUGUUUAACAAAGUUUUUGAUGUUACUAUGUAAUAAAAACUGAGAAGGGAACGUUUGAUGAGAUAUGAGUUAUAGGCUUUCAUUCAAUACAAAUCCAACACAAAUGUUGCAUGAUAGAUUCACUAUCGAUUAAAAGAAAUGCAAAUUUCAGUGAACAUGUAUAUCGGUUUGGUUCAUCUUGAUUUCUAGAUUAUUAGUGGUUACAUCUUAUAUAUUAAAACAGAAGUCACAACCUUGAUUCAUGUGUGAUUUUUUUAAAAAAUGGACCUAAUGAACCUAUUCAUAGAAAUUCAUACUAUAUUUUAAUUCAGACUAAUAAUAAAUAUAAUUUUUAAAAUAUUUUAAUCAUAGUAUCCUUUGAUAUCUUUUCAUUUUAAAUAAAAAUAUAUUUAAUUUAAAAUUCUAACAAAUCUGUUUAAAAAGAUUUCUACUAGAUCUUCAUUUUUGAAAUUAUAUUUAAAUAUUUUCACUAAUUUCGAAAUUAGUUUAAAAUAUUAUUAUACAUUAAUAUAUUCAGUUAUAUAAAAUGAAAAAUAAAAAAAUCUAUAAUAUUUUAGUUAUUAUAUAAUCAUAAUCAAUCAUAUUAUAUUAAAAUUAUUAUAUUGAGCUAAAUAUAAUAAAAUUGUAUUAAAUUAUUAAAUUUAUAUAUUUAUAUAUUUUAUUUUCGUAAUUAUAAAAUAUUUAUGUUCAAAAAUAAAAUCUAAUAUGUUGGUAAGAUGGGUUAACAUUAUCAAACUAUAUAAUACAUGUAUAAAAAUUAACAUGUAUUUCUUUAAAGUUAAUAAUAUAAAAUCUUUGUAACUACUUUAAUCAUAAUAUAUUUUCAUUUUAAAUAUAAUAUAUAUUUAUAUAUUAUAUUUUAAAAAUUCUAAUAAAUCUGUGUAAUAUUUAAACAAUAACUUAAUGUAUUUUAAGUUAUCGUUUAGAAAUGAAAAUAAAUAAAUUAUAUCCUAUUUUAUCUACUUUUAUAGUCAUGAUCAUGUUAAAAUAUAAUUAUUAUACUAAAUAAAUAUGAUAAAAUUAUAUUCAAUUGAUAAAUUUAUAAAUUUUAUUUUCAUAAAUAUAAACUAUUUAUUUAAAAUAUAAUAUGAUGAUAGAACGACUUAAAAUUAACAAACUAUAUAAUACAUGUCUAAAAAUUAACAUAUCUUAUACUUUUAUAUAUACAAUAAUAAAUUAUCUAAAAUGAAUAAGCAUAAAAAUAUUGAUAAAAAGAAAUCCAGUUUUGAAAUACGGGUCAGAAUUUAGCAUAAAAUAAAUACAAAAUAUUUUUUAAAUAUAUUUUCUCAUGAAUAUAUUAAUUUGCUUAAUAACUAAAUGCAAAUACAAUAAGAUAAAUAUAUAAUAAGAAGUGGCAAAUACAUAAGGUUUAAACAAUUAAUUAAUUAUAACAUGUAAAUUAUAAAAUUAUUGUAUUUGAAAUAGUUAUAUAAAUAUUUAAGUAUAUGAUUAACAUUAAAAAUAUAUACCACUUAUGUUCUAAAACAAUAAUUUAUGUAUAGAAAAGUGAAAACAAACACCCGUGCGGUUGCACGGGUCAAAAAUCUAGUUAUAUUUAAGUUUCUUUCGUUUAGUUGCGUUACCGUUUGGCUCAUAUUAAUUUUUUGAUUAAAUUAUUUGAUAUAAAGUGAUAUGUAACUAAACUAAGAAAAAAACUUCCAACAAAUAAUUUGUUACUAUUAAACAGUUUGACUCCCACAAGAAAGCUUUCUUGACAGAUUACUGAAGUCCACUAAAGAUGAGAUUUUACAUCUAAGUUUUAAACUUUUUUUUUAAUUUUCUAAGUAGCAAGAAGUUCUACAUAUGUAAUGAUUAGUAGAGAUUGGUUUAUCACAAUGCAUGUGGAUUUUGUUGCCCAUCAAAUGGAUUGUAACUCCUACCUUAUUAUUUUAAUAUUUCACAUGCUACAUUGGACAUGCAGCUUUCAACAUCUUGAACCAAACUCUUUAACAGAAAAUUAAGGAACAAUACAACUCGCAUUCAACAUCUUGAAUCACACUUGUUCACAGAAAAUUAAAGUAACAGUACAACUCUACUAAAUUUAAAGGUACACAUCUUCACCAAGAUUUUCUUAAAAUUGAACAUACACUCACAUGUGAGUAAACCCUAGAUUCAUUUAUGUUCUUAUUUCCUCUAUAUAUACACAAGAGUUGUAACAAAUCUAAACACAUUCUAUUAUUUAUUUCUCUACUACAAUAUGGAAACAUUUAGUGUUGAGGACAAGAGGCAAUGUUGGGAGAAGUUGCAGCACUUUAAUAAUAGAAAACCAAAAUUAUGGAGAGAAGACAAGAAUGAAAAUUUGGUGGCUAACAUAAAGAAAGGCCAUGGAGAUGUGACUCUGGUAUACACCGGAGAUAAUCCUGAUGUAACAUUCACUCUAGGAAAUUGCAAAAUGUUGUCCGGAGCUACAUUUUGUGAGAGAGAACAAACAAAAUUUGAGCAAAAUGAAAAAAUUAUUCUUCUAUGAAAAGACUCUUUAUAAUUCUACUGAUACAAAAUCAAGUGUUUCUUCUUCGAAAAACAGGGACGGACCAAGAAAAAAAGGUAACUAAUGUUGUUGGGCAAGAGACUCAUGUUUGUUGGCCAAGAACUUUGCCUAUCCUCGUUUGAAAAAAUCUUAUAUGUAGUAUUGUAUUAAUUAAAUUUGCCUUUUGUAGUAGAUAUUGUAUUGUAUUAAAUUUGCUUAUGUUAGUGGAGAUUGUAUAAAUUUCGUAAAGUUUGCUGGCUGCUUGCAAUUCUAGUAACUUUAAAAGUAUUGUAUAAAGUUGUAAUAUUUUAGUAAGUUUGCUAUAAUUCUACAUUCAAUCUAACUAAGUUCAUAGUAUUGUACACUCAACCAAACUCAAAGCACAAAACUUUAUCCCUCGAGGUUCUAGUAUUUUAGUGAUUAAGAAAUACAUCUUGGAUUUAGAAAUUUUUGAUAAAUUCAUUUAUUUUAAAAUCAAACAAGUAAAUUUCAGAAUCAAAGAUACAUAUUUCAAAAUCAAAAUAAGUUGAUUAUUAUAAAUCGGUCAAAUGGAUAUACAAUAAGUUCAAAUUUGUAACAAAAUAAAAAUAUAAAAAAAUGCAAAAUGUACUUUUUAUUAUGCUUUUAGUUUGGAUUUUGAAGUGUUUGCACUUAUGUAAUUUUUCUUAAUAUGUAAUAGAGAUUAUAUAAAAAUUAUGAUGGACACAUAUGAAAGUGGAAAAUACUAGUUAGGAAAUGGUACAAUGUAUAUAAAUUAUUCAAAAUCUUCAUUAUGUUUGUGUAGUGUUUAAAUUUUUUGGAGCUCCCACGUGUUUGAUUGAGAGUAGCUAUGAUUCUUCUCUCCACUUUGAAUUUUCUGAAUGGGCCAUUGCUAUCACACACAGCUGCAACAACACAAUCUAAGAGUAGAUUUAUCAAAGUUUUAUUUUCUUGAGGACUCCAUUGAACACAUGAACUUUUUACGUGUUCUUGUGGUUUUUGUUGUGAUUCUUCCAUGCUUUUAGUUUGGAGUUGUACGUGUUUGUACUUGUGUAUUUUUUUCUUAAUAUGUAAUAGAGAUCCUCCUAUACAUUAAAAGAGAAGUCACUUUAGUGAUUUUUGCUGACAUGACAUUAAUAUAGAAUUUCUCAGAAAAAUUGUUAUAAUUCUAUUGGUCGAUUUUUUUGAAUUUUAUUUUUCAUUUAUUUUAAUAAAUCAUUUAUGUAGACAAGCCCAAAACUAUUGUCGAUUUCGUUAAGCCCAUAUAUAGCUAGGGGAUAAUAAUUAUCUAUUUAGUUUAGCCUUGGGCAAGAUUAAGAACUAAUACAAAUAUUAAAAACUUUCCUUAUUAUUCAAACAGUAAACUUGCGCAUGUUGAUAUCAUAUUAAUUACAUUUGGUUAGAAAAUAUUUUAAUAUUUCUAAUUAGUAGGGGUGAGCGUUCGGGUACCCGUUCGGGUUCGGAUCGGGUAUUUUGAAUUUUCGAGUAUUUUGGUAUAGAUGUGUAGAACCCGUUCGGGUAUUUCUGUACUACGGGUCGGGUUCGGGUAUUUUUAGUUCGGAUUCGUUUAUUACAGAUCGGGUUCGGAUAUUUAGAUUUCGAAAAAAAAAAAUUAAAAUUUUCAUUUCUCAAGUUUCUUAUAUUUAAAAAUAUAACUUUCAGUUAACUAAUUUUUUUAUUUUUAAUAGAUUGAAUGGUUAAUAGAUUUGGACAUAAAAAUUUAAAACUAAAAAGGCAAUAAUUUAGUUAUUUUUUAAAAAAAAUUGGAUAUAACUUUUUGUUAAUUUUUUAAAUAAAAAACUUGACAUGCAUUUUCGGAUCGGAUUCGGGUGCCACUUCGGAUAUCGGGUAAAGUGCCCACUCCUACUAAUUAGGUUGUUUGUUUUUAAUAACUUACCUUUCUAAUAUGGAUUACUUGCGCAAGUUAAAAUCAUUAAAUAUGCAAAUCACUUAUUCACAAUAUGGAUUACUUGCGCAAGUUGAAAUCAUUAAAUAUUAUCGAUUUAGUUUACUUUUGGGCAAGAUUUAGAAUUAAGACAAAUAUUAAAAACUUUCCUUAUUAUUCAAACGGUAAACUUGCGCAUGUUGAUAUCAUAUUUAUUACAUUGCUUAUAAAAUAUUUUAAUGUUUCUAAUUAGGUUGUUUGUUUUUAAUAACUUACCUUUCUAAUAUGUAUUACUUGCGCAAGUUAAAAUCAUAUCAUAUGCAAAUCAUUUUUUGACAAUACACAUUUAAUAUCUUUCUUUAAACGAUUUCAUUAUUUAUUUUGCAAAAUAUUGUGCGUCAUUAAUAUGAGAAAUAAAUCGACUGUAUAUAUAUAGGAGACACCCAAGAUCUUAAAAUACAAACAUUCUCUUUUCAUUCUUUAAAGUAUUAUUCACAAAUCUUCCUCUCAUACUAUUAAGGUAUUACGAUGAUGCUGCUUGUGUGCUAAGAAAAAUGUGUUUAGACGCAAAGGCUCCUCAUCUUUCAUCGACUCUGCCACCUACUUUGCCUUGGAAGUUCAAUAAACAUGUACAGCCUAAUAAAGGACUAACCCGCCAAGGCAAUGGGAACUCAGAAGAGCUACGUUGUGUCAUUGCUGUUAUUCGAUAGUAUGUUUUCUUAGCAUAUAAAUCACCUUUAUCUCCUCUAUACUUCUAUCUGUUAAAAUUUUGUUAUUACAUGAUAGUGGCGAUCGAACUCCAAAACAGAAGGUGAAACUAAAUGUUACAGAGGAGAAACUGUUAAACCUGAUGCUGAAGUACAAUGGUGGAAAGCCAAGAGCUGAGGUGCGAGAGGCUCCAGCUUUUCUGUCAUCCAUCUUUUAUCAGAGCCUUGAUUCAUUUUAUAUUUUUUUUUUCUUUUUGUAGACAAAACUAAAAAGUGCAGUCCAGUUGCAAGACCUAUUAGAUGCAACAAGAAUGUUAGUUCCCCGUACAAGGUAGAACCAUGAACUCAACUCUUUGUGUCUUGUCUCCAAAAAGCAUGUCUGAUCUAUCUCUUCCAUGUGUUGAAUACUGGUAACGACAAUAUGGUCUUCCUUUUUUUAUAUGUAGACUAGGUCGUGAGAGUGAUAGUGAUCCAGAAGACCUUGAACAUGCUGAGAAGCUUCGCCAAGUUAAAGCAGUUAUUGAAGAGGUUCUUUAGUACUUUCUCUUUUUUUGUUGAAUAUAGUCCGGGGAAAGUAUUACAUAGUAUCAUUUAGUAAUACUAUCUUAUAUCAUUUUUUUUUGUUGAAUAUACUAUCUGAUAAGUAAGCUAGCAUUAUGCAUUUUUUAUUUAAUUCAUGAGGUCAUUUUCAAAGCAGUCAAAAAAUCUAGAAAAUUAAUAAUCGAACCAGCUACCUUUUUUUAUUAGACCGGAUAUUAGUUCCACCAAUAAUCGUGGUCAACUUACCAACGUGGUGCAUAUAUGUCAAAUUGACAAAUCUACGUUUAAGUAACCCAACCUGUAAGGGAUUUAGAUUUUUUUUGUGAAUCUCGUGGACUGAUCUAUCGCAGAUUGGGGUUCAUAGGUGAAGUUUCAAGAAAUUGUUAUAAUUUGAUUGGUCGAUUGUUCUUAAUUUUUAUUUAUUUAAUUUAGAUUUAAAAUUUUAAGAUAAGUCUAAAAUCAUUUAACAUCACUUGUCAUAUAAUCUAACGAAUAUUACAAAUAACAAUUUAUGGAAACUAAUUUUCGAAAUUAUGGAAAGAUUAUUAAUGUUUUGUUUAUUACUUUUAAUAUUUAUAAACUAUAAAAUACAAUGAACGGAAUUUUAUAGAAGAUAAUUAUAAUAGUUUUAUACUCAACUUGAUGAAUUGUGUUCGAAUAUAUUUAUAUAAUAACUAUUUUAAGUAUUACAAAAUCCAAAAAUAUUUAUUAAUAUUAUUUUUAAAUUAUUUAUCGUAGUUUAAAGAAUAAAUUUAUCAUAAUUUUAAAAUAAUUUAUAAAAUGCUUACAAAAUGCAAGGCAAAGUUGCACUUUCAAGAGUUAAGUCGAGAUCUUGAUUAAAAAUCCUAAUAACUGGUAAAGAAGGGAAGCCGCAGACAAAAAUAUUGAAUGUUGUCUACAAAGAAGUUUUUCAGAAUAUUUCGUAGUCACAGUACGUAAUUUUAAUCUACUUUUUUUUUCAAAUACAAAUUUUAAAAUAAAUAAACUGUUGCGAUUAUUUAUUUUUUAUAUUUGCUAGAUGGGUUGUGAUGAGUUAGGAGACCGAUGACGGUACGGACCGAGAAAGAACACAGGGUGCGGACCGGUCAUGUUUUUAUGCCCGCACAGGAUGCGGACCGGUUACCUAGUUAUAUAUAAAUUAUGAUAUACACAUACAAUAGAAAGUGGAAUAGUUAGGAAAUUGUACAUUGUAUAUAAAUUAUUCAAAACUUCAUUCUGUUUGUGUAGUGGUUAAAUGUUUUGGAGCUCCUAUUUGUUUGAUUGAGAGUAGCUAUGAUUCUUUUCUCCACUGUAAAUUUGCUGAAUAGGCCAUUGCUAUCACGCACAGCUGCAACAACACAAUCUAAUAGUAGAGCUAUCAAAGUUUUAUUUUCUUGAGGACUCCAUUGAACAUAUGCCUAUUCCACGUUCGUGUGGUUUUUGUUGUGAUUUUUUUCUUGUUUUUAGUUUGGAGUUAUACGUGUUUGUCCUUGUGUAAUUUUUCUUAAUAUGUAGUAGAGAUUAUAUACAAAUUAUGAUGGACACAUACAAUAGAUAGUGAAAAAUAUUAGUUAGAGAAUUGUACAAAUUGGAUAAUCGGAAAAUUUAAAAAUUUAAAAAUAGAAAACUUUCAAAGGGAUCAAGCAAAAAUGUAUAAUGUACAUAGUGGUGGUUUUACGUCAAAUAUGUUUAUGUUCAAUUUUCUUUUUUUUUAUGUGUUUCCUUUUUGCAUGUAUACAUCUUUUAGUUCAUGUAUACAAGCAUCUCAUAUCUUUGUUAAAUAAAUAGAGGAACAUGUUCAAUACGUAUGACCUGGAGCAAAAAGGAUACUGGGAAAAUCAAUAAUACAAAGCUAUCAAAAUAUAAGAUUUAACUCAAUAUUUUCUCCUUUGUAUUUUUAACUUAAAAACACUAAUAAAUCCACUCAAUCUAAUUUUAAAUCAAACCUUAAGCAAAUCAUUAUUAUUGAAUAACACAUGAUUUUAAAAUCUUUUUUUUAAAUCAUAAAACCAAUAACAAGAAUUUGAAUAUAUAUUUAAAAAUCUAAGAACCAAUACUAAUGAACUGAAUAUGGAUUUUGAAAUUAUAUAACCAAUAAUACUAUAUUUUAUUUGUAUUUUAAAAUCCAUCUAAAUAUACCAACCAAUAACACCCUCUGACAUUCUCUGUAACAUCCCCCGGCGCAGCCCAUCUGCAAAAUUCCAAAAAGAAGAGAUUCUAGGGUUUUCUUCUCUCACUCGCUAUAAAAAAAGGUGCCCUUUACACUAGAAACACAUAACAAAUACAAAGUGAAGCUCUGCACAAGCCAAGACCCACUGCCAUCACCUCCUCCCAUUACAAGAAAACAUGCGAGAGGAAAUUGUUUUGGCAGGACAAUCUCGUCGGAAAAGAAAAUCCUUGGAUAGUUUCUCGGUAACACCGACGGAUUCCAACCGACCGUUUCCAACGAAUAAAGCUGUGGGAAAUCAUGGUCGAGAACUUGUCGGGAUUUAAUACCAAAUUAAAACCUUGGUUUAAUGUCUUAUAGGUAUCCCCGAACUGAUGAUGGCUCUACAAUCAAAGCAAGUUCUUUACGCCAAGAACUUAUCGCAUACUUCAAAAUAGAAAGUAGAACCAAGUCGAAAUUGCAAGGGGUGGUUUAAGCCAAAUAGUCAUGGCAAACCUAAAAUUGAAAGUAAACCUAUGUCUUUUCUAAACCCAACACACUGAUCUCAAACAUCUCAAUAGCUAGUAUCAUCAACCCGGUAGCAAAAUACACUUAAAAAUGUUUCUUAGUCAGUAGUUAGUACGUACGCUUAGUAUAUGAGAGAAAUAAAUCUGUCUCAUAUCUCCAUAUUAUACAGUGAUUUGUACUCUGAUCCGCUAGGAAGAAUGAAAUGAGAGGACAACUCACACUCUUUUUCUCUCUUUUAACUGUCCCGCAGAAACCAUGAAGUAACAAUGAUCUUAUUAAAUCCUAAGCAUCCAUUUAUCACUUAGGUUUUAACUCGAUUAACUAAAUGCAACUGUACGUAGAGUUCACAAUAGUAAUGCGAGAGCAAAAAUUACACGUAGAGAGCAAGGAACACGAGGCUGUAAACUAUUGGAUAACAAUAUCAUGAAAUCUCGUAUGAGGAUGCCCUAAACCUUAUCCAAUGGAAUACGAAAUCUUAUCCAAAUUGAGUAUAGGAAGAAAUUUUUUUCCUAGAGUUGCAAAAUCUCAAAGGUGGCUGCCUAAGACUCUCAAGAACAAAGUGAAAACAGAAGAUGAUCUAAAAAAAACCUAAUACACGAGUUAUUUUGUAUAUGGGUCUAAAAACAGGUCAAAAAAAUACGUCAAUAAUUAGUGGACCCGAGUGACAUGGAUCAACCGAUCUCAGCCAUGGAUUGGACAUUCUUCAUUUUCUAAACGAGAUUGGUCGAUCACUAUGUUCUGAUCGGCCGAUUCUUGCCAUAUUUCGGCUCCACUUGUUCCAAUGCUUCCUUUUCGCUCCAAAUUGUUGCCUAGUUGCAUUCUUUCCCAAAGAUCGUUUUCUUGUAUUGGGUGUAGCUCCUCUUCAAACAUGUCUCGGAGAUCUGAUAGCCGCACCACAAUCUUCUCCCCUGAAGACCGUCUCUACCACGUCGAGUGCGCCAUGGAGGUCAUUGGUAACGCUGGUUCCGCCAUUGGUAUCUUAUUCAAGAAAAUGUACAAGAUUGAUGACCAUGUCGCCUGCGCCAUUUCUGGUAUCAUGUCUGAUGCAUCUAGAGAAGAGGCGGUAGUCAGCUUGCAUUGAAGGUUCUGAGAAAGACUAUGGACAGCACGAGCUCGACGUCCGAGAAGCUUGAGCUUGCUGAGGUGUUUUUGACUCCAUCAGGGAGUGUUAAGUACCAUGCUCACUCUCCUGACUCGCUCACCAAGCUGUUGCUGAAACAUGGUGUGACUCAACUUGCAGCUGAAUCAUCCUGAGCACAAAACCAGGGCCGAGAGUCUCAUGACUCUCAUCUCUGCUUGGUGUUUUCCUGCGUCUCAUUUACCUAUCUUGUUAGCUCUCUGUUACAAUGCUUUUCAGUUUUAGUUUGAUGUUAAUUAACAAUGGCGAUGAAACUGAAAUUUCAUUAGAAUUUUAUCCGAAGUUACUUUGAGUAACAAUUUUACUACAUAAUUAAAAUCUUGCAUUGUGUGGAAGGAAGAGUAGAUAUCCUUUGCAUCCCCAAGGGUUAGUCACACUUUUUACGGGUCAGUGGAAUCUGUUUGCACAAAACCCUGAUUCAAAUAGGCAUUUAUUUGAUACUUUUCAAAGACCAUGAACUACCAGUUUAACCCUUUUUGGGGAUUCCAUCCACAAAUACAAAUUUUAUGGCUAAUUGAUAUGGAACAUCUAUCACAACUGUUUUCUUCAUUGUGGUCAUUUGUUUCUGAACGAAAGAGCUGUUUUCAAAUAGUGUUCGAUCGAUUAUGUACUAUUAAUAUUAGAUUGAUUGGUCCGAGGUUAUUGAUAAAAAAUAUUUGUCUAAGUCACUUUGUUCUUUUUGUCCAAGUUUUUUCGGUUUUUUUGUCCAAGUUAUUUUUCUUUUUGCUUAAUUCACCAUUUUUUUCUUUGUGAGUUUCCAGAACGUCCUUAUUCGUAGGUCUACUCAUACGCAUAGAUAUUGAAAGCAUACAGUUAAUUUUUUUAUUCAUAUAUCUCUAUAAUAUUAUUUGAGAAGUCAGUUUCUUACGUCGUGUUCAUGUUAACUAUCAUAGUAGUUGGUUACGAUAAUACCCUUAAUGAAUAUAUCUAACUAUCAUUAUUAAAUAUUUAUUCUAUUUAUUCUUUUUUAUUUAGGUUUACUUUUUCUUUAUUUUAUAAAAUAACCAAAAUAAUAAAGAAAAUAUAUAAAUUUAUAAAUUUAGAAACAAAAAUAUCUUUUAUAUAUAUAGUGUUAUUCAUAAUAAGGAAAGUUCACAAAAUAAUCUGAUUUUAAAGUAAAGAAAUAAUCUUCCCUUUUAAAAGAUAACCUUAAACAACAUAAUAUAUAUUUUAAAAUUAUUAAGAAUUUUAUUUAAAUCAAUUUAUUUCUCAAAUUAUUACAAAAUAAUUUCUAUAAUAUUAUUUGAGAAGUCAAUUUCCUACGUGUCGCGUUCACGUUAACUCUCAUGGUAGUUGAUUACGAUGAUACUCUUAAUGAAUCAAAUAUAUCUAAUUAUCAUUAUUAAAUAUUUAUUCUAUUUAUUCUUUUUUUUUAUUUAGGUUUACUUUUGCUUUAUUUUAUAAAAUAACCAAUAUAAUAAAUAAAUUUAUAAAUUUAAAAACGAAAAUAUCUUUUAUAUAUAUAGUAUAAUUCAUAAUAAGGAAAGUUCACAAAAUAAUCUGAUUUUAAAGUAAAGAAAUAAUAUUUCCUUUUAAAAGAUAAUCUUAAACAACAUAAUAUAUAUUUUAUAAGUAUUAAGAAUUUUAUUUAAAUCAAUUUAUUUCUAAAAUUAUUACAAAAUAAUGUAAAUAACAUAAAUUAAGAUAUCUUUAAUGAAUAAAAUUUAAUUUAAUAUUUUAUUUUCUUAUUUAAGUUUCCUUUUAUAGUUUUCAAAUAACAUAUAUUAUAAAUAAAAUAUUAAUAAAUUUCAAAACGAAUAUAUUUUAAUAUAUAUAAUGUGAUUUCAUGAAAAGGAAAUUUUAGAAAAUUUUAAAGUAAAUAAAUAAUCUUGCCUUUUAAAAUUUAUCGUUACGUUUUUAUGUAACUUUGUACCUAUCAUCACUUUAUUUUAUUUUUUUGUUUUCCAAAUUAACAUAUACUCCCUCUGUUCCUUAAUAUUACAUAUUCUAGGAAAAAAAAUUGUUUUAAAAAGAUCAUUUUUUUACAUUUCCAAGAAAUAUUUUAUUAACUAAUUGCAAAUUUCAAAAAACUUAAUUGCACUUACUGAAUUGUUAUUGGUUUAAAAUUAUGAAACAAAGAUAAACACAAAAAAAAAAUACAAAUUUAAUGUAUUUUAUUAAAAUGUGUGAAAAAUCUAGAAUAUGUAACAUUAAAAAACAGAGGGAGUACUAUUUACUCAUCUAAGAUGAACAACCAAAAACUAAUACAAUGAAUAGAAAUAGUUAUACUUUAAUUUGACAGAAUAUAUGUAACACAACCCACAAAAUGAGUAACUAGACCAAUUCAAUUUUUUAUUCAAAGUCAAACAUUAAAUUAAAAAUAAUAUAUUUUUACUUACAGUAAUAUUUGUAUACAUAUAAAUUAUAGAACGGCUCAACAUAUUACAAAUAAAUAUGAAAUUUUCAAAUAAUCUUAUAAAUAUAUUAACCAACUAUUACAAUUAAGUAUUUUGCAUAACUUAUAUAUAUAUAUAUGCAUAAAGUUUCAAAGGACUAUCAUUAUUAUAUUUAUUUAUGUAAUUUUGAAUCAUCAUCCCUUUAGUUUACUUUUACUAUUUAAUUCUCAAAAUAACAUAUAUUAAAUUAUACGUAAUCUUACUAAAUUUUGUUUACAAAUCUAAGACAAGAAUCAAACUACAUCAAAAUAACAAAAUUAAUCAAAAUUUUAACUUGUAAAACAAAAAUAUUAUGAUUGAAUCGAAAAAAUUAAAUGCUAUCUAUAUAUCCAAAUAAUAAUCAAACAUUUGAGAUAUUAUAUAUCCAAAAUUAUACGUCUAAUUCAUAUUGAUUACAAUAUAAAUAAUAGAAUAAUUAAAAAUAAAAUAUUAAUAAAUUAUUGUAAUGUAUAAUAUUUAUAUCCGUGCAUGACCUAGUAUUUUGAGUAAAUUCAGUUCAUUACUUGAAUAUGAAGCAUUCUUCUUGUCGUGAAGAGUUUUACACGUAACGGCAAGGACUCUCCUUGGUCUCAACUGUUAAAAUCAAGUUUUUAUUUCGUCCAAAAGAUCUGUUUAUUUUUCUUUUCAAGUCUUGAAACUACAAAAGAAUGACGUUUAAGAAAACACAAUAUAUAAUCACAGUUCUUGAUUCUUGUCCACAUUCUGCAUGCUUCUUGGCAUCUCUUUACACGAAAUGAAUCUCACAAGACAACUCAUAAGAUUAAAGUUUGUAUCAUCAAGAACAUAAAGAUCUCUCCUCAUUACAAUUCAUUACAAUGAACUUAUAUUAACUUUUUCUUACAACUUUGUGAAUGCAAGCAAAAAAACAAAAUACAGUAAAAUACUUUGAAAAAAUAAGAAACAAACUGUGAUUACAAUUCGACUUCUUAUGAUCUCUCUUUUAUCACUCUAUAUAUACAAAUAUCAUUGUAGUAAAGCUAAACGCUACAGCUUCAGUUCUCAACACUAAUCAAGAACAGAGCUUAGGAAGAGAUCUGUUGCUUCCUCUGCUAGUGCUCUUGGUUCUCUUCUUGAUAACUUCCAUCUGAGUCUGCAUUUUCAAACACGCUCUCUCCAACUCCAUCACCCUCCACUGAAUCCCUUCUAUAUGCUCUUUCAACUUCUCAUUCUCUCCUGAAGUCUCUACCUUCUCCACUCUGAGUACGAGCUGCUUCUGUUCUUGUUGCUGCUCAUCAUCUAAUGUCUCAAUCUCCUGAAACUUUGUGUUACGCGACAUAUGUGCUCUUGAUUGGACUGAAAGCUUCUCGUAACUCAAAGCUCUUAUCAAGUUGAGUCUUUCACCAUUGGUUAAUCCUGCAUGUGCCUGAACAAGCGAAAGAAGUUUUUGUAAGACUUUCUUUUUACAUUUUAAAGUUUAAGAUGAAUCUUGAAACGUUACCUCAAGAUACAUGUCAAUAGCACGGUAGAUAUCUUCAUGAGACUCUCUUGCUGAGUCAGGAACGAGUGUGAGGAGUGACAGAAACUUUGAAGGCUUCAAGCAAGGAUCAGGUGCUACUUCAGCUACGUACUGAUCAAUCAACCUCGCCACUUUCUUCAUCUGUGAUGAUCCUCUUUUCCCUCCGUCAAGGAAAGCUUUUGCGAAUCUAAGAACAAGAUUCACAUAGUACAAGUGACUAGACUUCGAUGGAGAUGGAACAAGGAGGUUGUCGAGUGUUGCUUGUUCCAGUUGCUGACCAAUCAUAACCUCCAGCUUGUUCAUAACACUUUUGUUUAUGUUUAACCCAAGAGCCAGCCUCAAAACACCGAAAAGACUCUUGUAAGGAACACAGCUUCGGUCCAACACGUAGAGAGUAUCAACGGUCGUUUCCAGAAUCUCUCUUUUCUCAUUUGAUGACGCAGAACAGAACUUAACCUUCUGGUAAUAGAACAAGAACCUAGUGAUGGUAACAUUAUCGAACUUCCUCAACACCAUCAGCUUCAAGAACGUUUUAACCAAGCCAGGACUUAGAACAAGAACCUCAUCGAACCACCAUGUUAUCCUGGAAGAGCUGUUCUUGAAACUCUCUGUGCUUUUACUGUCACAAGAGAACCUAAACAAGCUGCUAUCCGGCGAAGGCGAGCAAGCAGCGCUAGAGGGACUCGCUUCAAUGGCUAAACACAGUUUCUCCACCAGCGCAUCCAUCAGCUUCACGGCUAAAGACUCAGCCUCAGAGGAUGUUUCAAGUUCUUGGCACUGUUUCAAACUAAGAAGAACCUCUGGCCAUGCCCAGUACCGAAUCUCCUCCAUACACUUCUCAGUUUGUGCCAAGACUUUAGUGACUUCCAUGAACUUAGCAGCACAAUGCAAGAAGACUACGUUCGAAGGCAUCACAGUCCAUUCACAGUUGUUGUAGCAGAAUCUUGACAAAAGCUCGAAACUCUCAGCUCCACCAGGGAAGUCAUUAAAAAUCACCUUGAGAUUACCACUGGAAGAACAAGUAGACUUCCCAAGCAGUUUCUUCAAUGUUCCAGAAUACUUGCAUAUGAUUUGCUGAAAUCAAAAAGCCAUUAUGAUUGCAUUAAGUGAAUCUUGAAAGUCCCACAUGAAAAAAGGUUUAAACUUUAAUGCCAUGUUACCGUUUUUGUGAAGGAAUAAAGGCAAAACAAUGAUGAACACUUAUUACAAAGACAUAAAGGAAAUUAAAUAUCUAACUACACAAUGGUCUCUGUGUCACAGCUAUAAGUGAGAACAAAAGGGAAGUGAAUAGUGUCCAAGCAAAUUGCAAAGGAGAGAGCAACUUCUUAACCUCUCCUUAUUAAAGAGUUAUCUUUCCUAUUAAUGGGCAAGAUUUUGUUUGUUUGCAGAGAAGGUCAAAGGAAAGGUAUAGAACAAAACAUGCAAUAAAUGGUGAUUGAGACAUCUGCUUCUUCACUCUUACAAGACACAAUCAGUUACAGGUUCUGAAUAAGUUAUUGGUUUUAACAAGAAGUGAAAGUAAGCUUUUGUGCCCUCAUUUUAAGGUAAUUUAGUGCCAGAACAACAUUAAAUGCUGAAUGUGGCGGAGUCACAGACCAUACGUGAGACAUAAUAUUAUCAUAUAAUCAAAAACAAAUCACAUAAAAUAAAAUAUAUAUUUUUUUUACAGUUUUUGAUGCAGAAAUUAGAACUCAAAUGAACUUCAUUUCUACAAAAUUAACAUUCAACGCACGAAAACAAAUAGCUAUGUAGAAAUUUGGAAUGGCCCAGAUAAGGAAAAAUGAAAUUAAACAUUGAGAAAUGGUUAAAGUUUGGAUUUUUCAGCCUAUAUUGUGUGUAGAGUCUGUUAUAGAGAGAGUAGGAGUUAUUACCUUAUUGAGAAAGAUAGUUUCUUCUCCGUUGAUGUCUACUUCAAGAACAGAGCAAGAUUCCAUUGCUAAAAAACAGAGAGAGAGAAAGUAAGGUAACACCCAAAAACAAGAACCCACCUAGAUAACAAGAUUCUCUCUCUCUCUCUCUGUUUCUUGAUUUUUGCCCAAAAGGAAAAGAGAAAAAGAGAUUGUGGUAAAAGAGAGGGGGGAGAUGUGGAUUUAUGCUGAGAAGAGGAAGAAGACAAAGAGCAAAGAAGCAAAGAAACUUUUGUUGGUUUUCUGAUUGUCAGAUCUGUAAGUAAAGACUUUCUCUUCUUUUAUGUCUGUCAAGUCAAUUGGUGAAGCACCACCAACAAACUAGUGGUGGGUUUUGUGUUUUUGUAUGUUCAUGGGAGAGAUGGAAAUUUUAGAGAAAGAUAAAGGGACCAAGCAACAAAGGCGUGUCCAAACAAACGUCACUCUACUCUUUUCUGUAUAUUGUGUGUGAUAUUAAUAUGCAAAGAAACAAAUUAUAAGAGAGAGAGAGAGGAGAGAUAGACCUAUUAUCCGUGACAUUCUUGCUAAAAAACAAUUAAUAAGAGGUGAUAUUUUGUUACAAUAAUAUAAAGUAGUUUUUCAUGUAGUAGAUAUAUUGUUACUUUGUUGGUAAGGACUAUGACAACGCAUUUACCCUUUUGAUCAGCUGAUCAAUCAGUAAUUAAUCAUUUAUUUUCCAGGUAAUUAUGACUAGUAUAAGCCAAAUGGGUGAAGCUUUCUAGGCCAUGUUCCUCUCUUUUUCUCAUCAUGCUGCUUUGAUUACCUCUCUAAUUACGAUUACUAUAUUAUUUUGGAUAAUUGCAUCUCGUGAACGCUAGACCAAUCUUAACUAGUACGAGUCGUUAAAAUAAAACGGAUUCUGACUUUGUAACCAAGAAGUUACGAACCUUAACCUUGUAAAUGUUAUUAAAUUUUAGGGAAUUAGAUUAAAUCAUGUAAAUACUAUUAUUUUUUACUGAUACAGCAAAAAUAUUGUUUCAGUAUGACAAAAUAGUUUUAAAUCUACGGUUUCAACAAGUACAAGAAAAAAGAUGUUUUCAUGCAAGAUUACUAUUUUUUAACACUUUUAACGAAAGAUAGUCCACUAACAAAGAGAUUUGGUCGGCAUAGACGCUUUUAACACUUAAGCCUUAUCUAUAAGAUAUAAGACUAUUCAAUGCCUUGAAAUAAAGUUCUAUAUAAAUCACGAAUCUAUUAUAUAUGGAGUAUAUAAGAAAAGGAUACAACUUAAUAUAUGAAAUUUUUUCAAAGAUACAUAAUCCGGAAUAUCUAUUUUCUUCUUGAUGAUUGUAACAUGCAACUUUAAACUAUGUAAAUAUCAUAUAUCAUACACAUAAAAAUAAUAUCAAUUGUUGACAUACAAAAAAUAAAUAAUACCAAUUGUGAAAAUACAAAUGAUAUAUUAGAUGGCAUAAAAAGCAGUAGAAAUACAAUUUAGAAAAUAAUAAGAAAAUAUAGUUGUUACCCUUUUUUCAAAAAAAAAAAAAAUAUAGUUGUUUAAUAAAGGGGUCACUGCUAUAACAGAAGAGAUAAAGUGUGAUGUGUUUUUAACAGAAAAGAAAAAUAAACAAAAGUGUGACUGUGUGUGGUGAGGUGUUCAACUGCUCAUGCACCAAAGCUCCCUAACGUGGUGGACAAAAAAGCCAUGGAACGGGGAUCACGUGAGCUCACUCUGAUGCUUUUACUCCUCACAUGAUAUUAUGAUAAGGUAUUUACAAAUAGUAGCGGUUCUGACCCAUCCUAGGGCCCAAUAGUAUUAGCCAUCUAACGUAUCUAAAAUGUUGAUUAGUAGAGGACAAUCAUGACUCAUGAGAUAGAUUGGAUGGUCUGUGUUUAUCUUUACGAAACUCACAAAUUUUACGGUCAAGUUAAACUGGUAGAAUCGUUGCAUUGACAGCUAAAUAUCGUUGCGGCUAUGUGGCCACAUCGGUCCAUGGGGUAUUUUUGGAGAUUUGGACCAUAUGGGGUCAUGUCAUUUCAUCUCCUACUUUUUGCUUGAAAUUGUUUUGGAGGGAUUCCAGCUUUUUGUUUCAUGUUUAUUACUGAAACGUACGGAGGAUCAUUGCUAACAUAAUUGCAUAAAGUUUAAAACAUACUUUCUUACCAACCUAUAUAUAGUACAAAUGCGCACAAUAUUUAACGCUAAGACCAUCUCCAAUGGCUUACUCUAUUUUCUUACUCUAAAAUAGAGUAACUCUAUAAUAGAGUUUGAGUUUGCUCCAAUGGUACUCUAUUUUAGAGUAGAAAAUAGAGUGAUGAACAAAAAAAAAACAAGUUACUCUAUAUUUGGAGUAAACCUAUUUUUCACUCUAUUAUAGAGUGAGAAAUAGAGUACCAUUGGAGCAUUUUUUACCCUAAACUCUAUUUUAGAGUGAAAAAUAGAGUGGGGUUGGAGAUGCUCUAAUUAGUAACAAAGGGAUUCUAUUUGUCUUUUACUUAUUUCUUAAAAAAGGUAUGAUACUUCUUUUUUGAACUGAAGGUCUGAUACUUUUUUUUGUUCAACGAAGGUCUGAUACUUCUUUAUACUUUUCUUGUCAAAGGUUUUGCAUUCUCUUUUCCAAUAUGAUAACAUUGAUUUAGAGAAUACAUUUGUUUUCAAUUGUGAAAUGUCAAUACGAACGUUUUACAAUGGAUCGCUUCGACCUUUCUGUGUGUGCUUCCUACAGUCUUCACACUGUUUCCUAUCCAAAACACCACCUCGUUUUCUUAUACAUGAAUGAUUUCACAAAAUUUGUUGUUUAUUAAACAAAAGGUUCUGUAAGCCCAUACUUUACUCUGGCCUGGGACCCAACAUGUUAAAUGUUAUUAGUUCAGGCCCAGAAUCUGCUCUUUCUCUUUAUAACAAGUGAAUUCGUAGUUGGGUGCAUCCGUGCAUGAGUGGGUUUGUGCGCAACAAACUCUACAAAAUUGUGAAGAAUUGAAGAGAACAUCCUCCUUAUUCCUCAAGUUCGACAAACUUUCCCAAGUUCCCAACUUAACCCCGAUAAAUACGAACGACUGUAGCCAGAACCAGGCCCGGUCCGUUGGUUUUUGGCGCCUAAAACCCAAUCCAACUAUAAAAAUAUUCCACCUAAAAAACGAAGUUGAGUUUCGAACCCCACCCUUUUGGUUAGCAGUGUCGACCACUACACUACAACUAACUUAAAAAAUGUUUUUGUUCUAAAAAUAUAUAAUAUAAUUUGGCGUUUAAAACAUGGGUUUUAUCUGCUUUAGCCCAGGACCGGCCCUGGCUAAAACCAAAAAUGGAUUUAAGAAACUUUAUUAUUUUAUAAUCAGAAGCCAGAUUGGAAGUUUACAUAACAUUCCAAAGUAUAACAUUUGUUAAAGUAAAAAAAAAAAAUUGUUAAAGUCAAGAAAGUUUUACCAUGCAAAAAAGUUCAAACAUAGCUGAUAGUGAUCAGAUUCAGAAGAUGAGUAAGGGCAUCCAUCCUCUCAUUGAAGGUUCUUCAACGUUCAAUUAAAGAAAUUCCCUCAAGAUGAUUUGGCAGUGCUCGAUGUAGACCACUGUUCAGUAGAUAGAGAUAUAUACCAUAACAGUGGUUAACAAGAAACAAUCAUUCCACAAGGUAACCUUCUCUUUUGUUAAGUAGGUUCCCUUUUCGGGAUAUGUAACUCUAUUUUUGGGAAUUUAUUUAUAGAUAUGGUAUAUGGAUCAAUUUCGUUGCUCCUCCUCUUAUCACACGAGUAGAGUGAUGAAAAGAGAGUUUGGCAGUCACGCUUGUAGACGGACACGUGGAAAGAAGAUACGCCCCAAUUGCAGCAAACAAACUCCGUAUAUAUCAGAAAAUGGUUUUACUACCCAACAAAAUAUCCUGUCUCAUCUGACCGGUGAGAUAAUCCAACGGUCCAGAUUGAAUCAGUACAAACCAUGAAACUGCCUGGGCUAGAGAGAGAAAUAAACAAACAGUCGACAAAAACCUCAGAGAGGUUCGUUCGUAUAACAGAAUCGUCAUCGUUCCUCGUGUCGCCGCCUUCUCUCCCUCCACCCAAUCAAUAAACUCCACGUGUCAGUAUUCCCUUUUCCUGUAUAAUAAUAUAUCCACCCAAGCACCAGAAGCAACGAACGUUGUCAUCUCUCUGAAAAUGGAGUCCUGUUAUGAGUUCGACUCGCUCUCUGAGUUACCGCCGCUUCCACAAGCGUACGCUCCCAUGGAGGAGUAUUAUCCUUACGACAUUGCUCCUCUCGAAUCCUUACCUCCCUUUCCUCACUCCGAUUUCGCUCCUCACGGCGGCUUGAUCACCUUCUCCGACGCGCACCAAGAGUAUCUCCAGCUCCAGAAACAACAACAACACUGCGCAGAACCGAUGUUCACAGACUCGUCUCUGUCGCUCGUCACUCGCGACUACCUCACCGAGUCGACUCGGUUCGAAAACCUCUUCUCCCAUGACGUUCCGUUUCUCUAUUUGCCAGAUCUCAAAUCCGUGGAAGACGCGAGGUCGCCGCCGCCGUGUCUCUCUCUCGCUCCUCCUCCUCUCCCGGUGGCUAGACAGCGUCACGUCCGCUCGCGAGUCAACAACACCUUCUCUAUCUCUUCUAAAUCUAAAGCUCCGGCGUGUCAGAAUGUUCAGGGUACAAGGAAGGUGUCAGACAGAAUCAGAUCGUUAGAGAAAAUCAUGCCGUGGGAGAAGAAGAUGAGUUUGGGUGCGACUCUCGAGGAAACGCACAAGUACAUCACCUUCCUCCACUCUCAGAUCGCUUCUCUCCGUUGGAUGCCUCUCGAUUCCGUCUACCCAACCAAACCCAGAGAAGAAACCACCAGUCUCCUCAACUCUCUGACGAGACAACAGCUUCUCCAGGUGCUUGCCAACUCUCCGGGGUCACGAAACGUGCUCUACAAGCAAGGUGUUUGCGUCUUCUCCUAUGAACAGCUUCUCUCCCUCAAGAUGAUGGCUCGUAACCUCUGAACACAAAAAGUGAAAACAACUUCCUCUGUUUUUGCUAACUUUGUUUUUUUUCUUUUGCUAAAUUAAUGGAGUUUGAUUCUCUCUUCAUUUUUCUUUUGCUAAAUGAUACUACUAGAAAGCUACAUUAAUGGAGUUUGAACACAAAACGAAAACGAUUUCAUCAUAGAACAAAAGCAAUCCAAGACGCUACUAUCAUCAUAAACAAAAGUUUCCAAGAAAAUCAUUUAACGGACUUCAUAGCGAGGAUGGCAGACGCAACGAGCUCACACUUGUCCUUGCACGCUUCGAGUUCCUUGAGAAACAAAGCCUCGCCUCUUUCAUUCAGCUCCUUGGCCUUCUCUUCUCCGAUAAGCUUGGCUCUCUCAUAAACAUAGUACUCUGGAAUCAAACCUUGAGCUACGCUUGUGCUCAGAAAACUCUUCAAAUAAGGAUAACGGAUCCAAAACUCCUCCUCCUCCUCCUCCUCUUCGCUACGUUUCGUCUCUGUUUCUGUUAUCGGCAGACGAAAUCAGAGAGGAUUAGAAAACGAGAGAGAGUGGUAAGAGUACCUUUUGCAGUGGUGAUUUCCGACUCCGACGGUUCGUCUUCCAUGGAUUCGUCAUAAGAUACUUCGGAGUCGCUGAAGUCUUCAUCGGAUGAUGAAUCAGAGUUGUUCGGGAGAUCAACAACCGGAACCGCCAUUGUUUUGGAGAUUUUUGGAGCUUUAAGGAAGUGAGAAAAUAGUGAAGCAAGGGGAGAGAGAAAUAUAUAUAAGUGUAUAUAAAUUGUGAUUUUUUUUUGUUUUAAUUUGUUCAGCUGUCGUUGAUUGAACCGGUUCUGAUUUUGAACAAACCAUAAUAAAAAAUCAAUGACCAUAGUAAACCGAAACAUGAACAAAGUAAUGCAACCGAAUUCACUCAAUAAAACAAGAUGUCUUUUUGAUGAUAUUAAAAAAUAAAAUAAAAAGCCAAAAGCUAAAUAGCAACAGUCAAAUAUUUCUUCCGAAUAAUCAAAGAUAAGAAUCCCAAUAAACAAAACAUAAAAUAAGUUGAAUUACUGAUUUAAUGAAUGAGCUAAAUGGUGUGUGUGUGUUUAGAUCUUCAUGGAGAGUAUGUGAUGUUAGAAACAACUUCAAAUUCGAUCUCCACUUUCAGAGAGCCUUGUUUGUCCAAGUAAGCCUCUUCAAGUUUAGCUAAAGACACAAAUUCAGACCAUCCCCAACCUGAGGUGUUCUUGUGCCACUGGUUAACUGCAAUAUACAAAAAUGUAAUCUCUAAUGAAUAUAUAUCACAUAGCAUAUAGUCUCAUUAACUGGUAACUAAAACAACGUUCUGACUUACGCUUCAAUGUCACGUGGUGGGAUCCAAACGGGUCGAGAAUUCGCAUAUCGCACUGCGUGUAAAUCUCCUCACCUGUCGUCAUUGUUUUAGUUUCACUAUCGGCUAAAUGGAGAAAGAGGGACAACCAUGUGGAACAUGUACUGUUGUCGCCUUUAGGAUACAACUUAAGCACCCUGUACAAAAAAAACAUUACACAUUGUUAAAGCAUAUAGCAAUGUGUUAAAUAAAAAAACUUCUGAUCAUUAAUUACUCACCAAUUCCUUCCUUCUAUUAAGAACUUGCUUGAUACGUAGCAAUGUUCUUUCAACUUAGAGAAUUUGUUGAGCGUCCAAGAGAACUUUUUAUUGGUGGGUUUCUGAGUAAAUGAGACAACUUCCCAAUUGGUAAGUGGAACCAUCACAUCAACACCAAACUCACAUUGAUCUCCAUCGUAGACAUAACCGUUUUUAGGAUCAUUGAAUGUAUCAAGGGGAAGUACUUGCGGAAACCCAUGCACCAAUCUUAAUGCAUUGAACUGCUUUCCUUCAACAUCUGGAUAUGUUACAUAAAUAUCAUCAAUCAACAUACAAACUUUUGUAUUUAUAUACAAAGAGAUAGAAUGGGGGUAUGGAGGUAAGAACCUUGAAUAGUAAAGUAUUUAUUUUCUUUCUUGUUGAAGAUGAAGAAGGUGAGAUACGCCAAAACAUUGGACGAGAGGCUUUUGCUAUCUAAUUCAACAUACAUUGAAAUAAACCCUGUCCCGUUGUCUUUCUCGUUUCCGUUCGGAUAUAUAACCAAUCUCCUGAUAUCACAACAAGUAUGAAAAUUUUAGUUCACUUUUCUAAGAAUAUAUUUGUAUUAUAUUAUCAAAUUACAAGACUAAAUUAAAUUACCAGUUGUAUUUGCCGGAAGAGAAGGUACGGGACUUGUAUCCGUCAGUACCAGAGAAGAGAGUUUUGAGUUGAGAGAGGCUUUGGAUCUUCAUGGAAUAGGUAGAAGGAGGACGAACUCCAAACUUGGUAAUGGUAGAAUCUGAAACAACGCAUGUCUUUUCUGUUUUCAACAUUCUGUUGCAGCUUAUGAGAGAGAUAUGGAGAGAAAGAGAGUCAAUUAAUUGUAUCGAGAAGGCAAAGUGAUCAAUCCUUGUUCGUUUUAUAUUAAGUGAAAAAAUGGAUCACAUCACAACUAGGAAAAGGAGUUCCUAUUUUGACUAGAAUAUCACAUCACAACUAGAAAAAGGAGUUCCUAUUUUGACUAAAAACUCGCGUCUUUGUUUGAUUUCCUAGUGGCAAACAAUACGCUUAUUAAAAUCCUUUAUAAUUAUUUUUCUUGUGCUUGAUCCUAUGUUUUUUUUUAUAUAUCAAACUUUUUUUUCCUCGUUUAUAUCAAACUUAGAGUAUGAAUGGUGAGCAGGAAAUGGUGAGGAAUAAUGCAUUCUCUAACGUUCCUAAAAAAUAUCACCAUUCAUAAAGAAUAAUUUUUCUUUUUCAUUCUCUAACAAAUUAAUUCUUUGUGAAAUAUGGGAUGGAACAACCAUUCGUUUUCAUUUUUGCAAUCAAUUCUAUUCCUCUACGUUCUUUUCCUAUUCAUUCCUCUUGUUUCCAGAAUGAACAUCAAUCCGACAUUUACUCACAUUUAAAGAUUUGAGAUGAUCUGGAAAAUAAAACUAAAAUCUAACAACCAGUAAAAAAUAAUUCUCGAUUUUUUAGCAUUUUUACCAUAAUAAAUCUACAGUUUUGGUAUUCGCCCUAGAAACAAAGAAUAUGGUGAAAGUAUAGAAACAUUUUCUUAGCCUCUGAAAUUCGUUUAGUUUCAUCAAAAUUGUGCCAAACAUCAAGCGUCACUGUAAUCACUUUUGGACUAUCUGUUCCAAAAUCUUACACUGUUGAGUGUUGGAGUAUACACUACAUUGCCAAGAUGAGAACUUCAAGUUUUGAAUGGAGUGGAGAUAGACGCAGAUGUUGAUUACGAGCACAUAUGAAUACCUCCAUUUUUGUUUUCCUAAAUCCAACCAGAUCAACUAUAUUGUGAAAACUAUGCCAAACCAUCUAUUAUACAUAUAUUUCUUAAGCUUUAGAUGAGUGUAAAUUGUUGGCCAUUUUUUUGUUAAAUAGUCGUAUCACCACCAUUGUAUGCAUCAUGCCAAACUGAAUAUUCCCACUCUGCAUAUCGAACAAUUAAUGUCUAAUGGGUAUCUGUUAAUUCGUUUGAAAAUUUUGUUGUUACGUGAUUUUUAACUUCAUGAUCUUCUCCUUUCCGCUUCUUCUUUCCACAUCAGGACUUUACAAUCGAACGAUUGUAUCUAACCAAAUGUAGAUUGGAAGUUUCAUAUAUCUGACAGUUUAACAUUUGUUAUACUCAUGACACGGGAAUCUUUACAUUCUAAAAAACCUUACCAUCAAAAUAAGUUCAUAUAUAGCAAAUAGUAAUCAGAUCAGAAGAUGACCAACGUUAGACUCUAACAAAUUUAAUGAAGUGUUCAUGACUUUUAAUGAAGUUUAUGUUAAUCCUUUUCAUUUCAUACUAGCUGGUCCUCCCGUGCUUAUACACGGAUAUAAACAUUUACAAAAUAAUUAACUUAUACUAAUGGAUAAAUAUUUUUUCGUUUAUUUGUAAGUUAUAAGUCAUUUUGUAAUUUUAUGUAUGAUAAAUAAAUAGAAAUGUAUUAAGUAUCAUUAUGUUUUCAUCUUAAUUAGAUAUAUGCUUUCAAGUAUAAUAUUUUGCAUUAGUUGUCUUUGGUAUAUUGAGUUUUAUCUAUUCUUUUAAAUUGAACAAUGAUUUUUUUUUGUUGUUUUUGUUUUAACUAGGUUAAAAUUAGAUUAUUGUUUUCCUAAAUUCAGUUAGUUCUGUUUAACCUAUUAUAUAUUUUUUAAUAUUUUGUAAAACAAUUUGAUAACAUUGUUUGGGAAAAUGUAGUAAACAAAAAUAUUGAAUCUGUGUUGUAUUAAUAAACAUAACUUGUAAAUUUUAAAAAUAUAGAUAAAUUUCUUGGAAAAAUAUAAAGAAAAAGAGAAAUAAAUUAGUAUAUAUAUUAUCUAUGUUUUAUAUCUUAUAAAUAUUUAUUCUUUUAUAUUUAUGAGUUUUGUAAAAAUAAAUUUAAAUUAAAAAUAUAAGUAAUAAUUUUUUGUCAGCCAAAUAAUUAAAUAUUUAUUAAAAAAGAUAUAAAAAUUGUCAGUAAUUGUAGUUAAGUAUAACUUUAAUUUCAUUAAAUUAUCUGUAUAGUUAAAGUUUCUAAAAAAAUAUGAUAUUCGAUGACCAAUCUAUGUUGUUUAAAACUUUUUUUUUCAGUCAUUUGAUCAAAAAUAUAUCCAUAAUAAUAUGUUAUUAUCUCAUAAAAAGAAUGACUGAUUUUUUAUUUUGUUUUGCGAAGUUAUGUUAUGUUAUAUAUAUAUAUAUAUAUAUAUAUAUAUAUAUAUAUAUAUAUAUAAGUCUAUAUAUUUUUUAAGUUUUUAAAUAUUUCCUUUUUUAUUUGUUAUUUGGGAGAAUAUUCAAAAUAAUAAAAUUAAAUUUUUUCCUUUUUAUGAUUUAUGUACUUUUGUAAAUAAAGAAAAAAUAAUUAAAUAGUUAACUAAUAUUGUAUUAUGAAACAAUAAUUCUUAUUACAUAUUAAUGGCAAUCAAAUUUGAUAUUUUUAGUUCAUUAAGGAAACCUAGGUAACUAACCGUUUUGAUAAUUAAUGUAAGUGCAAAACGUAAGAAACAAAUCUAUACUAUUAAAACAGAAUCUCUACUAGGAUUAUACUCUUGAUUUUAGAGUUAUUUACAAUACUAUGCCAUUCCCUUAUUUAGAUUUUUUUAAAAAUUAUUUUUGAACAAAAAUUAAAUACACGUUAAUACCUAUUUUGAAACUUAAAUCUUUACCAUAUAUACUAUAUUCUCUCAUAUAUCUUAAGAAUAUUCCAAAAGAAAAAAAAAGUUAAACACUCUAAUAAUUCUCCUGUAAGACUGGAAUAUAAAAUAUUUGCUGCUUAAUAUUUUUUUUGGUGCAAUCGUUAUAUAAUGUAUUAAAUAUAAUUACAUGACAAAAUAUUUAUGUGAUCUACAGCCUAAUCAUUUACUGUUCUUUCCUACAAUUGAUUAAUAACAUCAUUGAAAUCAUUAUUAUCAUUUUUAAACUUGAUUAUAUUUCAAUGAGUAUACAAAUUGUAUACAACAUACUCAUCAAAUAAAAACCUAUAUAAAUCGACCAAAAGAUCCAUGUAUUUAUAAGUCAUCUAUCAUUUAUGAUUAUGUUGUAAUGAGUCGUAAAUGAGAUGAGUCUAAUUUUAUAAAUCUUAAUUUUCAGGUUAAAAAAAUUUAUACGGUAACAAUAUAUUGUUACAAAAUAUUUGUUCACAAAAAGAAAAAGAAAAAACAUAAACUUAUUUUUUAAAACUUAUUUUUUAAAAAAUUGUUAUAAGCAUCGAAAAAAUAGUAAACAAUAUUGUAUUUAAACUAACUGAUGAUAAUUCUAGGUAGAUGGAACAUGCACAUAUUUAUAUAUAUAAAAUAUUCACAAAACAAAAACUAUUGUUACCAUCAAUUGAAAAAUGGAAAACAAACACAGGCCUGUUCAUUCAAUUAACUAAUCGAAAUUGAAUUAUGAUAAUUUAAAAUUAAUCCGCAAGCUCAAAUAUAAUUAAAAUAAUAUAUUAUAAAAUUAAAAAACCAAAUAAUAGUGAAACCAUACAUAUAAGAAAAUAUAAAGUAUGAAAUUUUAUUAUACACAAUAAUAGGUUAUUUAUAAAAUUUUAAAAUUAGAUUUUCAAACUGAAAAAGUCCCGUGCUUUCAAAGCGCGGGUAAAAAUCUAGUUUCUCAAAUAAAACUAUUAAAACCCGAAAUUCGGUUAGUGAAACCAAAUGUUAACAAAUUAUUAAAAAAAAAAUCAUGAAUUAUUUAUAUAAAUGCAUAAACUUUCAAAAAGAUUAUGAGUUAUGUUCCACACAGAGGCGGAUCCAAAAUUGUUUUUGGUAUGGAGCACAUAACCAAGUUCUGGUAGCAAAUGUUGAGUUUAAGUGAGUAUUUAGAUAGUUCAGUACUAAUUAUCAUGGGAGAAAAAUAAUUUAGUGCCUCACCCCCUUAGCCUCUAGGUCUGCCUCUGUGUUCACACAACUCCAAACCGAUAGCAGUUUCAUGCUGCUUUCCUAAAAUAAAUAUAUCAUUACUUGUUUUUACGAAAUAUAUCAUGCUUCCAAGACAAUAAACCAAAUUAAAUAUAACUAAUAGUAUUAAUAUGAUUUUAGCCUAUUUAUAAUCAUUUUAUGGUUCAGUUGAAAUAAAUAAUUACAAUCUAAUAUGUCCCAAAAAUAAUUGAACCUAUCAAAAUGUUUAUAAGCAAAAGCAGAUGUUUGUUUAAAAAAUCUUCUAUUUGUUUUAUACAUAUUAUUUACAAAAAUAUCUUACACUUAUAAAAUAAAAAUAUAACAAUUAGUUAUUAUAAAUUAUAUAUUUUAUAAAUUAUUAUAUGUGUGCAUGAGCACCAGAGAACCAUUUAGUCUUAUAAUACAUUUAAACUCGGGUUGUGGGUACAUUAACCAUUGAAAAACGUCAACGGUCCAAAACCGCUUCGAUUUCACCAUAAUUGGCGUACGAAAUCGAGGGAUUUUAAAAUCCUGUUUUUUCUAGUUUUAAGUCUGCAGUCGACUUUUCUUUUUAUGUAGACCAAAAAUAGUUAGAUGCAAACUGUAAAUAAAAUGAUGCAUAUAUUAGACCAAAAAAAAUGAUGCAUAUGUUUAACUGUUAAAGAAAUGAGAGACGACAAUUUUUACUUUUAGGGCAAGAAUCUAAGUAUGAGGAAAGAAAAGAAAGUACAAUGAUUCUGAUAUCCUUCAAUAAACUAAAAGGACAAACAGUUAAAUAUAAUUAUUAGAGACUCAAACCUGCGACCUUAAUUCAAAAAUUCCUGUUUGAUCUCUAUACAAUAUCCAUCUUCUUGUUUCGAUGCAAGAUUCCAUCCGAAUGCGUACCACAGUCCAAAUACAACGUUGUUUGUUUUGCUUUCACCUGAGAGUAAUUAUAAUUAACAAAUCACACCGACAAUUAAAUGAAGUGAAUAUCUGUAACCAGAACGAGAACGAGUCAGCUCUAAUAGUAAGAGAGUUGCGGUUAUAACUUUCGCCAUCCAAAUUCAAUUCAUACUGAAAGAAACUAUUUACAAUGUUUAAAUUCUUAACAAAAAGAUGAAAACACUUUUUUAACCAAAAAAAUGAGUACCUGUAAUUUGGGGGACGAGUAAAACACUAAAAUCAAUAUAACCCAAACUGAUUUCAGAUUCUCUAAACCAUUAAAGCAUACAUACUUAUGGAGAACGAAAUAAGUUUUAAUUCAGUAAUGAAUAUUAUAACUUGAUGGGUUCUUUUUUUGUCAUCUGUGUAGUAUAACUACUUUGUGGUUAAUUAAAAGAAUCACAUUUGAUUAGAAAAUCACUCACUCUGUUGUCAGGUAAGUGGUAACUAUGAUUCCCAUUGGUGGAGACGUGGAAUGUCAGCAACCUCAUCAUUCAUUGGACAUAUAUAUAUUGUUGUCAAGUCAAAAUAUUUAUGUACUCUAUCUAUUUUUUUAUACGUUCUGUUUAAAAUAAAUAUUUUUGUUACAAAAUAAAUGAUAUUUUUACUACGCUAAAUAAAAAUUUAUGUCAUUUGAAAUUUGUAAUCAACAACAAAAUAAUAUAUCUUCUUUUCAUUGGGUAAACUAGUUUUAUUUAAUACUGUUAUAUAAUCAUAAUAAAGUGUAUAAAAAUUGAUAAAAUCCGUUAUAUUGAAACAGCAGGAGUAAUACACAAAUAGUCAAACAUAAUUAUCGGCUUCUAUCGUUGAUUUGACUAGCACAAACUAAAAAACCCUGUCUUCAAACAAAAUAAAAACUUGUUGAUGUUCCGCACCUUGUGCGGAUUAAUAUAUCUAUAUACCUAACAAUUUUUAAUUAUAAUAUUUAUUUUUAUAAAAUAAUAAUAACUAAAUUAGAUACAAAAAUUAAAUUAUUAUAAAUUAUAAAACUUCAAUAUUCAUAUUAGUAAUCAAUGUACUAAAUUAUGUUUUAUUAGAUCAAAAUCUUUUCUAUAGUAAUAAUUAAAUUAGGAAAUUUGUAUUUGAAAUUAAAUACAUGUAGUAUUUGGACUGAAAAUAAAUCAUGUGGUACUGGAAAGGAUUAUAAAAAAAUCACAACUAUAAAACAUUAAUAAAAUAAUAAUAGUCUAGGAGUAAUCUGGCAAAACCGAACUAUUUUAAACCAAACCAAACCGAAAUAGGGAAAACGGUCUUGAUUUGGUAGUACCGAGUAAACAAAAUGGAUGUUAUAUUUAAGAAACCGUAGUAUAUGAAUAUGGUUAAGUAUAUUAAGCGAUCAAACCGAAUAAACCAAAGAAACCGGUUAAUUCAGAUAUAUUAAAAUACUUAUAUAUAAAAUUUGUAUUUCAUCAAUAUUUCCUAUAAAAAUCAAAGAAAUGGCUAUAAUAUUAGUCAUUAAAAUCAUAAAUUAAUAUAAGAUAAAAGUAAUUAUUAUAUCAGUAGAUGUUGUUAAUAUCAAUUGUUAAUAUCUAUUUAUUAAUUAAAUGUCCUAAAUAUCAUGAUAACUAUAUACUAAAAAUAUAUAUAUUUUAAAUAAUAGUAUAUAUAUAUAUAUCAGUAGAAUAGUUUAAUGUUUAUUAAUUAUCUUUAAUAUCAUGAUAAAUAUAUAGAUUUUAAAAUAAAAUUUUAAAAUAAAAAUUUAAAUUAUAAUAUUAAUUAAACUAAUAAUUUAUUCUAAAAUCAUGAAAAAAUGACAAGUAAGCAAAUUAACUAAAAUCAUGGAAAAAUGAUAAGUAAGCAAGCUUUUAAAUAAUAAUAUUAAUUAAACUAAUAAUUUAUCUUAAAAUCAUGGAAAAAAGACAAGUAAGCAAAUUAAAAAAAAAAAUUAUAGAAAAAAUGACAAAUAAGCAAAUUCACUUCUCAAAUAAUAGUAUUAAAAAAAUUAUUUAGACGCCACUAUUUUAUGUGAAUACUAAACACAUAAAGUCCAAAUUCUCGAAAGAUAAAUUUAUUUGAAAUUUGUGGUUAUUAUAUUUAGUUAUCACAUUGACCUGUUCAUCACAUUGACUCAGCAUAGCACAUGUAACCAAUAUCCUCGGCUAGUUAUCCGUUGAUGUUUGAAAUCUUUUAAUCAACAACCACUCAGCAUCUUAUACGAUUCUCCUAUACUUUAUGCAUGAAAUUAACAGUUUACAUGAAGCUUAAUAGUCAAUUUGAUUUUUUUUUUUUUUUUUUGCAUUAUACAGAAGUAUCAUGGCUCCACAGAAGUGAUCCAGACUAGUCACGUGUUGCCACGUGUCGGUCCUCUGUCCCUGGCGAUGCCGAAAUGUUAAUUUUCCAGUAGCCGAGAUUCAAACCCAGGUGGCGGUACUAGUUAAUUUGAUACGUAAUAAGAAAAAGUAAACUUAUAGAAAACCCAUAGGACUUCUUCAAAAAGAAGAGAGUAUUCCGGUCGUAAUUACAAUUAUACGAUGCAAUUUUGAUGUCUUUUUAAUACACAACUAGAUUUUGACCCGCGCUUUGAAAGCGCGGGAUAAUAUUUUGAUUAAAUUUUGAUAAUAUUUUGAUUAAAUUUUUUUAUUUAACAGUUACUAAGUUCUGGUCUGAAUUUUAUUUUAUUUGAGUUUUGACAUACUUAACCGAGAGUAAUUUAUUUUAACUUUUCAUAGUGAUAGGCAUUCAGGUUUAAGGUUCGUCUCAGUUAGGGUUAUUCAGUUUUUAAGUUAUUGGGGUUGGGGUGUUAGGACCCGUUUAGGAGAACCAUGCAUUUUUUGAAUUAGAUCAAUUCGGGCGAUCUAUAGUUCGAGUCGGGUUUUUAUUUUUUAUUAAAACCGAAGUAAGCCGAAUUAAAAUAGUUAGGCUUUAAUUUGGAUUUAAAGCAAAAAAAUACAAAAAACGCAAAAAAAACCCUGAGUUAAACUGAAAACCAGGUAAUUCAUGUAAUUUGGGAGGAGGGGGGGGUGGAUAUUUUUUUUGGUAAAUUAUAUUCUAUACAGAUAUAAAUUAAGAGAAAAAGACUAUUAUAGCACCAAACUAAGUUUUUGUUCCCAAAGUAGCACUCAAGUCUCAAAGUCACAAAAAUAGGUUUCAUUAAAGAAGUAAAUAUACACUUAUACCCCUUGGGUUAAUUAAUCCAAACCUUAGGGUUUAGAGUUAAGGGGUGGGGUUUUGGAAUUAGGGUUUAAAAUUUUAUAAAAAAUAAAUUCUAAAAUAAAAAAUAAAAAUUUUAAAAACAGUUUCAAAAAGUAUUUUUAAAUUAUAAAAACAAAAUUUGAAAAAAAAAAUAAAAAAAAAUUUCAAAAAAAAAUUAUAAAAAUAUUGAAUCUGAAAACAUAUAAUCUGAAACUAUAAAAAAAAUUUCUUUUUAUUUUAUUUUUAUUUUAUUUAUUUUUAUUUUUUUUUUUUUGUUUAUUUAAUUUUAAACCAAGGGUAUUAGGGAUAUUUUACCCUUUAAUGAAUGUCAUUUUUGUGACUUUUUCCUUCUAGUGCUAUUUUUGAGACAUAAACUUCAAAAGGUGCUAUUAUUGACAAUUGCCCAUAAAUUAAUAUUAUAUUAUGUUUAAUAUUUGGAUACCCGUUUGAUUUUCAGUUUGGUUUUAGCUCUUUGGAUUUAGAAAAAUGGGAACCAUUCACAUUUCUGUAAAUCACGGUUACAAAUGGGAUGAUUAAAUAAUAAAUAAUGGGAUGAUUAAAUAAUAAAUACUUUCUCAAUAUAUAGUAUAGAUUAUCAUAUAAUAUGUAUAUAUAUAUAUAUAUCUGAAAUAAAACAUAAUCGAAUAUAAUUAAAAUAAGAAUUUUUCGGAAACUUUCAACUAAAAGUCUAUUGAAUAAUACAAUAUAUUUUAUAUCUUAGUGUUUAAAAUAUUUUAUAAUUUUAAAUCUAAAUAUAAUCAAUAUUUUUAGGUAUAUAAAGUGUAUUUAUUAUAUUUGGGUAUAAACCGUUCAGAUAUGUGUGAACACUGAUUAAUUUUUGGUUUUGUUAUUUUUUGUUUGGUUUCACUUUUUUUGGUUCUGUUUCAGUUCGUUUUUGGUUUUCAGUUUAUACGCUGAAGCAUAAAUUUGUUGGUAUAAUCUUUUUUUUUGUGCAUUUCAAAUAAUUGAUUUAUACUCCCUGAGUUCUAAAAUAAUCGAUAGUUUAGAGUUUGUUUCAAAAAUAUAUUAUUUAUCUUUCCAGUGUAUUUGUUACUAAAUAAUAAUGGUAAAUUGUAAACUUAUUUAUUGAAUUUUGAUUGGUUAAAAAUUGUGUAAAAUAGUUAAUCACAAAAAUAUGCAUUUAAUACUAAGAUUUAAUAUGCUUUAUUAUGAAAAUCUAAAAACAUGUAACAUUUUGAAACAGAAUAAGUAUUUAUUACUGUUGUCAUUUUUAAAACAGUGAUUUCUUAGAAUACAUGACUGGUUUUUUCUUGGAACAUUGAUAUCAUAAAAAAAUGUUAGGUAUGAUACUAUUUAUUCAUAUAGCUUACGCAUAGAUUUCUGGAACUGCACAAAAUACUAAUAGGAUUAUAAUUGUAGGAGAUUAUGGAAGUUCCUAUAUUUUGUGGAUGGUAAUAUUUUCUAAGAUACUAACAAAAUUCGUGGAGUUUCAAACAUGUCUCCAUAUUUACACCAGAUAUAAAUAUGGGAUAUAUUUAAUUUUGUUGGCUGAUCAAAGCUUAAACCAUAUUUCUCAUGGUUCGUAUUUAUCAUGUUACUCAUUUCAUCUAGCAACAGAUUCAAAUAAGUUGGAAAUCAAUGUUGCCUCAUCUAUAAAAUUUUGAAAAGUAUGUUUAUAUAUCAUUGUAGUCCGUGGAAAGAAACAUUGUUUCCUAUAAAGUUAAUAGGGAAGAAGGUUUAUGAGAAACUAUAAUAUAAACAAUGUUAAUCAUGGGUAAAUGUGAAAAAAAUUUGAAGAGAAAAGUAUAGCUCGAUCGCUUGUAGGUAAACCAUAUUUACAUUUUUUUCAUUUUUUUUCAACAUAUCAUUUAUAAAGCUCAAAAUCCAGGAAAUGAGUACAAAGUUGCUAGUUGACAAAAAAAAGAGUACAAAGUUGCUAUGUAAGAUUAAAAGAAGAGAGUACAAAGUUGUUAAGUCUAGAGGCCAGAAAUGCUUUUAAAACACAUGAGAACCACUAACCAAAUCUGUUUUGGUCUACCGGCGGAAGUCCUCCCUGAAAUCGAACCACUGGUGAUGUCUUCGUUUCUUCCGUAAGCCGCGAUCUUCCGUAGCCUUGUACUCCCAGAGCAACAUCUCUUUUGCUCAUAAUAAAUGCUUUUGGACUGAAGAACUUGACUCGCCAGUGAUCAAAACACAGGAAAAUCUGAUAGAUCUAAAGAGAGACACAUUCUCGGACCGCUCCCAUCGGAGAAUGCCAGCCUCUGAUUCUCACCUGGGUCAAAAAACCAACUCCAAAUCCAUUAAAUUUCUUCCAAGCAGAGAUAUUUUACUCAUAAGCCGAGCAAAGACCGAUACUCAUAUGAAAGAAAUAUAUUUAUAGCCAUAGAUGAAGCACAUUGAACAAAAGCAAAGCCUAACAAAAGCAGAUUAAAAUACUAAAUAGAUUCAAGAAAGAGAAACUAAAUAUAAUCCAUCUAAAUAGGGAAGUUCAUAUAUUAAACAUAGUUAAAAUAGACGAUAGGUAGUAAAUAUAGCUUAUAUUUUCGUCUGUAAAAAAAAGACGCUAAAGUUCACAUAUUAAAUAUAGUUAAAAUGGACGAUAGUUAGUGAAUAUAGCUUACAUUUUCAUCUGUUAAGACCAUCUCAAGAGAAUAACCAUUUUUGAGAUUGUUUGACUUCCAUGUAUGAACCACUUUCACCCGAACUCUCCAUGCAUAUUUGAAAGGUUUAACAUCACUCAAGUUACUGAUUUUGAUAACAGAAUUCAUAAGUGUAGAUCAGGGUAUAGAGCGUUUGAAGGUUUAGAAUGAUUAUAUUUGUUGUGUUUGAUUCGAUAUUUAUAUAUUUCUUAUCGCUAGAAAAUUAAUAGGAUAGUAAACAUAUUAAAAUUGUUUAUAAUUAGAAAUAUUCUAGGGAUAUAGAUUAUUCGAGAUAUAUUAAGUUACAACAAUAUACUAUUUUUGGUUUUCGAGAUCUAUUAAGUUACAACAAUAAAAUCUUAUUGUUAAUCAGUUACAAAAAUAAAAUAUUAUUGUUAAUCUCAUUAUUUUAUAGAAAUAUAAGAAUUUUGUAUAUACAAAUGUAUUCAAAAGAUGUUAUUUUUUAUACCCAACUGUUAAAAAAUCAACUUAAUAUUUUAAAUAAAGUCAUGAAUUUAAAAAAAAAACAGACCAUAGCUAGUUUAUAGUUUCGUCUGUAUCUGAAUAAGCAAUUGUUAGUGUUGAAGCUUGCAGAGAAAAGAAUUUUGAUAAUAUCAUGAAUUAUAGCCAAAGUAAAAAAAUCUAAUCAAAACCAAGCAAACAAACUAAAACACUAAGUUCGUGUAUAAAAUAUUGUAGCUCGAGGAACAUGUUGUCGUUGGUUUUGUGUGACCAACAUUUUCAAUUCUCGUUUGAUUCUUUGACCUUGUAUUCCCCUGUUUGAGUCAAAGCUCUAUAUUAUUAUAUUUCUCUGUUUUCUGUAAACUUUCCUCUAAAGCAUAGAUAUAUACAUAGUUGGUUUGCACGCACAAAUUUACAAAAACCGGGUUAACCAAAGGUUAUAAACAUUCGAUAUAUGUUAAUUUAUAUAGCAAGGAUAGGAAAGUUAUAUUUAAAUUAUAAUUACAAUGGUAAAUUUACUAAAGUAGUGGAAAAAGAUCACACGGAUUUAGGAGGUGGUUAUCUGAGAUUUAUGGAAAAUAAAAUAAAAAAGAAAACAUUUAAUUAAAAUCAUAGCUUAAAAAUAAUUUAGUGGCAAUGUCUUGUAAAUAUUGUUGAAACAGGAGGGACUUCAAAAAAUAGCCUUCUGUUUUAAUAGUAUUGAUGAUUUAGUUUUUUUUUUCGUUUCCCAUCAUCUAUAUUUAAUAGAUGUUUGCCCAGAAAAUUAGAAAAGUAUUGAUGCAGUGCAUCUUCGUCGGUUUACUUCAUCGGUUUAGUUCCAAAACCGAGUUGGGUUUUAUUUCAUUAUUUGUGUACGAUUUCAUGUUUAUCUCAUAGUUUUGUUUUUCCUUGUUAGAUAUUAGAUAGAUAAACGUCUGAUGAGUCGGUAGCUAGGGAUUUGUUUUAGCUCUUUAUAAAACAACACCAUAUGAUGUAAAAGAGUCACGUUUUAUAAUAAUAUAAUCCAGAGCUUUUCAAGUUCAUCUUGCUUGAUUUUUUUUUUUGACUAAAGUUCAUCAUGCUUGUUUAUCGCCAUUCUUGUAAUCAACGGUAUUCUGUGAGAAUCAACGAAUCUCUUACGAAGACUUACGCUGCUUAUAAAGUUGGAUAUCUCCGUUUGAAAUAAUUGAACAUGUCAGCAUGUACUCACUUCUAAAAUCCAUUGACUUUUGUGGAUUGAAGGCUGCAAUCAUUUACAUAAAAAUAGCUAUAAGCCAAACAUGCUUAUUAUUGAUAAGGGGGCCAAACAAGCCACACCAAAGAACUCGCAAAGAAGAACUUAAAUUUUAUUGACUCAAAACUUUAUUCAAACAGCAAGCACACAAUAUAUGCCUAUACGUAUGUCAUUGACACCAUUAUAAUUUAGGACCAUGUUUGCCUCUGGACCACUUUUAAUUUGGACCUCUAUCAAACAAUCUUAACAAAAGGGUAAAUUUCAUACCGAACGUUACAACUCCCACCCACAACUCUCCCUCCUUCUUUACCGUCGCAGCAGUUAGGAAGCUCCCCGAUAAUCCCAUCCAAACAUGCCUUGCAACUCUCACUCCUCAAGUCUCUCGUACACUGCACUAAUCCGUACAGCUUCUUUUCCCCUAGACUCUUCUCCCCUGUGGCAAACAGCUUCUGGUGGCCUCCAGCAGUUGCUUUCUUCGUCAGGUCAGUUAAAAUAGCUUUGGUCUGCGUGUUGAAUGAUGCUGGAUUGCUCACGUUGUUGACGUUGUACAGAUAGAACCUGUUCUCGUAAUCAAUCUUUCCGAAGAAAUUGGUCGAUGAAUACUUGACUAGACAGUUGUCGUACCAUAUUAUUCCUGCCUUGUUAUUCGGACAUCUCUUACGUAGCUGUCAAAUAACACCAACAUUAAAUAUACACAAACUCGAUCGUAUAAUACUCUUUCUAUUCCAACUCUAAGAUACCUUUGUUUAUUACUUCCUUUGUUACACACAACGUGUCGUUUAUAGCUAUUAUUUUUGUUGAAAAGAAAGUCUGACAUUUUCAAAACUCUCUUAUUCAAAGCUAAUAAAAUUUAACUUAUAUCAUAAUAUAGUUAAUAGUAUAUAUACUCCUGUAUCGAGUAAUAAAAGUUCUUAAAUAAAUCUUUUGUUAGUGUUCAAAAAGUUUUAAUUCAAGGAAUUUUUUUUUAACAUUUGAUAUGUUUGUUAAUUAAGGUACGACUAUUACGAUAUAGUUAUAUCUAUAUUUGUGUAUAUCCAUAUUUCCUAUUCUACAUCUUUACAUUAUUCCAAUUAGGUUUAGGAGAUAUGCUUAUGCUUCUGAGAUGUACCCACAACAUAUAAAUGUAUUUAAAUACAAUAUAGUAAGAUUACCUCGGGGAUGGCUGUUGCCAGACAGGUUCGGCAGUCAGAAGGGGAGGCGUCGCCGCGGCAUAGGCCCAAACCAUUGACGUUGUCAGGUUUGUUACCAGUCGAGAGAGCGGCAAAACCGCUUGAUGGAACACUGUAAGAGAGACGAGGAAAGAGACUGUUGAGGUUUGACUCGUACGGACUCCUCGAAGUGAAGUUCCCUUCAAUGUCAGAACACUUGUGGUAGAGGAACGCAUUGUCCUGACUUUGGGACAAAACGCUGUGUAUAAAGAGAAGUUGUAUGGCUAAAGCCAACAGAGAGAGUGAAACGCUGCGUUUAGACGAGGAGGAUGAAGACAUUGUUUUAGGAAUGUCGAUACUAGUUUUUUUUCUGGUAGGAGUAAUGUUGAGGUUCAUAUGGAUUAUAUAGUGCUGCUGAAUGAUCGUCGGUUUUGGGUGGUCUUUAAGUUAUUUAUUUAAUAAUAUUAUUAGAAGAGUUGAAGUGUUCAGUUUUGUACGGUUUGGAUUAGGGCGUAUUCAAAGCUUGAGAAUGGAUGUUUCUUUUCAACCAAAAAGUCAAUUUAGAUGAUUUGGCCUCAUCAGAUUCUAGAAUAAAAUAAAAAUGUGACGGUGAUGAAAAAGGGAGUUGACGCUUGGUAUUGAGGCCACGAGUGGGUCGAUGAACAUUCAAAACUUUGACUAAGUGUAACUCUUAAUACGUCCGGUGCCAACCUAACUUGAUGACAUACUAAACGAUGUUGAGGAUGUGUGUUGUUGACUUUCUAGAAACGAAUUUUUAUAGGGACACAGCAUAAAAUAUAGAGAAUAUAUAUAUGUAUCUUUUUUUUUAUCAAAAGUAUAAAAGUAUUUUAAUUCAUUUUUUUGGUCAUUUAUAUAAAACCAUAGAAACUUGAUAAACCAAUAAUGUAUAUCUAUCUAUAUAUUAUUAUAAAAGAGGAUUGAUCUCUCCAGGUGAAGCCACGUAGGCGGACACGUCAUAAAGUCGGCUUCUAUAAACAUGACAUGUAUCCUCUAAUUUAAAACGUUCCGUUUCACUAAUUUUGUGUUUCGGGGUGAUUUGAGCUUUAUUUAGAUAGACGUACAUUUCGUGGAAGUCCAUAUUUCGUUCGUUUGUUUUUUGUAUUGAUUUUACUAGUGGACUUGAAUUUUUUUUACGGAUAGGCUUUGAUUUACAUUAUUUGGGCUAAAAAUCAACAAAAAAGUAUUUCAUUUCACGCUCCUAUCCUCUUCUUACCUUCUCUUUAUCACGAGCGUUGAUCAUUGGUUUCUAGGGUUCAUCCUCUACUGCAAUCUCUGGUUAUGUCAACCAACGAUGGUGGUUUUUAAAGGUUUAGAGAAAUGAAACUUCCUGAGUAAUCAAUGCUUCAAUUUAGGUUCGUGUCGUUUAGUCUUAGAUUCAUCUUCUCCAAUACGUUACCGGAAGUAUUGAUGCAUUGCCAUUAACAACCAUUUCACAUUCAGUGCUUUUUAUCUGAGAAAGGCGGUGAAAUCUAUUAUUAUAAAAAAAGGUUUGAUCUCUCCUGGUGAAGUCACGUAGGUACACGUCAUAAAGUCGGCUUCUAUAAACAUGACAAGUGUCCUCUGAUUUAAAACGUUCCGUUUCGUUUCAUUAAGUUUUGUGUUUCGAGGUGAUUUGGGCUUUAUUUAGAUAGACGUACAUUUCGUGAAAGUCCGCAUUUCGUUUGUUUAUUUUGUCUAUUGAUUUUACGAGUGGGCUUGGAUUUUUUUUAUAGAUGGGCUUUGAUUUACAUUAUUUGGACUAAAAAUCAACGAAAAAGUAUCUCAUUUCAUGCUCCUAUCCUCUUCUCUCAUUCUCUUCUUCACGAGCGUUGAUCAUUGGUUUCUAGGAUUCAUCCUCUACUGCAAUCUCUGAUUAUGUCAACCAACGAUGGCGGUUUUGAAAGGUUUAGUGAGACUAAACUUCCUGAGUAAUCAAUGCUUCAAUUUAGGUUCGUGUCGUUUAGUCUAAGAUUUGUCUUCUCCAAUACGUUACCGGAAGUAUUGAUGCAUUGCCAUUAACAACCAUUUCACAUUCAGUGCUUCUUAUCUGAGAAAGGCGGUGAAAUCUAUUAUUAUAAAAAGGGUUUGAUCUCUCCUGGUGAAUCUACGUAGGUACACGUCAUAAAGUCGACUUCCAUAAACAUGACAUGUGUCCUCUGAUUUAAAACGUUCCGUUCCAAUAAGUUUUGUGUUUCAGGGUGAUUUGGGCUCUAUUUAGAAAGACGUGCAUUUCGUGGAAGUCUAUAUUUCGUUCGUUUGAUUUUACGAGUGGGCUUGGAUUUUUUUUACGGAUGGGAUUUGAUUUACACUAUUUGGGCUUAAAAUCAAUGAAAGGGUAUCUCAUUUCACGCUUCUAUCCUCUUCUCACCGUCUCUUGUUCAUGAGCGUCAAUCAUUGGUUUCUAGGGUUCAUCCUCUACUGCAGUCUCUGAUUAUUUCAACCAAAGAUGGCGGUUUUGAAAGGUUUAGUGAGAUGAAACUUUAUGGUAAUCAAUGCUUCAAUUUAAGUUUUGUCGUUUAGUCUAAGAUUCAUCUUCUCCAAUACGUUACCGGAAGUAUUGAUGCAUUCCCAUUAACAACCAUUUCACAUCCAAUGCUUCUUAUCUGAGAAAGACAGUGGAAUCUAUUAUUAUAAAAAUGGGUUUCAUCUCUUCUGGUAAAACCAUGUAGGUACACGUCAUAAAGUCGACUUCUAUAAACAUGACACGGUCCUUUGAUUUAAAACAUUCUGUUUCAUUAAGUUUUGUGCAUGCUUCGAGGUGAUUUGGGCUUUAUUUAGAUAGACGUACAUUUCGUGGAAGUCCACAUUUCGUUCAUUUGGUUUUUGUAUUGAUUUUACAAGUUGGCUUGAAUUUUUUUUAUGGAUUGGCUUUGAUUUACAUUAUUUGGGCUAAAAAUCAACUAAAAAGUAUCUCAUUUCACGCUCCUAUCCUCUUCUCACCUUCUCUUCUUCACGAGUGUCGAUCAUUGGUUUCUAGGGUUCAUUCUCUACUGCAAUCUCUGAAUAUGUCAACCAACAAUGGCGGUUUGGAAAGGCCUAGUGAGAUGAAACUUCCUGAGUAAUCAAUGCUUCAAUUUAGGUUUGUGUCGUUUAGUUUAAGAUUCAUCUUCUCUAAUACGUUACCAGAAGUAUUGAUGCAUUGUCAUUAACAACCAUUUCACAUUCAAUGCUUCUUAUCUGAGAAAGGCGGUAGAAAUUUACCUAUAAAAAAGUAAGCUUCAUCGCUUGAACCUCAUCCUCACAAUCCCUAAUAGCACUGGAGAUUUCUUUUUCAAUAUAAUGGCUAACUCAUCUAUCCUAAUCACUGAUUUGAAGGCUGGCCUACAUGUUCUUCCAUUGUCGAGGUGCAACUGAUCAAGUUUUAAGAUGUAAAAGCAUUGUCUUCUUCUAAUGAGUUUCAGUGAUUUGGAGAAGAAUAUGGGUAGUCUUCAGCUUCCUCUGUUUCUUUUGAAAGCACACAUAUUCUUGACUAAUGACCACUAUAUCUGAAAAUUUUAUUAACAACACUAUUUUAUCUGUUGAUUGUACGUUCUCUCCAUCUCCUUAAUUUCCCUUUUGUACAUUUUUCAGUGAAAUUUGAUUUCUUUUUUUUUCAAAUGUCCCUCUUCAAAUUCGAUCUUUUAUCUGUUUAUUAAUGAUGGGGUUUUAGAAAAGGAAUGAACUUUGCAAGAAUCUUCACGUAACCUGAGUAAAAAAAGUUUCCACCUUUCCAUUUGUGGGGAUCUUGACAAUGGCAGGUAAGGAGUCAGAGUCUAGACUACGCCUACCUCUGAUCUUGACAAGAUUCUGGCCUGUAUGCACAGUAUGUCUCUACUCAAAAGCAAUUUUGUAAUUGUUGUUGUUUUGAUGGAGGCAUCAAUUUUACUGUCUUUUGAGGCCUUCAUGUUGGAGAGUUUAAUUUGACAACAGUGAUCCAGAUUGCUCAGCUUGCUUUUAAGCAUUGCCAAAAUAAGAAUCAACGCGAAAGGAUUAUUGUUCUCGCUGUAAGGUAUUCACUUUCUUGCCUAUUUUUCUUUUUUAAAAGCUAUCGAAUUAGAAAUAAUUUAUAUUGGGCGUGAUUGGUUGGGUUGUAACUGUAGAAAAUUUACUUUAGCAUUUUGUCUGUAGGAUUUUUGAUUUAGCUUUAAGUGAUGUAGUUUUUAAAAUUUCCUACAGCUAAAAAAUAGGGUUUUAGAAAAUAAGAUGUUUACAUCUAUUUUUUGUGUGUUUUUUCUGUAGCUUUAAUUUUUUGGUUGUAGCUUUAAAAACCAAGAUAAAGCAUGAUUAGUAGUAUUUAGGGUUGUAGAUGAAAAUUAAAGCUAAAGUCACUUCCUACAUCCCAACUAAUCACCCCCAUUGUUAACAAAGUAAUCUUCAUUGGAAAUUUCUCCUCCAAUAUGCUAAAUCUGAUGCAAAGGAAUGGAAACAAGCAGAGAGCAUGGGAGGGGAUGAGCCUCAACAGAGGAGAAGAACAGCUAAGGUGCAGCGACAAAAUCAUUGGAUUCUGUCUCCUCGAGACUGGAUCAAAUGCAACACUGAUGGGUCUUUUCUCGAUGAAAAUCUAAUGGAACUGCAGGGUGGGUUUUACGUGACAGUGUAUUAACAGUGAAGGUAACUAUAAAGGAUGCUCUCAAGCAGUGGGAAGGAAGGUACAAAACCCUUUCGUAAUACAAGCCCUUUUGAUGGCAUUACAACAUUGUUGGGCUCUCGGAUCCAAAAAACAAUUAUCACGGAGGGAGACAGUAAAAAAGCUGUUGACGUAUUAAACAACAAAAUGCUACUCUUUGAACGAGGGAGAUCAAAUGGUGGUCGACUAAGUUUGAAGCAGUUUCAUUCUGAUGGACUAAAAGGGAGGCAGACAAAGUAGCAGAUUGAUUAGAAACUACUAGGCCUUUAGACAAUUCUUUUAAAUUUCAUUAUCAUGUAUCACAAUAUAUCACUAGUCUUUCUUCAUGAAGAUCAUGUAUUCUCGAUUGCAUAAACAUAGAUGUUAUAAAAAAAUAAAUUUUAUAUUUUUAAUUUGUGAUAUUUAUUCAAGAUUGUUGAAUGUUUUUACUGGAGAUAAAAAAAGAAGAUAAUGCUUUUGGAUCAUAAUGUUGGACUGAAGAUAUACUCAAAAUUCACAUAAAUCCUUAAACUGAUACAUUAGUGCUUGACAUUGUAAACGAAAUAUAAAAAUAAAAGAUUAAGUUAGAAAAUAUAUAAAAUUUUAUUUUUAAUAACAAUGUAAUAACCUGAUUGGUAUUUUGAAAAGAUAGUAAUUUUAAAACAAAAUAAAAUUUAAUAAUAAAAAAUUAAAUAAGUUGUGCAUAUCUAUUCAGAAUAUCUUAAUUAUCAUUUUACACUGAGUUUUAAUCCAUAACUAUAUUUUAACUAUAAUUAGAUUGCAAUAUAUUGUUUUAUGUUUAUUGUUUAACAAAUGAUAUAGUAAAUAGUAAUAUUUUUCAUAGAGGUAUUACAAAAAAAAAACAUAGAAAUUUUUAGUGUAUUCAUACAACACUUUUAAAAGUUUUUCUAUUUGCUUCCUUAUGAAAUUUAUUUUGGAAUAAGAGAUAUAGCUUACUUAUAUUUCUUUAUACAUUUUUUAUUAUAGUAACAAAUAUAUAAUUUAUAAAAAAAGAAGAAAUGGUAAAAUAUGUAGUAAAAAUAGUGAAAAUUAUAAUUUAAAAUAAACUGAGAAUUUAUUAAAAUUUAAAAUAUAUUUAUAUUCUUUCGUUCAUUUGCAUAUCCGCCCGUAGGGCGGGUCCGACCCUAGUAUAAUAUAUAGUAAACAACCUCUAUCCAGAAAUAGUUUUGUUUCGUGAUUUCUGCAUUGGUCGAUUAUUAAUUGUUGAAGUAAAGUGCGACACAAUAUGAAAACCGAAACUUUAUUUACUGAUAUUAAUAAAUAGGUUAAAAUGAGUUCAACGCUACAAUUUUAAAACUGGAAUCCAAAGUCCAAACUAUCACAAACAAAUGUCUGUGCAACAGAUUACUAAGUGAAAGAACCUAUUUACAUACGACUACACAAUCAAUAAACAUUUUUUAUAUGAAUGUCAAAUUUAUUUAACAUAGGCUAAGAGUUGAAUUCCAAAAGGGAUACAGAACUCUAAGAUAUAGAACCAGGAGUUGAUGCAAGAAAGGAAGAGGGAGGGCUUGAACCAUAGUCCAUAGAGGAUGUGAGUCGCUAGGAUCAGAGAAGAAGUCUGAGGCAGAUCUCGGCGCUGAUGGCGGCAAAGGCAGGCGACGUAACGAUAUCUGAAAACUUCAAAAACUUUCCAUCUUUUUAUCUUCAUCUAAUUUGCUGUAAUUCUUAAGAAACCAUAUAUAGCUCUGUUCUUCAGUGAUCUGGUUACGAAUUGUUCUUCUGGAUUUUAUAACUGCUAAAACCAUAAGAAAUAGACUGAUCUCUGUCAAAGAAAUGGGAGAGAGCACAUUGUUGAAGCCUAAAGCAACAAAAUAGGUUUGCAUUCUUUUAUUCAAACAUUAUUUUGUUUUUUAUUCUUUAAACAUUCAUUAGAAAAGAGUAGCACUUGAUGUUACAUAAAAUUUGGACUGAAAAAAUUUAAACAAAAAGUAUAACAUUUAUUUAGCUAUUAAAUAUUUAGGACUGGCUUAGAAAGAAAAGGGUAAAACUCAAACCUAAAAGUACAGGUCCCACCCACAAAUCUCGCUCCUCGUGUAUCACUCAAGCAAUCUUGAAAACGCACGCUAUUAAAAACCAAACACUCCUUACAAGCUCUUAGUGAUAAGUCAUAUGUACACUGCACCAUUCCAUACAUCUUAUCACCCUUGUACAACGUCUCCCCCGCAGAGAACAUUGUGUACUCAUCUUUACCUCUAGUGGUGGUAGCUAAAGUUGUCAGAUUGUCCAUGAGAGUUUUCCAAGUCCUUGUAAAAGCGCUCUUAUCUCCUCCUAACUUCUUCGCAUUGGACAUACAAAAGUUAUUGUCGUAAUCGAUCUUCCCAAUAGCAUCUGUAGUAGUAAUGGCAAGAAGACAUUGGUCAUACCAAAUUAUCAUGCCCUUGUACCACGGACAUUUCCUACGAAGCUGUAAUAUAUAUUUUAAAUAUCGACGCCACAAUCAGUAAAGAGAUUGCACGAGACCAAAUAACAUAUAAUCAAUAGUUAUUUUUCUCUUAUGUAAUUAUUUUUUGAAAAAAGGAUAACUAAUCAAUAAGACAUUACCUUAGCGAGGGCGGUAGCAAAGCAGUCGUGGCACUUGGUCCCGUAGGAAUCGGCGCGGCACUGGAGGAUAGCGUUAUCAUUAUUCAUACCGGACAGGUAGAAACCUCUGUAACUGCCACUGUAGAACAUUUUGAUGAUAUUAUUUAAAUGUCUCUCGUAUUCACUUCCCGGCUUGUAUUUUCCUUCACUAACCAAGCAUUUGUGGUUGAGAUACUCAUUGGUCGUGUUUAAGGGCAAUUCGCUGCUUAUAAGGAGUAGUUGUAUGGCUAAGAAAUUGAUCAAAAUGAGGCGUUUUAGUACAGACGAUGAAGAAUACAUUGUUUUGGAUUAUUUUUCUCAAAGGGGUUUUUUCAUAGAUGAUUCGUUGGGAUUGAUGUUUAUGUAAGAGACUCAGAGGGAUUUGGAUACUGAACAGAUUUAUGCUGUUUAUAUAUAUGGUUUAUUGUUUUAAAGUGCCUUUUUACAAAAUUUGUUUCAAAAGUGCAGUUUGUGGAAUACAAUGUUUACACUUUGUAAGGAGAAAAGAGAAGAGUUGAAGGUUGAGACUUAUUUGCGGCGACAAGAGGGCCGACGAAAAUGUAAAAGUUCAGACGUGUGACUUAGUUCACACGAUUCGUACGUUGCCAACCUCAAAUGAAGGAAUUCAUUUCUUAAUUUUAUUAUGACCAUAUUCUUGCUUUUUUUAGGUAACAUCGUAUGGCCAAAUGGGAACCAAAAUGAGGCAUUUUGAUAGAUGACCCACAUGAGUACAUCGUUUUGUAUUUUUCUGAAAGGAGGUGUCUUUCUUUGGAUAUGAUUUAUUGAGACUGUGAUGUUUAUGUACGAGACCUGGAAGGAUGUGGAUAUAUUUUUUUAAAAAAAAUUGUGAGUUGGUGUUAUAUGAACUGCAGAUUCUUGAUUUCUUGGAAUUGUCUUUAACAGCUGUCGAUGCCAAGAUGGGAAGAUUUACAGAUAUUACGUAUGUCUUUUUCUCUGAAUUUUGUUAUGUUUAAGUCAGAAAUAGCUUGCUCCUUGGAUUUCGUCUCAGUCAGUGAGCUCAAUGCCAAGCUAUUGACAGAUACGGUGGACAAGAGGAUGGAAUUGGAUAUCUUGGUUUGUAGGAAUCUGAUCGAAGAUGCGUUAGAACGAAUCAAUGAUAUUGUUCCUUCCAGGGCUCCACCGUGUCCAUUUGUUCUGGAAGGCACACAAAGUCUCAACUUUUGCUUAAAGCAAAAUGUUUGGUUUAUUGAACUGCAGAUUCUUGAUUCAAAUCCUAGUCUUUGAUAGGAAAAUCAAAUAGUGAAUUGGGCGUCCUACAACAUUCAUCUGCUUCUAUUUUUUUGGUUAAGUGUGUAAUGAGUUUAUGUUCCAAUAAGCUGAACAUUUCAAACUCCUCUUCAUGGAAUGGACAAUACUAAGGAUCCUGAACUCAUGUCCUUGCCGUUGGAAAGACGAGGAUAAAAUUUUCUCGAGGAUGGAUCACAAAGGCGAGAGAAAUAUACUCGACAUCCAUGUAGGUAUCUAGAUACCUACGGUGUCGACCUGAAAUGAAGGCAUUGUGUCUCGAUCACGUAGCUAUAAUUCUAACUUUCACGUAUCACGGUCAUUGCAUUAGCUCUUUGCGAUUUUUUUUUUUUUUGUUAUUUAUAAACAUGGAAAAGAAAUAAAGAGCUGUUAUAAGUAAAGUCCUCUUAUGAAUCCCCUAUAUAUUAUUUGAGAAACAUUCCAACAUUUUUUUGUAGCCAUGUGUCAUCCCUAGAAUGAUUCUUAGAAUUCUUAGAGAAAUAGGUUGGUCCAUCUAAAUAUAUAAUAAGCUUUUUAUUAAACCACAAUAAAUACAUUAUUAAUGUGGUUCAUUAUUUCCUUAAAUAAGAUUACGGAAUUGCCUAAUGUGGCUAAAGUAUAUAUGACAAUUAAUGAUUUUGAAUUAUAAAUAUUUGAUAAAAACAUGUGUGUAUUAUAAUUAUAUUUGUUUAAUUUUAAGCUAUUAAAAUAAAUUAAAAAAUUAUAAUAACUAUAUAAUAAAAUUUUAAAAAAAUAUUUAUAUAUUAUAUUUUGAAUUUUUAAAAACGAGUAUAAAUUACUAAAACUGUUAAAACUUUCACAUUCAAAUUUUGUGAUCUAUGAUUUAAAACUUUUGUUAUGACAUGAUACAAAUAAUUAAAAAAUAAUUUAUGUUGAAAGUCUCAUUGAAUAAGUAUCAAAAAUAAAAGAUAUAUAAAUAUAUGUAUCAUUUUAAAUUAAACUAUAUGCCAUAUAAAAAUACAUAAAUACCUUAAUUUUGAAAUUUACUUUGAACAUUCUUUUGAUAAAAAUUUGAAAAAAUAUUGACAACUUAAUUUUUAAAAAUAUUAUAAAUUAAUUAAACCAUUAAUUUCACAGUGAAAAUUUUGUUAUUACUAAAUUAGACUUUUUGCUAUAACAGAUACAAAUGAUAAAAAAAAAUAUGAGCAAAAAGCAUCAUCUAAUAAAUAUUAAUAUUAAAAUUAUACCAUAUUUAUGUUACUAUCAUUUAAAUUUAAUUAUAUUUCAUAUCAAAUAGAAAAAAAUAUUUUUUUGAUUUAUAAAAUUUAUUUAUAUGUUCGCACCAAUUUAGUUAUAUAAGUAGUAGAUAAUGACUUUUUAAUUAUUCAAUAUAUAUUUAUUAUUUUAUAAUAUGUUAUAAACAUAUAAUAUAUAAAAUAAUUUAUAUAUAUAUAAUGUUCAUCCCGCGCAAGGCGCGGGUCUUAACCUAGUAUCAAUUAAAUUUCAAUCACAUGAUUCCUUCGGUGUCGUCCUAAAAUGACUGCACUAUAUAUAAGAUAAAUGGGAGAGAAGACAUUUAUUCAACAAGCAUAAAGCAACAAGAUAGGAGAGUAUAGUUAUCAUAUCUCUUAUAUAUUAAUUGAGGAUCUUUUAAAAAGUUAUAACCUAAAUUUUGUAAAAAAAAAAAAAAAAAACUCAUCAUAACUGGCACUUGUGUAUGCUUUCUAAAUCUUAUUUCAAAGAAUUCUAGAGCACCUUAUAUAAACUAUAGUCUAAAAAUUAUACUCUUUAGCAAAAUAAUGUUUCGCAGGCUAUAGUUGGUCGCAUAUAUCAAAUCUUUAUUGUUUCGUAUGCUUUCCUAAAAUAAAAACUACGGAAUUACCUAAUGUGAUUAAAAAAUAUAUAUAGCAAUUAAUGAUUUAAAAAAUAAAGAUUUGAUAAUAAUCUGUAUACUUUUAUCAUUUUUGUUUAUUUCUUUAUUAUUAAAAUAAAUUACAUUAUUACAUUAAUCAUAUAAUAAAAAUCUAGAUUUUUUUGUGUGUAUAUGUUGUAUUUUGAAAUACAAGGUUUAAAUUUUUUAAAACGAGUAUAAAUUACUAAAAUUAUUAAAAGUCUCACAUAAACUUUUACGAUCAAUGUUCAAAUUUUUCUAUAUUAAGAUACAAUGACUAUAAGACCAUAUGAAGAAAUAAUUUUAUUUUAAUAGGUUUUUAUGUUAAUAUAUAUAUAUACAUAUAUAUAUAUAUAUCAUAUCGUUUAAAUUAAACUAUACAUCGUCUGAAAAUGUAUACUUAUAUUUUGAUAUUUGCAUUGAACAUAUAUUGAAAAGUUAAAAUUUUAAUUUUGAAAUCUUCAUUGUUUUUAAAUGAUUAUAAAUUAUUGAAAUUAUCCCACAUUAAAAAAAAGUUGUUGGUGUAAACUUUUGUUACAUAAAUAUGCAAAAAAUCAGAAAAUCAUAUGAGUAGAAACUUUAUUUAAUAAAUAUCCAUAUUAAAAGUGUACUAUAUAUAUUUAUUAAUAUCAUUUAAAUUUAAUUAUAUAUCAUAUACGAUAGAUAAGAUUGAUUUUUUAUUUAUUUACCCUAAAAUGAUUGCGAAUAAACAAGAGUUAUAGUUUGAUUUAUAUGCACAUGCUAAUUUAUUACAUAAUAGUAACUGAUUUCUUAGUUAUUUAAUAUAUAUACCUAUUAUGUUAUUAUUUCAUAAUAUGCAGAAAAACAUUAAAAAUAAUAAAUAUAAAAUAUUUAUUCUGCAAAAGGUGCAGAUCUUAACCGAAGUAUGUACAUCUUUAAUUAUUUUAAAACAUAAGCAUUUUCUAAAUUUCAGGUCAAAACAAACAAACGAAAUGAGAAUAAACUUCAAAAUUAAUAUUUAUAUCGAACAAUAACCAAAAUAAAAAAGAGAAAAAUAUUAAAGAUAUAUAGGAUUGGCACAUGAACGUAAACUUCUCAUAACCAUAAUUAAUUUUUAAAUUCUAAAUCAUGAUAUAAAACCGAGCUGACAUAGUUUCAUUGUAAUCAAAUAGACCCGAGAUUUUUCGACCUAAACGUUAGGUUCUUAUGCGGUAGGCGGUAAGUGAUUUUUUUACCUAAAAUGUUAUUAAAAAUUGGAUCGGCUCAUCAGUAAACAAAUUAUGUAAUUAACAAAAAAUUAAAAAAAUUGUUUAAAGACCAAAAUAUUAAUUCAAUCAAGAAUAUAAAUUUAUUUUUCCGUAUAUUAUUUUUUAAUAAAUUUUAUAUAAAUUUAUCUUGCACAAGGCGCAAGUCUUAUCCUAGUUCAGUUAUUAUUUUGUUGUUUUAUUCUGUAAACAUUCAUUAAAAAGUAUCACUUGAUGUUACAUAAACUUUUGACUGAAAACAUUCAAACCAAAUAGGUUAAUAUUUAUUUAGCUCUUUAAAUAUUUUGGACCGGCUUGGUAAUAAAAGGAUAAAACUCAAACCUAAAAGUACAGCUCCUAGCCUCCUACCUACAAAUCUCGCUCCUGGUUAUCAUUCUAGUAAUCUUAAACACUAUACACUCCUGCCAAGCGUGUGGGGAUAAGUCUCUUGUACACUAUACCAUUCCAUACAGUGUAUCACCCUUGAACCGCGUCUCUCCCACAUAGAACAAUGCUGUUGGCUCAGUGUAAUGAACAUUACUGGUGGCUAAAGUCGUCUUAUUGUCCAUGAGAGUAUUGCAAACACUUGUAAACGUGAACUUAUCUCCCAACUUCUUCACGUUGGACAUACAAAAAUUAUUGUCGUAAUUGAUUUUCCCAAAAAAAUCGUAGGAAGUAAUCUCGAGAAGACAUUGGUCGUACCAUAUUAUCCUACUCUUGUACCGCUGACAUAUCCGACGAAGCCGUAUUAUAUACAUUUCAAAUAUCGACCGCCCUGCCGAAUGAACAACAAGAUCGUACGAGACUAAUUAACAUAUAAUCAGUAGUUUUUUUUGUCUUAUGCUAAAAUGUAAUAAAAAAAGCUUUGCACAGAUUUAUAAAAAAAAUUAAAAAUCUAAUCAAUAAUAUUGAUGUGACAUUCCCGCAGCGGCACUGGAGGAGAGCGGAUAAAGUAAACCGCCGAACAGAGUGAAACCUUGAUUAACAAUACUGUCACAUAGAACAUUCUGAUGGUAGUUAUUAAAAGUUCCUGGUACUUACUUCCCGGCUUGUAUUUCCUUGACUAACCAAGCAUUUCUGGUUAAGAUCUGCAUUGUUCGUGUUUAAAGACAAUUCACUGCUUAUAAGGAGAAGUUGUAUGGCCAAGACAUGGAUCAAAGGAGGCGUUUUAAUACAGACGAUGAAGAGUGCAUUGUUCUGGAUAAUUUUUCUCAAAGUGGGAUUUUUCUAGAUUAUUAGUUGGGACUGAUGUUUAUAUUUAUGGUUUAUUGUUUUUGUUUACCCAAUACGAAAUUUGUUUGAACAGGUCAGUUUGUAGAAAGCGAUGAUUAAAAUUUGUAAGGAGAAGAGUUGAAGGUUCAGAGACUUAUUUGCGGCGACAAGAGGGCCGACUUAUUUGCGGCGACAAGAGGGCCGACGAAAAUGUAAAAGUUCAGAGGUGAGGUGUGACCUAAGUCACACCGUCAUGAUCAUGAAUUGUGAUGUGGUUUUUUUUUGUAUGGAUGUAUUAAAUGCCUUGUGGUUCCGGUCUGGAAUCAUUUGUAACUAUAUCUCAAUUUAAAAUAAAAGAGUCAUUUACACCCGGGAACAGUUUACCAUUUUUCUUUUACACUGUGAGGCAGUUUCUCCUACUAAGGCAAUUUUUGGAUGAUAAGACCCAAUUUGACCUCUUAAAAGUGUAACUGAUGAUUUGGGUUUUAGUUAGAUGGAUUUUAAUUGAUUUUGGUGGGUCCGAGGUGAGACUUAACCUUUUUUCGUUAACUAAAGGUGAACUUUAAAAGUUUUUAUUUUUUUUAUAUCUUUUUUGGUUUCGUACGAGGUAAAAUAGAGAAACUCAGAAGCCGAAGAAGAAGAAGCGAGACUACAGCAAAUUCCGGCGAAAGAGAAUCUCAGAAAGUUGUUCGAAGAAGGAUGUCGAGGAGACGCAACCGGCGUCUUGCAACUAUGGCGUUUUGGAUAUAAUCUUCCAAAACUCAAAAUCAAAACUUGUUUUUUCUUGGUUUUUGGUUCUAAUGGGGUUAAUUUAUACUAUAGUUAUAAGUUAUAGAAGUAAAACGCAAAAUAAAUGAAGAUUCUAUGAUAAAAUCAUUGACGGUUCUGAGAUCUAUUCAUAGAAAACACUGAAAACCCUAAUAUGAAGAAGAUGCAAUUAUUACAAAAUUGCAUAACCGUGAGUUCAUGUCUUAACUCAUGUGACAAAUCCUCAUAACCGUGAGUUCAUGUCGCAGAGGAGGAAAAUCACAGCGAAUAUGGUUUGUUUACGGUGUGCGGCAAAGAGAAGAUGGUAAGAACGAAGAUGAAGCUUUGUUGUUUAUUUGUUCGUUGAGCUUUAUUAUUCAUUUUUUUGGUAAAAUGUUAAAUUAGCUUUAUUAUUCAUUUCUUAUGAAAAAAACGUAAUUCUUUCUAAAAAAAAUAGAUAAAAAUGUUAAGAUAUAUUUUUAGUUAGCAUAAUUAGAAAAAAAAUAGAUAAACUGUUAAGACAUUAGCUUUUAGCAUUUCAUAUAUUUUCUUCCACAAUUGAAGCUUUCAUUUGAAAAGGCUUUUGGUCUGUGUCCCAUUUAUUUGAAAGGAUUUUGAACGGCGAGCAACUCCCUUACAAAGUCCUUAUGGACAAACACAGAGAACACAAUGUUUCCAAAAACUUGUAUAAACAAAGCAGACAAAUCAAGCCUCUUCCUUUUUCACUAUGUAUAAAUAGUUACAGAAUAUGGUAGCACAGAUUCACACAGCUUGCAGAGGAUUGUAACUGAAAACUUGUAAAUUAAUGUAUACAAACUACAAAGGAUCACAUGAAACAUAACCUCAGUUUUGGCUCUAAAAGUAUGCUCACAACGACAUCUGCAGAACAAAAGAAAAAGGAAAAAUGAAAAUUUCAGCUCAUUCACUCUUAAUCCAAGGCACUCUACUGUUGUAUUUCAGCAUAAAGCAAAACUAUUUACAAUCUAAGAAACAAGAGAGACUCGGACCUGACUCAUUUCACCAUUAAUCCAAUUAAUCUUAUCGGCAUUAGGAUAAUUAGAGUAACACUCAAUCUGCUGACCGAGAACUUUUGAGAACUCUUCGUUCAUGGCAUAAGCUUGUGCUGUACGAGCUUGCGUAAAUAAGAGACGAGGAGGACGUACUUUCGGCUUGGCGAUCCUGAGAAUAGGAGAGGUUGAUGUCUAUCGGGGGUGAGAGAGAUGGGAGCGGAAGUGUCGUAGACCGAAGACAAAC
rnacentral:lncRNA from 1 species